GUGUUAAAAAGGCGAAGGCGAAGGCGUAGGUGGUAACUUACUUGCGGCAGAUCAUCUUGUCCUGGUUGUACUUGCGAGCGAGCGCCUGCAGCGAGGGCUCAAUGAUGCCACCGCGGAGCCUGAGCACGAGGUGGAGCGUAGACUCCUUUUGGAUGUUAUAGUCCGCAAGGGUGCGGCCAUCCUCCAGCUGCUUCCCGGCAAAGAUCAGCCGCUGCUGGUCCGGCGGGAUCCCUAUGGAAUGGAACAAACACAGCCUCUUAGCGCCUGCGCUACAUGCUAGUAAUACUAUUGCUACCAAAAGAUGGGCUGGCGCGCUCGCGUACCUUCCUUGUCCUGGAUCUUGGCCUUGACAUUGUCGAUGGUGUCGCUGCUCUCGACCUCGAGGGUGAUGGUCUUCCCUGUCAGCGUCUUCACAAAGAUCUGCAUCUUGUCGGACCUGGCCGUUCUCCGGGCUGCUGUGAUUGCUGCGACGGCGGCUUCUCCUCUCCGAGGAAUAGGACGGCGGCGGCGGCGCGUGCGGUGUUUUUAUACGUGGUUGCGGAAGCGGUUUUAGGGUUUGGUGGAGUGAUAUGGGCCGUUGAAAUCGGGUAGUUCGUUUUGCUUUGUGCCCUUCGCCCAUUGGAUAUGGUGGACAGCCAUUGAUUUGUUUUUAAAUUUCUAUUGAUCCUCUCUCUCUCUCAAAUGAAAUUUUUUAUUUUCACUCUCUCGCGGUAAUUAAUGGUGUGUUUGGUUGCGGGACAGGGAUGUUCACUGGCGUCCUUUUUUGUCUCUCCAAGUUUGAUGGAUAACUAGAUAGUUUUGUCCCAACCAUUGACCCUAAAUCAAGCAAUCUUAUUUUAGGGGUCGUCCCGUUCCAUCCCGUCCUGUCAUUGUAUAAAAUUACUGAUAAUAAGACCAUGAUUUCCUACAAUUUUUUUUAUUAUAACUAGUCGGUUGUCCGUGUGUUGCGACAGCUCACAACAAUACCCAUGUAAAUUAUCCACCAAAAAGAUCGCAAGAUUUUUUAUUGAUUGUCUCUGCUCUCCAUAUAAUUUUUUUAUUUGACUAACUGACGUUGUUGUUUACUCCAUCCAAUAUGUUUUAGUACAACACGGCCAAUGAAGCGAGCAAUUAGAAAAUAGUUCACAAUGACUUACUGAACGAAUAGAGAUUAUAGAAUGAUAUAAUUCGACCAUACAGAGACCAAAUAAAAGGAAGUUCGUGAGCUCAAGUUUCUAAAAUAAGUCACGUGAACUCAAACUUAUAAAAAACAUAGAUCAAAAUAUGGAGUGGUUGCUAAAGUCAGUCAUCAAUAAAAACUGGAUGUGCUCCAUACAAAUUAUGGUACUUCAUAUCAAUUACUAAUGUUUGAAAUCAACAAAUAACAUUUCCUUUUACUGUUAGCAUGACAAAUCAUAGUUGCUCCAUCCAAUUCAGCAACCUCAAACACCAUGGAGUCCAUUGUGCCAAUGUGGUGUCAGAAACGACUUAAUGCAUAAAUAGCCAAGAACACAAGGGACGAGCACCAUGUGGUAGUGCCCGUAUGGAUCUCUAAAUUCUAACACAUAUUUUGCAGGAUCCAUGAGCCAUCAUCAGAAGAACACAAACCACGUGUAGACAAUGAAUAAAAUAUUAACACACAUAAAUUAUGUUCAGUCCUUAGCACAACAAAAAAACUAACACCCAAAACAACAGAGGAGCGACACAAUCAUUUUUACAAUCAUUUUUGCAAUGACAGAAGGAUGGAUGACAGGUAAAUAGAAGUGGUAGAAGCAUAUCGAGUCGACACCGUGGUAAGAAGAAGGCCAUGUAGACAAGCGAUAUCGAGCCAUCGAACAGGUACCAUAGGCAGCAAAUCAGGGACCUCUAUCCCUCGCCUCUGUAUAGCAUAAAGGGAAGGGAAGAGGCGGGCAUACAUGUUCGUUGCCGGAGAAGGACACGACGAAGUCUUGGGCAUCUGGAGGCGACAUAGGUAGUAUACCGCUAGAUACAUAUAGGGAGAGAGCACACAAGCGAAGAAAGAAGUUGAAAGGGAAAUUGGGUUAACCAUUUCCUAUAAUUAAUUUUGGUGGUUGAUAGUCAACACAAACACAUGGACUAACUAGUUAGUCUAAAAUUUAUAUAUUACAGGUGCAUAAGGUUCAACACAAACCAAUAAAAGAAUCAAGUUAGUGACACAAUUUUAAAGGAGCAAAAGGACUUGAGUGUGCUAAAGAAUGGCGCAUCGGACUGUCCGGUGCACCAAGACCGUACAGGUGUCAACCAACUACUCUCGGGAAAACGGAGGCGCGCUCCGCUAUAAUUCACCGAACUGUCCGAUGUGCCACCGGACUGUCCGUUGAGCCAACGAGCAACGGCUAUCUGCGCGUAACGGUCGACUCUGACAGACGAACAGUGUCACGGGAGAAGUUAGAGCAGGAAGUCAGAGUGGCAUCGGACUAUCCGGUGUGACACCGGACUGUCUGGUGCCGCAAGAGGACAAAGCUCCAACGGUCGACUCAGCUCCGAACCCUAACGGUUGGGUGACGUGGCGGCGCACCGGACACGAAACAGUGCCUGUCCGGUGGUGCACCGGACUGUCUGGUGCGCCCAUUGCCAGCAACCUCCCCAACGGCUACCAAAGUGGUUGGGGCUAUAAAUACCCCCAACCACCACAACCUUUAGCAUCCAAGUUUUUCAGAGAUAACAUUCAAUACAAGAGCUAGUGCAUUCACUCCAAGGCACAUUUCCAAAGAUCAAACCCUCUCCAAGCCUAGAAUUCAACUCAAACAUUUAGUGACUUGUGAGAGAGUGUGUUCAUGUUCUUUUGCGCUCUUGUUUCUUAGAUUGCCUUUCUUCUUUCUCAUUCUUGUUCUCAAGUGACUUGUAAUCAAAGCAAGAGACCUAAGUGUGUGGUGGUCCUUGCGGGGUCUUAGUGACCCGAUUGAUUAAGGAGAAGGCUCACUCGGUCUAAGUGACCGUUUGAGAGAGAGAAAGGGUUGAAAUAGACCCGGUCUUUGUGACCUGCUCAACGGGGACUAGGUUCUUUGUAACCGAACCUCGGUAAAACAAAUCACCAUGUUCACUCGCCUUGAUUCUUGUUGAUUUGUUUUCCCCUCUCAUUCCAACUUGAAUUUAAUUCUAACGCUAACCCCGACCUUAGUGCGUGCUUAAGUUUAUAAAUUUCAGGUUUCGCCUAUUCACCCCCUCCCUCUAGGCUGUGAAUCAUCUAGGCCCCUUAGUGAUGUUGAAAGGGAAAUAGGGUUUAACCUUUUCCUAUAAAUGAUUUUGGUGGUUGAAUGCCCAACACAAAUAAUUGGACUAACUAGUUUGCUCUAGAUUAUAUAUUCUACAGGUGCCAAAGGUUCAACACAAACCAAUAAAAAGAUCAAACUUAGGGUUCAAAAGAAAGGAGCAAAAGAAGUCGAAGAGAACCCUGGUCUGGCACACCGGACUGGCCGGUGUGCCACCGGACAGUGUCCAGUGCUCCACCAGACAGUGUCCGGUGCACCAGGAGUCAUACACUCUGAACUCCUCGCCUUCGGGUUUCUUAGAGCACACUCCGCUAUAAUUCACCGGACCGUCCGGUGUGCCACCGGACUAUCCGAUGUGCCAGUGGAGUAACGGCUACCCAACGCAACGAUCGUCUGCAAAAGCGUGAACAGUGCGCUCAGAAGUCAGAGCAGGCGUCAGAGGCGCACUAGACAGUGAACAACACCUGUCCGAUGCCGCACCAGACUGGCCGGUGCGACAUGAAGUCAGCGCUCCAACGGUCAGAAUCUUCAGAACCCUAACGGUUGGGUGACGUGGCUGGCGCACCGGACUGUCCGGUGCGCCCAUCGACAGACAGCCUCCCCAACGGCUAUGUGGUGGUUGAGGGAUAUAAAUACGCCCAACCACCACCACUCCAAGAAUCCAAGUUUUUCAUACAUCUCAUUCAAUACAAGACCUAGUGCAAUCAAUACAAGACACAAUUCAAAAGAAUCAAAGCCUCUCCAAGUCCCAAAUUAACUCCAAACUCCUAGUGACUAGAGAGAGAGUUUUUGCUCGUGUUCUUUGAGCUCUUAUUCUUGGAUCGCUUUCUUCUUCCUCAUUCUUGUUCUAUUCUUGUUCUCUAAGUGACUUGUAAUCAAGGCAAGAGACAUUAAGUGUGUAGUGGUCCUUGCGGGGUCUAAGUGACCCGUUUGAUUAAGGAGAAAGCUCACUCGGUCUAAGUGACCGUUUGAGAGAGGGAAAGGGUUGAAAGAGACCCGGUCUUUGUGACCACCUCAACGGGGACUAGGUUCUUUAGAACCGAACCUCGGUAAAACAAAUCACCGUGUCAUCCGCUUUAUUUCUUGGUUGAUUUGUUUUUCCCCUCUCUCGGACUCGGUUUUUAUUCUAACGCUAACCCCGGCUUGUAGUGUGUUUAAAAGUUGUAAAUUUCAGUUUCCGCCUAUCCACCCCCUCUAGGCGACUUUCAGAUGUUUUGGUAAUUAAUAACAACUGUUUGUGGACUUGAAAGCUCUCUUGUGGGUUUUGGUGUUUGGAUGACAACCCAAUUAAAUGACUAACAAGUGUGCUAAGUGUUGAACAGGUGCUUAAUGCAAAGCUAACAUGGUUUAACACAAAUGAACAAGUGUGAUGGUCCAAAGACUAAUUUAUCUAUAGAUAUUGAACACUGCUUAAGUGAGACUCAGUGUGCGUAACCCAGAGACAACUGAUCAAGCCAAGGUUGGAGGCAAGAAGAGCUUCGAGGUACCGAGUGCAUGGGAGAAGGUCAAGGAGACUAGGAACCCAAAGCCAGGGGUGAAUAAGAAGACUUGCAAAGUCAAGGUUGAUCGAGUUAAGAGUUAUGGUGCAUCAAGGAUCACUACAUAAGGACAUGACUUACAACCAAUGAGGUAACAUCUACAGUUAUGUGGUGUAAGUCAUAAGGCUCAAGAUCAAGCUCGAGAAAUGAACAAGGGAGUUGGAGCUCAGAUAUGUCAAUCUAGAUCAAGUCAAGUUGACUUAAUGGUUUAGAGUCCAACAUCGACCUCAACACAUGCCAAAUUGGGUAAAACGAUGAAAAAGGUUAAGUAUGUAAGGUUUGAGUGUUCAACCAUGUUGCAUACACCUUUUACUACAAAUUUGGUGCUUUGGUUUGCUCUCUAACUCUUUCUGUAGAGAAAGUACCAUUCUGAGCUCUGCUGGAGGAGAAACAUAAAAGCUAGGAGAAGAACAAGAAAGAUGUAAGUUUCUAGGACUAAAUCAAUUGGAUUAUACUCUAAAUGUGUUUGUUUAAGUCUCAGGAAAAUCCUCCCAAAAGUUGAAGUCAAACGGAGAAAGAACGGAGGAAAAAUCAGUUAGUGUGUUGUUGGCUGGUGCACAGGACAGUGAAUAGUAGUUGUCCGGUGCACAGGACAGUGAAUAGUAACUCUGUCCGGUGCACAGGUCAGUGAAUAGUGACAUGUUUGGUGCACAUGACAAUGAAUAGCAGCUAUGUCCGGUGCACAGGAUAGUGAAUAGUGACCUGUCCGGUGCACAGGAUAGUGAAUAGUGGCCUGUUCGGUGCACAUGAUAGUGAAUAGUAACCUGUCCGGUGCACCAACGUCUAGCUGUUCCAGAGAAGGAAACUGUCAAUCAGAUCUGUUACUGUUCACUGUCCGGUGCGCCACCGGACAGUCCGGUGCACCCGCAACCAGGGAAGGCUGGGAGCUUCCAAAUGAAGCUCCAAUGGCUCCUAGGCCCUUUGGGUCUAUAAAAGGGACACCUAGGCACCUCAAACAAGUACACAAGUGCAGCCAACAAGUCCAUACAUCAUUUGGAUCAAUUCUUUCUCUUCCUCUCUUGUGUAUCUCUCUAGUUUGUGUAGAGGCGAAGUUAUAAGCCUUUAGAGAGAGGGGAAGUGCUGCUGAGAGCUAGAGCAAUAUCUUGAGCGCAUUGUUACUCUGCCGGAGUGCUAUCGAGAAGAUUAUAAGCAGCCACAGCAUCGUUGUAACUGAUAUCAACAUAGUGGAAGGCUCUAUCUGUCGCACUGACAGAUCUGAGCAAACGGAGGAAGGAGUUGAAAUAGACUCCAAGCCAAGGUGUGGCUAACUCCAACGAGGACUAGACAAGCAUUUCAGGCUUGGCUGAACCUCGGGAUAAAUCCCUAUGUCUGUGUGCUCUGCUCUGUGUUGUGUGCUAUUUCUCUGUCUUAUUUGUUGUUUAUACUUACACUUGAAUAUUUAUAUGUGGUUCAAGCUAUCUUUGAAGUGCAGGGUAUUUUAAGACAAGAAUUUCUAUUCCGCUGCAACCUAUUCGAAGGGUCUUUCAUUCCACUACGAUCCAGCCUUCGAGCAGAGUAAGAAUUUCCAGUUUUAAAGUGAUAAUUAUUAUUCGCCUAUUCACCCCCCCUCUAGGCGACAUCCAGAUCCUAUUCCCGGGCAUAGGGAACUUUCAGGACUAACAGUUCUUAGAGAAAUAAGAAUGCAUGUUGGACCACAUAGAACAGAAAAUCAUGGAGACAUAUAAGCAUUGGUUGUGGAUCAAGUGAAGGCAAAGGUAUAACAUAAGUUUUUGUUUUUGUCGGUCUCUAGGAGUUUAGAGAAGAUAUUUGACCCGAUUAGUAGGCUAGAUGGCCGUACUAUUAAGAGGGGUCAAUGACUUUGGCCUGUGUAAAACUUAGUGCCUCAUAGAGCAUCUAGUAGUUGCAUUUGCAUGAGGUCUAACAGCGCUUCCAGUUUCGAGAGUUAAAAAUCUUUUCGAAAGAGUGAUUGAAAAGUUGCUAAGUCAUGGGUUCUGCGGACUGUCCGGGCCAAGUGGACGGACCGUCCGCGAUCUAUCCAGAGGGGUCCGAAAUAUAUCCACUUUGGACUGGUCCUGUAUGUUUGUACUGUGGACCGUCCGGGCCUUGGGGCCGGACCGUCUGCAGUCCUGACCAGAGAGGGUCGCUCUGUGCACAGUCCCUAUAUUAUUGUGCGGACUGUCCAGCCAGGGUUGGCGGACCGUCCCCAAGUGCCAAAUUGGUUUGGGCAGGGACUGUGUGUUUUUGGGUGUUUGUAUUACGGACUGCCCAGGGCCUGAGCCCCGACAGUACUGACUCCCAGGUUGCAGACCGUCUGGCCUUGUUGGCGAACAGUCCGCGUGUGUUAUCUCAAUAUUGUCAGGGCUCUGGUGCUCCAUGCUGCCAGGUGUCGGACGGUCCGGCCAAGGUUGGUGGACUGUCCGAACCUCGCUUUUCUGAUAGCUCUGACAAAUUUCAAACGGGAAAACUAGUCGUUACUUGUACGGCGGACCGUCCAGCCUAAGGGCGCGGACCGUCCGCGUGUGCGCAGAAACUGUGCUAGUUGCACAUAACGGUUAGAAUUGUGAGGUGGGCUAUAAAUAGAAGGGGAGCUCGUGUGUGAGGGCUCUCUCGGCCAUUCCUUGCACAUAUUGAGCUCAUUUGUGAUCCUCCCACUCAUUCUCUCACACUCCUUGCUUGAGAUUGCAUUCUAGUGAGAGAUUGAGAGUUCCUAGUGCAUUUGCAUCCAUUGGUGAUUCUUGAGGCACUAGGUGGUACACCGAGCAAGCGUCAUCGGCUUGUUACUCUUGGAGGUUGCCGCCUCCUAGACGGCUCGGGUGUUGUCUCCGUCGAGCUCUCCAAGAAGAUUGUGGAGAAGUCGCGGUGUCUAUUGUGAGGGGUUCGCUCCUACCUCGUCGGAGCGGCAAAGGCGACGCUAGUGGAAACGAGGUAUUGAGUGAUUUCUUGUCCACUUGGCUCAAAGAUCAAGCCGCGUUUUGAUAGAGGAGCAAGUGAGAGCUUGAAGUCCACCUCAACGUGGAUUAGGGGUGAUCGGCAAAUCACCGAUACCACGGGAUAAAUCUGGUGUCUUUCUCUUCUCGCAUUACUUAUUAUCGUGCAAGUAAUUAGUAUUUCGCAUAUUGUCUUUCUCGUAUACAAUUACCAUAGUUGUUUCUAAUAGAUUGCUUACUUGUUGUCACUAGAGAAUUUAUACCUCUUGUCAUAUUGAUUAAAUUUCUCUACUGUUUUUUAUUUUAGUCAAAACCGUAUAUUCACCCCCCCUCUAGCCGGUGUCCUAGAUCCUACAAGUGGUAUCAGAGCCGAGGACUCCAUUGUUUGUGGAUCUAAUCAUCCCAGAGUUUGACAAAAUGGCUAGUAACAACAAUGUGCACAUUGGGAAGCCACCGUAUUUUGAUGGGAAUAACUAUGACUAUUGGAAAAUAAGAAUGUCAAUGCAUCUUAGAGCGAUGGGUGGAAAAAUUUGGCCAAUUGUCAAGGAUGGGUUUGUUGUGUUGAAAGAAGAUGAACUAUCAGCUAGUGACAAUGAAAACAUUCUUACAAAUGAUCAAGCCAGGAAUGUAUUCUAUGAUGCUCUUGACAUAAAUGAGUUCAACUGUAUCAAGAAUCUCACAACUGCUCAUGAGAUUUGGAUUAAGCUAAUGGAAAUUCAUGAAGGAACUACAAUUGUGAAGAGUGCAAAGCUAUAUGUGUGCAAAGGAUAAUUUGAGCAAUUCAUUAUGAAAGAAGAUGAAAGUGUAUCCGAUAUGUUCAAUCGGUUAAAUGAGAUAGUGAAUGGGCUCAAGGGACUUGGUUUUGAUGUACCAGAUGUGGAUUUCACUCAUAGGUUCCUUAGAUCUCUUCCGGAGAAGUAUGAGACUAAUGUGACCAUGUUAGUAAGAAGUGAUCUAUCUACAACUUCUCCAACUGAAGUAUUGGGGGAAAUUCUUACUCAAUAUAUAUUCAAGAAAUCUCAAGCCGACGCUAUAAGUUUGGCAAAGAAAGUGAAGAAUAAAUCAAUCGCUCUCAAAGCUAAAGCUUCUAAGGCAAUUGAAAAAGAAGAUAGUGAUGAUGAAGAAAAUGAAAGUGAGAGUGAUGGAGAUAUGGCUCUAUUUGUAAAGAAAUUCAACAAAUUCAUGAAGACAAAGAGGGGUCAACCUAGAAGAGGCCAAACAUCAAGAAGAAAUGCUUUCAAUGAUAUAUAGUGUUUUGAGUGUGGGGAACCCGGUCACAUCACCAUGAAUUGCCCUAACAAGAAGAAGAAGGGCAAAGAUGGAGAUGAUAAGAAGAAGAAGAAAUUCUACAACAAGAAGAAAGAUGGCAAAGCCUACCUAGUUGAAUGGGAUUCAGAUGAUAGCUCAGAUGAUGAUGAUGAUGAUGAUGAUGACACCUCAUCCAAGCUUAAUGCCGAAAUUGCCAUCAAGGAAGCCCCUUCACUUUUCUCAUCCCCUCAUUGUCUCAUGGCAAAGGGAGAUGCUAAGGUAAAAAUCAUCACCGAUUUAAAUGAUAUAGAUGAUGGUGUUGAUGAUGUUGAUGAUGAUGGCUAUUCAUAUGAUGAUCUUGUUAGAAUGUUAGGUGAGGUCGAUGACUACAUGCACAAAGAAAAAGAGAAGUUUAAGACCUUGAAGGAAUUGUAUAAAAACCGCCAAGUGUCUUUUGAGGAGCUCAAGACCUCUCACAACGAUCUAAAAGAGAAUUGUGAGAAGCUUAUGGAAGCUCAAAACUCAUCUAUUCUGCAUGAAGUUGUGGUGGUCACCGAGGAUGUUGGGGUCACUUGUGACUUACUUGAUAGUCCUACAAGUGAACCACAACCUACUAACUCUUUUUUUGAUAAAUGCAAAAUUUCUCUUAUGAAUGAUAACAUUGCUCAUGAUGAAUCACAAAUCAUUGUUGAGAAUAAAGUAUUAGUAGAUAGAGUGAAUGCUCUAACCCAUGAUCUACAAAGGCAUAUGGUGAAAAGGCUAAAUUGGAUUUCAUAUUGGGAAGUCAACGGUGCUCAUUUAAUCGUGAGGGUCUUGGAUAUUGUUGGGGAGGAAAUCUCCCCGGCCGGGUGGCGGAUUGCACCCGCCCUAAAUCCUAAAGAGAGGAGGGGCCUAAGCGUUUUACUUGCUACGAGACUGGUGGAUCAACACACGAGAGCACGCGAGGGUUUAGAGUGGUUCGGGCCGCCGGAGCGUAAUACCCUACUCCACUGUGUGAUGUAUUGCUUGGGAGCUUGUAUGAACUUGUGAGUGUCUGCCUAAAGCUAGGUCUGAGAGCCUCCUCCCUUGUAACGUCGUAUGCCUCCCCUUUUAUAGCUGAAGGGGGGCAUGCACAAAAGGACUGGGCCCCGACAUGUGGGCUUAGGGACAUAAAGAAUAUAGUGCUUGGAUCCUCUAAUGUCUGUUGCCGAGGCAAUCUUCUUAUGCCUGAGAGCACCUAGAGGGGGGGUGAAUAGGUGAUCCUGUGAAACUUAAACUUAUAGCCACAAAAACUUGUUAAGUGUUAGCACAAUAAUCGCCAAGUGGCUAGAGAGAAGGUCUUGCACAAUACGAUAAUCAUAAAGAAUUCAACACAGAGAAGACACAGUGAUUUAUCCCGUGGUUCGGCCAAGUACAAAACUUGCCUACUCCACGUUGUGGCGUCCCAACGGACGAGAGUUGCACUCAACUCCUCUCAAGUGAUCCAAUGAUCAACUUGAAUACCACAGUGUUAUGCUUUUCUUUUCUUAUCCCGUUCGCGAGGAAUCUCCACAACUUGGAGCCUCUCGCCCUUACACUUUUGAUGUUCACAAAGAAUCACGGAGUAAGGAAGGGAAGCAACACACACAAAUCCACAGCAAAAUGCGCACACACACGGCCAAGAAUCGAGCUCAAAAGACUAUCUCAAAGUUCUCACUAGAACGGAGCUCGAAUCACUGAGAAUGACAAACGAAUGCGCAAAGACUGAGUGUGGAUGAUCAAGAAUGCUCUAAGGUUGCUUGGUAUACUCCUCCAUGCGCCUAGGGUCCCUUUUAUAGCCCCAAGGCAGCUAGGAGCCGUUGAGAGCAAUUCUGGAAGGCUGAUCUUGCCUUCUGUCAUCGGGCGCACCGGACAGUCCGGUGCACACCGGACACUGUCCGGUGCCCGAUUUUCUUCCUAAAAUGGCACAGCCGACCGUUGCUGAUCUGGGAGCCGUUGGCGCACCGGACAUGUCCGGUGCCCCCUUCUAGCCGUUGGCUUGGCCACGUGUCGCGCGCAGAUUCCGCGGUCGACCGUUGGCCCGGCCGACCGUUGGCUCACCGGACAGUCCGGUGCACACCGGACAGUCCGGUGAAUUUUAGCCGUACGUCGUCGGCGAAUUCCCGAGAGCGGCCACUUCGCUCGAGCCAGCCUGGCGCACCGGACACUGUCCGGUGCACCACCGGACAGUCCGGUGCCCCAGACCGAAACAGCCUUUUGGCUGUACACAGCCAACUCUUCUCUUUUCUUCUUUCUGUUUCUGAUACUUAGACAAGUAUAUUAGUACACAAAACUAAUGUACUAAGACUUAGAAACAUACCUUUGCUCUUGAUUUGCACUUUGUCCAUUCAUGGGCAUAGAUUUACAUUUAAGCACUUGUGUUGGCACUCAAUCACCAAAAUACUUAGAAAUGGCCCAAGGGCACAUUUCCCUUUCAAUCUCCCCCUUUUUGGUGAUUUAUGCCAACACAACAUAAAGCAACUAGAACAAGUGCAAUAUCACUUCAAAUAAAAACUCAAAUUUAUUUUGAUUCAAUUUGGCAUAUAUGGAUCAUCCUUUGCCACCACUUGGUUUGUUUUUGCAAAUCAAACUCAAAAUCCUAUCUCUAAGUCAAAUCCACUUGUAGAGACAUAAAGAGAGGUUUUCCAAAGAAAAUUGAUUCAAGAUUCCAAAAACUCCCCCUUUUUCCCAUAAUCAACACUUCUCCCUACAAGAGGCCAACUUUUGACAAAAGAGACAAUGCAAGAGUUUUGACAAACCAAAAGCUCUAUCCUACUAUUUUCAAAGUUUCUCAAGUGGUAGCUGAUCCAUUUAUUGCUUUGGCCUUUAUUUUCUCCCCCUUUGGCAUCAAGCACCAAAACGGGAUCAAUCUUGGCCCUUUAACCCCAUUGCCUCACCAAAAUCUUCAAUUAAGAGCAAAUAGGCAAUCUCUACUACUUAUUAAGUAAGCAAUAGUAGUCUGCCUCUGACGCGUUCUGCCGUUCUGCCGUUCUGCCGUCGUUAGUCCCGCGCAACAAAAUAAACAGUACAUGCACAAGUUUAUACACCAUGUUCUGUUCCAUCUCUCUCAAUAAGCAACAUAGAAUCCACAGCUGCCCUUAUAAGCCAUGUUUCUUCACUCUCAAUGCCCGAUGUGGCACUAAUAAAAUAAAUGGCACGCGCCUGUGGCAUUUUUUCGUGCGGCCCAAUGCAUUUUGUGGAUCUGAGGCCCAUUCAUUUGCAGCCGGCGUCCAGCCCACAGAGGGAGCGUGCGCGUGACCUAGCCUCCUCCAUUCCUCGCGAUGCCCGAGUCCGAGUGGGAGGUACGACGGUGGAGGAGCUCCGUUAUCGGCGUCGAAGCGCGGUCCCAUGCCGAGUCCAACCCGCGCCGCUGCGACCUCUCUCUCGACCGCGAGUACGCCGCGCGCCAAGCGAGAGCCAGCUGCUCUACGUCAAGAUCCGGUAAACCUUACCUCCCAGCAAUGGCGAGAACUUCCAAUUUCAUUCCUUGCACUUCCCGCCUCUCCCUCGAACUCUCGGUCCCACCGCUGUUCCCCCGACCCAACGAUGAAUCCGCCAUCCACGGUAGCAAGCGGCGGGGUCCCCCACCCCUCGCUCGUCCGGUGCUGUGGCGAAGAGGGUCAAUCCCUACCCUCGGCUGCCUUUGUGCGUUCCUCGCCACUGCCCAUGGUACGCUGAUAGCUGAGGUCUGAUGACGAAGGUGUUGUCCGUAUUUACGCAGUCACAGCUCCCACCCCCGCCCUCGCAUAUGUCUCCCUCCCAUGGAGCUCGUCGUGCCCCUGCCCCGGCUCCAUCAUCGCGUGAAUCUAGCCCCCGCCCCCUUCUCCUGCAUCCUUGCAUCGACAGCGCCGAGAUUGCAGCAGUCCUGAUUGCAGAGAUGCACGCCCCCUUCCAACCACCAUGCCUCCUUCUAUCAACGGAGCGCCCCCGCCCCAAAACAUCGCCGCCACGGAACUGUAGCCCCCGUGGCACGUGGCUGCAGGCCCCCUCCCCCAACCCCCUUCCACCACUUGAGUCUACAGCCCGUGAGAAAAAGCGACGACGUCGGGUGGUCUCCCGGUUGGUGGUCCUGCUCGGAUCCUCACCUUGAUGGGCCACCCUUCCCUCGUUGCCCCACCACGUCGGCUCGAGUUCCUUUUGACGGGCGCCGGUGCUGUGGCGGCGUUGGUGGACGCCGGGCAGCCUCCCGAUUGGUUGUCCUUCUCGGAUCCUCACUUUCCGCUGUGUCGGAUUGAGUUUGUUUCGAUGGGCACCUGUGCUGUGACGGCGUUGGCUAUGGUCGGAGAUGGGUCGCCGGCGCAAGGCGCAAGAUCUGAGCCGCCAUCCAUUUUUUUUAAAAAAAACUGUGAAGCCUUGCGUUCGUCCUGGUGUUCUUCAUUUGUUUUUUUUUGCCAUCGUUGUCAUACGUAAUAUUCUUGUCCACAUCGUUCUGGAGUCCAGCCACUGGUCCACAUCGAAGUAAAGUUACAUACAUAUGAUCAGGUGAGUAAGUAGUAUUCUUUUUUUUUGCGGACACAUCGAAAUACCGAAUAAUACUGAAUGUCCAAAGAAUAAUCUCUGAAUGUGAUCUCAAAAGUCUAACAAUACAAACCUGAUGAACACAUAAAGUGGUUUCCCAGGAUAUAGACCCAAGAAGUUAUAUGCUAGGCUGCUAACGUCGGAGAGAGUGAGACCCAUGACCCUAAAACAUACAUUGUAUACUUUUCAGAUUUCAUUUGAGUCAAAGACAAAAAGAAAGGAAAAAUCAUUUUUUGGUAUUUGUCGGGCAAGGAAUAUGAAAACCAUUUAUUUUGUUUAUAUGAGUUACUCCUUUCCCUUUCCUCAACUGUUCUAUAUCUUGGAAAUAAUCUCUGAGGAUGAACACCACGGUUCAGUUUUAGAGACCACACAGUUCACCAAGUAUGAUAGUGGUCGUUUACCAUUUCUUAACUAAAUAUCUGAACCAUUGUUGUUUUGUUCGAGUAGGGAAGGGAAGUUGUGUUCAUCUGGCAAUGUGAUAAAAAUAAAUAUGCAUUGUGUUGUUCUUUUACUGGAUAAAUAUGCAAUGUGAUAAAAAUAAAUUUCCUUAUUAUUGAAGAUGGACAUAAACGGCGUCUACUAGCCCAUCCACGUCAUCGGAAAACUUUGUAGCCGUUCAAUCAUGGAUCAUUGGUCCACCUUCCUCGCCUGCUCUCUCAUACGCCCCUCGUGUAUAAUGAUCCAUUGCGAAACUUCGAUUAUGCUUUUACUACCGUCCAGAUUUAUUUGGACUGAAGUUCAUUGUAGAUUCUAAAUAUUUGAAGUACUUUACCGUUGUUGUGGAAGAUGAAUAGAUGGUUAUAUUACGGUCAUACAAUUACUUUAGCAUUGCCUCGGGUCAUCAUGUUUCUACAUCAUUUUUGCUGUCAAAAAUAUAAAGCAAGGCAUAUUUAAACAAUGUAUUAUAAAAUGAAUUUUCUUGUUUUCUAGAAACUCAAUAUAGCAUGUUGUUCUUGCCUCCUCCUACCUUCCUAUUUUGUAAAUCUUUGAUAGAUUUAUUUCCUUAGUUCCUAAAUUGAUGCUCCAGUUUGUGUGACCUAUUUUCUACAGGUUUCAGGAUGGCAGGAGGGUUUUUAACUCACCAUCAUUACAUUGGAAUUAUUUUCGGUAUAUUGCAGCUGUCACCUUCUUAGUACCAUGGAAUUUCUUUAGCACCACAGAGUUAAGACACUAUCCUAAAUUUAUGAGGGCCCGUGCGUUGCGACGGGAGUAAACCCUAAACAAUAAGAACCAAUUACUAGAUAUCUUAAUCACUGCUUACGUCUGUUGACAUUGUCUUCCACAUGGUAAAUAAGCUUUCAGAUAAUGUAAACAAGCUCUCCCUCGCCCAUGCUGCUGCUAGCACAUCAGUCACCGACACCACAACUCAGGCAACUUCCUCAGCUUUCCGGGCACAUCAGUCACCUACUAAUCUCCAAUUGUAUGUUUUUCUUAUACUAGGUGUUUCUACUGCUGCUGCUAGCACAUCAGUCACCGGCACCACAACUCAGGCAACUUCCUCAGCUCUUCAAACAAGCAAGGAGUGUACAAUUUUCCUUAGCCUGUUUCUACUACUAAUUCUUGUUUCUGAACUGGUAUUUUCAUUUUCUUUGUGCAAUCCAACUACUACAUCUAUCACUCCAGCAUCAUCCCAAACGUUUCAAAUAUGUACCAUAUAGUAGUCUGGAGUUGCACAUAUAUAUUUUAGGUCCCAAUGCCCAAAAUCUUUUAGAUCCCAGUUCAUACCAAUUUAAUGUUAAAUUUGCCCCCCAACUGAUCUUGAUUUCUAUUCUCAGCAUUACAUUGGUGAUAUCUCAGAGUUGAAACUAUAUUUUUAUUGUAAAUAAUAAAAUGGUGAACAAUGUGAAGAACUUCUCCCCAGCGGGAGGCACAUGCGUGUUUAUCCAUCUUGUUGCCAAUCAUCGGUUAAACUACUAGGUAAAAAGAUUGUAGUCAUAUCAUUGGAUGCAUUGGAAGGCUUUGCUAAAGGUUUUCCUGUUUUUUAUCAUAGAUCCGUGCACAAGAUUUGUCUUGAUUUUUUGUUUGUUUCAGAGACAUUGAAGAAGCAAGAUAUUUUUCUCCACCCCAAAAAGGAUGACAGAUGUGAGCACCAUGAAGAUUCCAUUAACAACUCACAGUGGCAUUAUGUCAAGUGAGCACCUGUUUCAUCAAACUCAAUGGAGCGAUCCUUGAUUUCGAACGAGACAUUGAAGAAGUAAGAUAUUUUUCUCCACCCUGAAAAGGAUGACAUAUGUUUUGUGACCAAGAAGAGGAGACUUCAGAUGGAUAUAUAGCAGAUCUGUCGCAGCUUGAUAUGUUUUUGACGUCCGGAACUAAUACCAAUGGUAUUGUGUGGAUACCUUUAUAGUAAUGCUUUGAACAUUAUGAACCAUGAAUACAUCUAAACUAACACCAAUUAGUUGAAGUGGUUGGAUAGAGACAUCCACAACAAAAUUCUGAUGCAUGAAUUCAGUGACGAAUCAUUCCUUUCAGGUGGAUCUAUUGAUUAUUACAGAACACUGACCAAACCAGAAAGACAGGUCCGUCCUCAUGGUUGCCUGGGAGGUUCAGUGCACUAAAUAAAUUGGCUUUCCUCAGCAAGUAUGUGGUAUCCCAUGGCAAGGUAAUCAUUAUUAGCUUCUAUUGGCAAUCGACUAACAUGGUGAGCUAUUAACUGUAGAGAAAGCAGUACAUCUGGCGAUCCGGACUGCCCCGCGCCUCCAUCCAUUUUAGAGAAAGCAAUAUUCUGUUCUCAGCAGUUUUCUAUAGGUUUACCCAGCAAAAUCUCCCAGCUUGGAAGCCAGCAAUGACACCUGGAUUUGUAAUAGAAUGGUUUGAUAAAGGUUAGCUAGAAUUUUACUGUCAUCUCUGUGUGGAAGGUGUCAAUGAAUCAUUAACAGUUUUGACCAAUGUCUUCUUGACUUCAUGUUUCCAUUGCCUUUCUUAUAAAAUGCAGCUACAUGUACAUGUAUCUGGCACAAUGACAGAUUCUAUCUUCAAGAAAGUUUUCACAAAGAAUGUUGCCGCCGCACAACCCCUUCCUGGUUUUCGACUAAUGAAAGGAGGUAUACUUCUGAAACUUUUACAACCCCAGAUUUCUGUCCAUCAUUUGGCGAUUUCAAAUUGCCUAAAACUGUGCUCGUGUGAUUUGUACCCUCAUCCCACAAACUUUGAAUUCACCUCAGAUGUACUUAAAGGAUACGUGUUCAAUAUGCCAUAUCAGUUAAGCUGUAAAGUAGUUUGGUUGCUUGUAUCAUACCUUGUUUAAAAUUGCCAUAUGAAAACUAACACUGCUUACGUUUGUUGACAUUGUCUUCCACAUGGUGCUAUCUUAAUCAUCCAGGGAAAACUCCAGACGUAAGUUCCCAUUCAAAAGUAUUGAUUUCAGUUAUCUAAGUUGCUCCUAAUAGGCACUCUUUUGAUGUACCCUUUAUCAUCUUUUGAGUUCUGGUGUAAAGUAGAGAUGCCUGGUGAUUGUCUCUUUGUAGAUACUCUUAGAUUUGGGUUUAGUUUUUUCAUGUAUUUAGUUCAUUCAUUAAUUUUCAUGAUUCAUUUUAGUUUUGUAUUGGUUGUUGCCAAAGAAUUUGUAAGAUUUUGAGGUCGAUAAUAUAUAUGAUAUUUGAUUUUAUAUAAUCGUUGUGCACUAACAUUUUAUCGAAUAUUUUGUAUACCGUUGCAACGCACGGGCAUAUACCUAGUAAGAGUUUAAAGAUGAACUUGGAAAAAGUUACCCUCUCAUCGGAGUGCAGUGGAAGUCUUUCACGGUCCAAGUCCACCUUUCCCUUUCAAACCUUCUUUGAGACUAAAACAAUCAAACUCAAGCAAACGGUUAGUCUCAAAGGGUCAAGUUGUAACACAUCUCCCCCUAAAUAUGUGCAUUACUGGCACAAGGACUUGUGAGGUCCGGGGAGUGCUUGUACAACUUGAGCACCAUAACAACACAAUGCAGAAUGAACAUGAUUAAAGGCAUAAACACAUGUAUGCUAUAAAUCAAUCCAGGUUCCGCGAAUCUAAGACAUUUAGCUCACUACGCAACCUGCAAAAGGUCUUCUCAUCUAGAGGCUUAGUGAAGAUAUCGGCUAGCUGAUUCUCGGUGCUAACAUGAAACACUUCGAUAUCCCCCUUUUGCUGGUGGUCUCUCAAAAAGUGAUGCCGGAUGUCAAUGUGCUUUGUGCGGCUGUGUUCAACAGGAUUUUCCGCCAUGCGGAUAGCACUCUCAUUGUCACAUAGGAGUGGGACUUUGCUCAGAUUGUAGCCAAAGUCCCUGAGGGUUUGCCUCAUCCAAAGUAGUUGCGCGCAACACUGUCCUGCGGCAACGUACUCGGCCUCAGCGGUGGAUAGGGCAACGAAGGUUUGUUUCUUAGAGUUCCAUGACACCAGGGACCUUCCUAAGAAUUGGCACGUCCCCGAUGUACUCUUCCUAUCGACCUUACAUCCAACAUAGUCGGAAUCUGAGUAUCCAACCAAGUCAAAGGUAGACCCCUUUGGAUACCAGAGCCCGAAGCAGGGCGUAGCAACCAAAUAUCUAAGAAUUCGCUUCACCGCCACUAAGUGACACUCCUUAGGAUCGGAUUGAAAUCUAGCACACAUGCAUACGCUAAGCAUAAUAUCCGGUCUACUAGCACAUAAAUAAAGUAAAGACCCUAUCAUUGACCGGUAUGCUUUUUGAUCAACGGACUUACCUCCUUUGUUGAGGUCGGUGUGUCCGUCGGUCCCCAUCGGAGUCUUUGCGGGCUUGGCGUCCUUCAUCCCAAACCGCUUUAGCAGAUCUUGCGUGUACUUCGUUUGGGAGAUGAAGGUGCCGUCUUUGAGUUGCUUCACUUGGAACCCAAGGAAGUAGUUCAACUCGCCCAUCAUCGACAUCUCGAAUUUCUGCGUCAUCACCACACGUGGUCGGGGUACCGUUCAUCCUCGAAGCCAGGGGGUUGCUCCACGUACACCUCCUCCUUGAUUGCCCCGUUGAGGAAAGCGCUCUUUACAUCCAUUUGGAACAACCUGAAAGAAUGGUGAGCGGCAUAUGCUAGCAAGAUACGAAUUGAUUCUAGCCUAGCCACAGGAGCAAACGUCUCCUCAAAGUCCAAACCUGCGACUUGGGCAUAACCUUUUGCCACAAGUCGAGCCUUGUUCCUCGUCACCACCCCGUGCUCGUCCUGUUUGUUGCGGAAUACCCACUUGGUUCCCACAACGUUUUGCUUGGGACGAGGCACCAGUGUCCAAACUUCAUUGCGCUUGAAGUUGUUGAGUUCCUCCUGCAUGGCUAACACCCAGUCCGGAUCUAGCAAGGCCUCUUCUACCCUGAAAGGCUCAAUAGAAGAGACAAAAGAGUAAUGCUCACAAAAUUUAACUAAUCGAGAUCGAGUAGUUACUCCCUUGCUAAUAUCACCCAGAAUUUGGUCGACGGGAUGAUCCCUUUGAAUCAUCGCUCGAACUUGGGUUGGAGGUGCCGGUUGUGCUUCUUCCUCCAUCACAUGAUCAUCUUGUGCUCCCCCUUGAUCACACUCCUCUUGAUGAACCUGUUCAUCGUUUUGAGUUGGGGGAUGCAUCAUUGUUGAGGAAGAAGGUUGAUCUUGCUCCAAUUGUUCCUGUGGUCGCACAUCACCAAUUGCCAUGGUGCGCAUAGCGGCCGUUGGAACGUCUUCUUCAUCUAUAUCAUCAAGAUCAACAACUUGCUCUCUUGGAGAGCCAUUAGUCUCAUCAAAUACAACGUCGCUAGAGACUUCAACCAAACCCGAUGAUUUGUUGAAGACUCUAUACGCCUUUGUAUUUGAGUCAUAACCUAACAAAAACCCUUCUACAGCUUUGGGAGCAAACUUAGAAUUUCUACCCUUCUUUACUAGAAUGUAGCACUUGCUCCCAAAUACACGAAAGUAAGAUACAUUGGGUUUGUUACCGGUUAGUAGCUCAUACGAAGUCUUCUUGAGGAGGCGAUGAAGGUAGACCCUGUUGAUGGCGUGGCAAGCCGUGUUCACGGCUUCCGACCAGAAACACUCGGGGGUCUUGAAUUCUCCAAGCAUCGUCCUCGCCAUAUCGAUUAGUGUCAUGUUCUUCCUCUCUACCACACCAUUUUGCUGUGGUGUGUAGGGAGCGGAGAACUCGUGCUUGAUCCCUUCCUCCUCAAGGAACUCCUCCACUUGAAGGUUCUUGAACUCGGACCCGUUAUCGCUCCUUAUCUUCUUCACCUUGAGUUCAAACUCAUUUUGAGCUCUCCUGAGGAAGCGCUUGAGGGUCCCUUGGGUUUCAGACUUAUCCUGCAAAAAGAACACCCAAGUGAAGCGGGAAAAGUCAUCAACGAUAACUAGACCAUACUUACUUCCUCCUAUGCUCAGAUAGGCGACGGGUCCGAAGAGGUCCAUAUGUAGCAGCUCCAGGGGUCUUGAUGUUGUCAUCACAUUUUUGGUGUGAUGAGAGCCUCCCACCUGUUUCCCUGCUUGACAAGCUGCACAAAGUCUAUCUUUUUCGAAAUGAACAUUGGUUAGACCUAUCACGUGUUCUCCCUUUAGAAGCUUGUGGAGGUUCUUCAUCCCCACAUGUGCUAAGCGGCGAUGCCACAGCCAGCCCAUGCAAGUCUUAGCCAUUAAGCAUGCAUCUAGAUCGGCCUCUUCUUUUGCAAAAUCAACUAAGUAAAGCUUGCCGUCUAGAAUACCCUUAAAAGCUAGUGAACCAUCACAUCUUCUAAAGACAAACACAUCUACAUUUGUAAAUAGACAAUUAUAUCCCAUAUUGCAUAAUUGACUAACAGAUAACAAAUUAUAUCCAAGAGACUCAACUAAAAACACAUUAGAGAUAGAGUGCUCAUUAGAUAUUGCAAUUUUACCUAACCCUUUUACCUUGCCUUGAUUCCCAUCACCGAAUAUAAUUGAAUCUUGGGAAUCCUUAUUCUUGACGUAGGAGGUGAACAUCUUCUUCUCCCCCGUCAUAUGGUUUGUGCAUCCGCUGUCAAUAAUCCAGCUUGAACCCCCGGAUGCAUAAACCUGCAAGGCAAAUUUAGGCUUGGGUCUUAGGUACCCAACUCAUGUUGGGUCCUACAAGGUUAGUGCAAAUAUCCUUAGGGACCCAAAUGCAAGUUUUGUCUCCCUUGCAUUUUGCCCCUAACUUCCUAGCAACUAUUUUCCUAUCCUUUCUACAAAUAGCAAAAGAAGCAUUUAAAGCACGAUAAAUUGUAGAAGGUUCAUUCAUUACUUUCCUAGGAGCAUGAAUAAUAUUCUUUCUAGGCAUAUGAUGAAUAGCACUUCUCCUAGACAUAUUUCUACCAUGCAUAUAGGACGAACUAGAAGCAAACAUGGCAUGAGAAUCAAAAUCAUCAUAAGCAUUAUAACUCCUACAAGCAUUUCUAGUUUGUCUUCUAUCAUGAUACAUAAAAGCAUGGUUCUUUUUAGCACUACUAGCCAUAGGAGCCUUCCCUUUCUCCUUGGCGGAGAUAGGAGCCUUAUGGCUUGUCAGGUCCUUGGCUUCCCUCUUGUAGCCAAGUCCAUCCUUAAUUGAGGGGUGUCUACCAAUUGUGUAGGCAUCCCUUGCAAAUUUUAGCUUAUCAAAAUUACUCUUGCUAGUCUUAAGUUGAGCAUUAAGACUAGCCAAUUCAUCAUUAAGUUUGGAAAUUGAAACUAGGUGUUCACUACAAGCAUCAAUGUCAAAAUCUCUACACCUAUUACAAGUUUCAACAAUUUCUACACAAGAUGUUGAUUUACUAGCUAUUUCUAACUUAGCAUUUAAAUCAUCAUUAAAACUUUUUAACUUAGCAAUAGUUUCAUGACAAGAAGAUAAUUCACUAGAGAGCAUUUCAUUCCUCUUAAUUUCUAGAGCAAGAGAUUUCUGAGCUUCUACAAAUUUAUCAUGCUCUUCAUACAACAAAUCCUCUUGCUUUUCUAGAAGUAUAUUCCUAUCAUUCAAUGCAUCAAUUAAUUCAUUAAUUUUGUCUACCUUGGUUCUAUCUAAUCCCUUGAAUAAGCAUGAGUAAUCUAUCUCAUCAUCAUCACUAGACUCAUCCUCACUUGAAGAAGCAUAAGUACUAGUAUUAUGAGUGCUUACUUUCUUCUCCCUUGCCAUGAGGCAAGUGUGACGUUCGUUGGGGAAGAGGGAUGACUUGUUGAAGGCAGUGGCGACGAGUCCUUCAUUGUCGGAGUCGGACGAAGAGCAGUCUGAGUCCCACUCCUUGCCAAGAUGAGCCUCGCCCUUUGCCUUCUUAUAGUUCUUCUUUUUCUCCCUCUUGUUCCCUUGAUCCUGAUCACUAUCAUUGUCGGGACAGUUAGCAAUAAAAUGACCAAGCUUACCGCAUUUGAAGCAUGAGCGCUUCCCCUUGGCUUUGGUCUUGCUUGGCUGUCCCUUGCGACUUUUAAGCACCGUCUUGAAUCUUUUGAUGAUGAGAGCCAUCUCUUCAUCAUUAAGUCCGGCCGCCUCAAACUGUGCCACCUUGCUAGGUAGCGCCUCCUUGCUUCGUGUUGCCUUGAGAGCAAGGGGUUGCGGCUCGUUGAUCGGGCCAUUCAUGGCGUCGUCCACGUACCUUGCCUCCUUGAUCAUCAUUCGCCCGCUAACGAAUUUCCCAAGAACUUCUUUGGGCGACAUCUUGGUGUACCUGGGAUUUUCACGAAUAUUGUUCACCAAAUGAGGAUCAAGAACGGUAAAUGACCUUAGCAUUAGGCGGACGACGUCGUGGUCCGUCCAUCGCGUGCUCCCGUAGCUCCUUAUUUUGUUGAUAAGGGUCUUGAGUCUGUUGUAUGUUUGUGUCGGCUCCUCGCCCCUUAUCAUCGCGAACCGUCCAAGCUCGCCCUCCACCAACUCCAUUUUGGUGAGCAAGGUGACAUCAUUCCCCUCAUGAGAGAUCUUGAGGGUGUCCCAGAUCUGCUUGGCAUUGUCCAAGCCGCUCACCUUAUGGUACUCGUCCCUGCACAAAGAGGCUAGCAACACAGUAGUAGCUUGUGCAUUUUUAUGAAUCUGUUCAUUAAUAAACAUGGGACUAUCCGUACUAUCAAAGUGCAUUCCACUUUCUACAAUCUCCCAUAUGCUAGGAUGGAGAGAGAACAAGUGACUACGCAUUUUGUGACUCCAAAAUCCGUAGUCCUCUCCAUCAAAAUGAGGAGGUUUACCAAGUGGAAUAGAUAAUAAAUGAGCAUUAGUAUUUUGAGGAAUACGAGAGUAAUCAAAAGAAAAGUUUGAAUUGACCGGUUUCUUUCUCUCGUAUUCGUUGUGGUCGUCGUCCUUUUGGGAGGAAGUAGACUCAUCGCUGUCAUAGUAGACGAUCUCCUUGAUGCGUCUUGUCUUCUUCUUCUUCCCAUCUUUGCGUCUGUGGCCCGAGCCCGAGUCGUUGGACUUGUCAUCCCUUGGCUCGUUGACGAAGGACUCCUUCUCCUUGUCGUUGAUCACGAUUCCCUUCCCUUUAGGAUCCAUCUCUUCGGGCGGUUAGUCCCUUUGUGAAGAGAACUGCUCUGAUACCAAUUGAGAGCACCUAGAGGGGGGGGUGAAUAGGUGAUCCUGUGAAACUUAAACUUAUAGCCACAAAAACUUGUUAAGUGUUAGCACAAUAAUCGCCAAGUGGCUAGAGAGAAGGUCUUGCACAAUACGAUAAUCACAAAGAAUUCAACACAGAGAAGACACAGUGAUUUAUCCCGUGGUUCGGCCAAGUACAAAACUUGCCUACUCCACGUUGUGGCGUCCCAACGGACGAGAGUUGCACUCAACUCCUCUCAAGUGAUCCAAUGAUCAACUUGAAUACCACAGUGUUAUGCUUUUCUUUUCUUAUCCCGUUCGCGAGGAAUCUCCACAACUUGGAGCCUCUCGCCCUUACACUUUUGAUGUUCACAAAGAAUCACGGAGUAAGGAAGGGAAGCAACACACACAAAUCCACAGCAAAAUGCGCACACACGGCCAAGAAUCGAGCUCAAAAGACUAUCUCAAAGUUCUCACUAGAACGGAGCUCGAAUCACUGAGAAUGACAAACGAAUGCGCAAAGACUGAGUGUGGAUGAUCAAGAAUGCUCUAAGGUUGCUUGGUAUACUCCUCCAUGCGCCUAGGGGUCCCUUUUAUAGCCCCAAGGCAGCUAGGAGCCGUUGAGAGCAAUUCUGGAAGGCUGAUCUUGCCUUCUGUCAUCGGGCGCACCGGACAGUCCGGUGCACACCGGACACUGUCCGGUGCCCGAUUUCCUUCCUAAAAUGGCACAGCCGACCGUUGCUGAUCUGGGAGCCGUUGGCGCACCGGACAUGUCAGGUGCACACCGGACAGUCCGGUGCACCCUUCUAGCCGUUGGCUUGGCCACGUGUCGCGCGCAGAUUCCGCGGCCGACCGUUGGCCCGGCCGACCGUUGGCUCACCGGACAGUCCGGUGCACACCGGACAGUCCGGUGAAUUUUAACCGUUGGCUCACCGGACAGUCUGGUGCACACCGGACAGUCCGGUGCACACCGGACAGUCCGGUGAAUUCAGUGCCCUGGCGCUCGAGGUCUGCGUAUCCUUGGCGUGCAGGGGAAGGUUCUUGCGGAAGAGAAGAUGAGUACAGCGCGCCGCUCGGCACGGGCGCAAUGUUUGCCAGCCGACCCAGCAAGCGCGCCGCCUGCUGGAUGACCUUGACGCCGCCUGCCAGCGGAUGGGACGGGACGCAUUAAAUGCUGAGAGGGCACGUCGCCCGUCAGCGCAGUGGCAGGCGGCACGUCUUUUCCUCAACAAAUGCAGGGGCUGCACGACUUCUCGUCAGGUUUGGCCCGGUAGCUUAUGUUAUGGGCCACAAGCAGCGGGUCUCCGCCUGAGCGGGAAGUGGAGGGCAAGGCCCGCACACGUGUCAGCACCGGACCCCUGCACACACCAUGGUCCUUCUCGUUCCGGGACCCUGCUGGAGUUCGGACCUACCCGGAGGCUCCAGACUUAUAUGUAUAUAGGGGUCCGGUGUCCUUCUGUAGGGGUCCGGACUUAUUGAGGUGUGGUGUCUUUCCUUGCCACGUGGUGCCUUUGGCCUGCCCAUCCGGUGGGGUCAGGCGCCGUCCUCUGCAUGGCUAGAAGAUGUCACAUGGGUGCGGUGUCUUCAUGCUGUAGGAGAGGGUACCCCUGAUUUAGGGUACCGACAGUGGCCCCCGGUCUCGCCUCAGGGGAGGAUGUGAGCCUGCAGGUGAGACCAGAGUCUGAUCGGCGGUUGGACCGCUGCUUCCGUGCGCCUGUUGCUGCAAUUACUGCCGGCCCGCCUAUGGCCACACCAACUGUCGUGCCUAUUCCCACGGCUGGCUGACCCGUGACCGUCGUACUUAACGACAUUGUUGGGCCAUGUGCGGGGCUGCCUCGAGUCGCUGCACUGGUUCUGAAAAUUUUACUUUUUCAGAAUCCCGUGAAAGCCCCGAGAAGACGUGGCAUUGGCGCAGGCGGCGGUGCUGUUUCUUUGCACACGAUAACCGGCGCACCGGUUACAUGGCGUGUAGGCCUGGGCCCCUGAGUUGGACUGCCAGUUGCGGCGGAGCUGAGGGAGCGCACAGCCGUGGGACGGUUGUACGCUUCUUGCGCGGCGGUUCGCCUCUUUGACCGUUGGAUACGACGAAGAUUAAGGGGCGCUUAAUCGUGGGGCGGCUGGAUGCCCCUUGCGCGGCGGUUUGCCUUCCUGACCGCUGGUUGCCCCGAAAAUGAAGGGGCGCGUAACCGCCGGGCAGUCGUACGCUCCUUCUUAGGGUUAGUUUGCAUGACAUGUGGGGCCUGGCCCCCGUGUCAUAAGGUGGGAUCCUUGGUGCACGCCGGGGGAGACUUCACCCGUGACGCUUCAGGGGCGCGAGCGGGGAAAUCUGCCUUUAAAAAGGGGUCGAUCUCCCGGGCAGUAGUCAUGCCUUGCUCCUCUUGCGACCACCGCGCCCUUUCACCUUCCGGGCCUCCAAAUGGGGUGGGCCGGUGUUCUCUGGAGGGAUCCGCGUCAAGGCCGUCUCUUCCGGUGACUUCACCAUCGGAGAGCGUGCGCUCGUGGUGGUGUCGCCGAUCUUGUCUUCUUCCUUCUGCUGUUGGAGGGGUGCAACCCCAUGGGGGUUGGUAUCCUUCCACCAUUCGGCUUCAAGGAUUUUCAUCAUGCAGCCCGGCUGCAGUCCCCCGCCGGCGGUCACCCAGAAGGAUGACUACCAGCCUUGUCGUGGGGAGAAGCAAGCCGGGCUGCGACCUCCCUCCUGCCCCCAGCUUCAAGGAUGUUCAUCAUUCGUGCUGGGGAGGAGGGUGUGCCGAGUUGGGGCCCCACCUCUGCGCAGGUAGCGGACCGCUUCUUCCCUCAGUGUUCGGAGGAGAAGGGCGUUCGCUACUCAUGCGGAGGAGGCAAACUUCGGGUACGCGAGGCUGGCUGACUGCGGGUGUCACCAGCCAUCGCGUGCCCGAUGCCUUAGCAUGGAUGGCUUCAGCGCUGCCUCCGAUGCUGCCUUCUGCUGCUGGGUCGGGGCGCGGCUGCCCGUUCACCGCACGGGCGACGGUCACGCCGUGCGCAGGUCCGCCACACCCACGGCUUCUCUCGCGUCGCCGGUCAUGUUCUUGGAUGUCCUCACUCCCUUAGCAAAGACGGGAGUGAGGACCUAUAAGCGCGUUGAGGCAGCCGUCGCCCACCGGUGCAUGGGUGGUUGUCAUCGCUGGUGAGGCCAUCCUGUCGCCGGGCCUCCAACUCUUUGGCUUUAAUGGCCUGUUGUCACCCCCCCCCCCCGCAGGAGGACGGGGGCGAGGUCCUACCCGCAACGGCGUACAUGCUAAGAUGAUCACUGCUGCUGGCGAGUCGUCGGUGCAGAGGCGGUCGUCGCCGUUGGUGCUGAUGCGGUCGCCUCCGCUGGCGAGCCGCUCGGGGCUUGUUAUCCCGCGGCCCUUACUGGUGUGGAGGUACUUCAUUCCUGCAGAAAUGGAGCUGGGGUCCCACUUGUAAGGGAAUGUAACGACAUUUGCUUGAGAGCAAAAUGUAAUAACAUAUGUAUACAAGAUUUUAGCCUAGGAAGCCCAGUUGUGUGUCUGAACCCCCUAGAUGGUGGCUUCAAGUACUAAGACACCUGUCGCAGGGCGGCGGAGUAUGCAGGCUCACGGUACGGGACCAGGAUGAGCGGCUACAUGGCUUCCAGACCCCCCAGGAGACAAGUGUCUGUUCUUCAAAGCCGGACCUCCAGGUUGUUGGACGCAUAGGACUAUAGUUUUAAAUACUAGGACACCUGUCAUGGACUGGUGGAGUGUGCAGGAUUUUGGGUACGUAACCAGGCUAACCGGCCACACAGGCUCUGGACCACCCUAUGGAACGGGCAUCCGUUCUUUAGAACCGGCCCCCAGGCCUUCCCCUAUUUUUGUAAAGUAAUAGAUAUUAUCUGUUAAGCAGUAUUUAACACUUAUCUGUGUGUUGCUCGAUCUUGUUGUUAACUUCCCUUGGUACCUGCCCCCCGCCUGGGGUGCAGGUUCGAUGUGUCGAGGCUAGACACCAGCGUGUAGAAAAGAGUUGUCAACGGCCUUCGGGAGGUAGCCUCACCGAGACCUGGAUCUGUAUACAGCUUUAGCUAGAGAGCGUUAGUGAUACACCCGUAGACCCCGUCAUUUGGCAUUUUUCAUCCUUUGAUACAUGCUCGGGAUUUGCAGUGUUUUAGCUAGGGGAAGCAAGUUGUGUGUCCGGACCUCCUGGAUGGUGGUUCUAGAUACUAGGACGCCUGUCACAGAGUGGUGGAACAUGCAGGCCCACGGUACGGGACCAGGCUGAGCGGCUACAUGGUUCCGGACCACCCCAGGAGACAAGCGUCUCUUCUCUAGUUCUGGACCCCAAGUUGUCGGACCCACAAGACUUAUAGCUCUAAGUAGUAGGGCGCUCGCCACGGAGUGGUGGAGUGUGUAGGGUUUUGGGUACGGAACCAGGCUAACCGGCCGCACAGGCUUCAGACCACCCCAUGGAACGAGCACUCGUUCCUCAGAGCCGGCCUCCAGGCUGUCGGGUCCCCCUGCUUUCGCAUAGAGGUCCUAAACUGCAACCCUGGCUGUUCAAUCCAGAUGUUAUUAUGCCUGGUGGGAUGGAGCUAGGCGGGUGGGUUAGAUAAAACACAAUCAGAAACUGCAGGGUGAGACCAUGGAGUAGUAGGAUAUUGUUAUCAUAGAGGCAUAUCUUGAGAGGGUAGUUUUCCUUUAUAGCUAAUCAUGCAUGGGUGCGGGCCAACAGGCCGGGUUUAUGGGGGCAGACCCCACCGGGUUGGCGUACCCGUAUGCACUACCUAGUUACAAAAGGGAAAAACUUCGACCCCUCAGACUUGCUUUAUAGAUAAAACUUACAGAGAUAUUUCGACACUGGGGGAUGCAUUCGCAUUCCUUCGAUCGUAGCUAGACAGUUGCCCUUGGGUCGGGGUACUCCCAUUACCAUGAAGGGAUUUUCCCAACUGGGGGAGUGUUACGGAGCCCUAAUUUGGUCUUGUACUCUUGUAAGAUUAGGUCUCGACCCUGGGUUCCCAUCUGCAUUUGACGAAGGAGGCCCCGCCUUUGGCUGUGGUCAUUCCUGGAUGAACCUGUCAGAAAGCUAGACCCGUGAGGAAUCCAGAUGGGUUUCCGGAGGAAGGCAGACUUCAGCUCCGUAGGCCAGGGGACAUGGGGUCCCGCCGGUGGUCCGCCUAGUCGUCACCGUUGGAGUGGGAGUCUUUUGCGAAGACGUCCUUCAGGUCCCCUUCGGGUGACUGAUACCCGAGGUCCUGUUCAGUCGCAGCCACCUCACCGUCAUCGACCUUUUCUUUGCCAGGACGACGAUGAGGUGGGGAGCCAUCUUUGGAAGACUGCUCACGUCGCUCGUUGGUGUGUUCGCUGACGCGUUUUGCGAGAUCAAUGAUCUCGCGACACUCCGCGGUGCUGUGGCGGCCGUUGAGAUGUAUAGGGCACGAGCCGCCGUUACCCCUUUGUGGCCGUGGUCGUUUGUUGCGGUCGCCCGGCCCCCAGUCGCAGCUGCGACGACCAGCGCGGUAGACUGUGGCCUCUCAUAGCCACAACCCUUCUUUUUCUUUCUGUCGUCCUAGGGAAUGGCACCCAAACCACUCGUCUGGGUGGUCCCAGUUUGUGGGGCCGAGUGCCAUGCCCGGCCUUCAGCAGCUCUGGCACACUUGUCCGCCAGGGCGAAGAGCGUGGGGACAGUCUCCACAUCAUGUGUGACCAGUUUCUCCAACAUUUUCUUAUCACGUACCCCCUGUCGGAAGGCCGUGAUGAUGGAGGCAUCGGAAAUAUGCGGUAUAGUACCUCGUACCUUGGUGAAGCGGGAGAUAAACGUCCGGAGGGUCUCUCCGGGUUCCUGCCUUACAACAUGGAGGUGGGCCUCCACACCAUGCUGUUGGUAAGCGCUGGCAAAGUUCGCAAUGAACCGUGCACAGAGCUCUUCCUAGGUGUAGAUUGACCCUAGGGCGAGGUUCAUGAGCCAUGUCCGGGUAGGUCCAGACAGGGCGACAUGAAAAUAUGUCGCCAUUACGGCGAUGUUUCCACCUGCUGCCAUGAUGGCGGUGACAUAUACUUGCAGGAACUCCGAUGGGUUCAUUGUCCCAUCGUAUUUUUCCGGCAGUUGUGGCCGGAACUUGGGCGGCCAUGACGCCGUGCGAAGAUGGUCUGCGAGGGCGGCGCAGCCCACGCCGGUCAAGGGGACACCCGUUUGGGACCGGACGCCCACUAGUGUCUGCGGUGCGUCCGCAGCGAAAUCUCGGUCGAGGUUGCGACCCUCAAUGUUCUGUCGGCGUUCACGCGCCCUUUCCAAGGAGACUCGGGCGUCUUCUCCCGUACACCUACGGUUGAGCUCCGCCCGGAGGUCGUCGGUCUGUGCACCCCUUAUGGAGGGCGAGCGCACAGACGCCGUCGCCUCGCGUUGGCAUCGGGAUGACCGAGGCCUCGACCUGGUCGAAGUAGAAUGCGCCAUGCCGAGAAGCCGGUCGACGUCGUCACGCCACUGCUUCAUGGCCCCCGGUGAUUCCGUGGAGCUAGGGGGUGGCGUAGCAACUCUCUGGCCGCAGACAGUGUCGUAGGCGCUGCCCUCGGCGGAGUCCAAGACGCUUGCGCUGGCGUGUGCUGCUGCACGGCAUGUACGACAGCAGUCCCAGAGUCGGGGCGGUCGGGCACUCAUGGCGCGGAGGAUGCAACCUCUUGCUCCAUCACGAAAUCCUCCAAAGUUUCGGCGCGGUGCUCGAUGAUCCACACCAUCAUGCUAAGCGAGAAAACAAGCAAAAACUUGAAGCCUAGCCCCCUACCUGGCGCGCCAAAUGUCAGGGAGGAAAUCUUCUCGGCCGGGUGGCGGAUUGCACCCGCCCUAAAUCCUAAAGAGAGGAGGGGCCUAAGUGUUUUGCUUGCUACGAGACUGGUGGAUCAACACAUGAGAGCACGCGAGGGUUUAGAGUGGUUCAGGCCGCCGGAACGUAAUACCCUACUCCACUGUGUGAUGUAUUGCUUGGGAGCUUGUAUGAACUUGUGAGUGUCUGCCUAAAGCUAGGUCUGAGAGCCUCCUCCCUUGUAACGUCGUAUGCCUCCCCUUUUAUAGCUGAAGGGGGCAUGCACAAAAGGACUGGGCCCCGACAUGUGGGCCCAGGGACAUAAAGAAUAUAGUGCUUGGAUCCUCUAAUGUCUGUUGCCGAGGCAAUCUUCUUGUGCCCUGGCGCUCGAGGUCUGCGUAUCCUUGGCGUGCAGGGGAAGCUUCUUGCAGAAGAGAAGAUGAGUAUAACGCGCCGCUCGGCACGGGCACACUGUUUGCCAGCCGACCCAGCAGGCGCGCCGCCUGCUGGAUGACCUUGACGCCGCCUGCCAGCGGAUGGGACGAGACGCAUUAAAUGAUGAGAGGGCACGUCGCCCGUCAGCGCAGUGGCAGGCGGCACGUCUUUUCCUCAAUAAAUGCAGGGGCUGCACGACUUCUCGUCAGGUUCGACCCGAUAGCUUAUGUUAUGGGCCACAAGCAGCAAGUCUCCGCCUGAGCGGGAAGUGGAGGGCAAGGUCCGCACACGUGUCAGCACCGGACCCCUGCACACACAGGGUCUUCUCGUUCCGGGACCCUACUGGAGUUCGGACCUACCCGGAGGCUCCAGACUUAUAUGUAUAUAGGGGUCCGGUGUCCUUCUGUGGGGGUCCGGACUUACUGAGGUGUGGUGUCUUUCCUUGCCACGUGGCGCCCUUUGGCCUGCCCAUCCAGUGGGGUCAGGCGCCGUCCUUCGCAUGGCUAGGAGACGUCGCAUGGAUGCAGUGUCUUCAUGCUAUAGGAGAAGGUACCCCUGAUUUAGGGUACCGACAGAUAUUUUCCCAAGAAAGGAAAGAAUGCUUUUGUAAAGCAAAAGACAUUGUUUGUGAAAGAAUGUGACAAAGUGUGUCACAAGAAGGGACAUAUCAAGAAGAAUUGUCCUAAGCUCAAGAAUGUAUCCUCCACUUGUUUUGAGCAUUGUUAUGUUCUUUCUCAUAAUGCAAAAGGUGUUCAUGCUAAAUUUGUUGGUACUUCAAUUGUUGGCAAUAAGAAGAAAGCUAUUUGGGUGCCAAAGACCUUGGUCACUAACAUCCAAGGACCCAAGCAAGUUUGGGUACCUAAAAGAGAUUGAUUUCCUUUUGUAGGUGAACUACAAGGCGGGAGGGAAUCAUUGGGUGUUGGAUAGUGGAUGCACUCAACACAUGACCAGAGAUAUGAAAAUGUUCACCCAAAUGAGUGUGGAAGAUUGCUCAAGCUAUGAUAGUAUCACAUUUGGAGAUAAUCGCGGAGGAAAGGUUAAAGGUUUGGGUAGAAUUGCUAUUUCGAAUGAUCAUUCCAUAUCAAAUGUGCUCUUGGUUGAGUCUUUGAAUUUUAAUUUACUAUCCGUAGCUCAAUUAUGUGAUUUAGGAUUUAGUUGCAAUUUCACCGUUGAUGAUGUUAUUAUCUCUAGUGUUGAUGGUAGCAAUCUUAAGUUUAAAGGCUUUAGAUAUGAAAAUCUUUAUCUUGUUGAUUUCUCAUCCAGUGAGGCAAUGCUCACAACUUGCUUAUUCUCAAAGGCUUCACUAGGUUGGUUAUGGCAUAGAAGACUUGGUCAUGUUGGAAUGAAGCAACUCAAUCGUUUAACCAAACAUGACUUAGUCUGUGGCUUGAAAGAUGUGAAAUUUGAGAAGAACAAAUUGUGUAGCUCUUGUCAAGCCGGGAAGCAAGUGGUGAAUACUCAUCCAAAUAAGAGUCAAAUGUCUACUCAUCGACCUUUGGAAUUACUCCACAUGGACUUAUUUGGACCAACAUUUUUUGUGAGUAUUGGCGGUAAUUCCUAUUGCCUUGUGAUUGUGGAUGAUUAUUCUAGAUUCACUUGGGCUUAUUUUCUUUGGGAUAAAUCUAAUGUGUUUGAAACAUUCAAGUCAUUUGCUAUACUGGCUCAAAACCAAUUUGAUUUUGAUAUCAAGAAAGUUAGAAGUGAUAAUGGGUCGGAAUUCAAAAAUGCUAUAAUUGAUGAAUAUUGUGAUGGCAAGGGUAUUAAACAUGAAUUUUCUUCCAAAUAUACUCCGGAACAAAAUGAUAUUGUUGAAAGGAAGAAUAAGACUCUCAUUGAUAUGACUAGGUCUAUGCUAGCGGAAUAUAAUAUGUCGGAUUCUUAUUGGGCCAAAGCCAUAAACACUGCAUGUCACUCAUCAAAUAGGCUAUAUUGUCACAAGUUCUUGAAGAAAACUCCCUAUGAAUUGCUCAUUGGUAGAAAGCCAAAUAUCUCAUAUUUUAGAGUAUUCGGUUGCAAAUGCUACAUUUUGAGAAAGGGAAGCCGGCUCUCUAAAUUUGAGAAGAAAUAUGAUGAGGGUUUUCUACUUGGAUAUUCAUCAAAUAACAAGGCUUAUAGAGUUUUCAACAAGACUCAUGGUAUUAUUGAAGAAGCAUAUGAUGUUAAGUUUGAUGAAACAAAUGGGUCUCAAGAUGAAAAUGAUAAUCUUGAUGAUGUUGGUGGAGCUCAAUUGAGAAAUGCUAUGAAAACAAUGGCUAUCGGUGAAAUAAAGCCAAAAGAAGAUGAUGAUGAUAGUAGUGUGGUUGUCAUUCCAUCCUCUUCAACCCUAAAUGAAGAAAAUCACCAAAGCCAACAAAAUGAUGAAAAUGUGGAUGCUCAUGAUCAAGAUGCUUCAAGUCAUUCGGUCCCUCCUCAUGCUUCAACUAGUAAUUCUCAAAUGGUAUCAAGAAUCCAUCAUUCUAUUGUGAAGGAUCACCCAGAUGAUCAAAUUGUGGGCGACAUUAGUAAGGUUGUUCAAACUCGCUCUUGUAUAGCUUCAUUUUGUGAACAUUUCUCUUUUGUAUCUUGUAUGGAACCUAACCGUGUAGAUGAAAAAGAACCACAAUGUUAUUGGUACCAAAUGGGUGUUUUGCAACAAACACAAUGAGGAUGGAUUAGUAGUAAGAAACAAGGCAAGAUUAGUGGCACAAGGAUAUAGUCAAAUAGAGGGAUUGGAUUUCGGUGAGACAUUUGCUCCCGUGGCAAGAUUGGAAGCAAUCCGGAUUCUUCUUGCUUAUGCUUGUGCUCAUAAUAUCAAGCUCUACCAAAUGGAUGUAAAGAGUGCCUUUCUAAACGGUAAGAUUAGUGAACUAGUGUAUGUUGAACAACCUCCCGGUUUUGAGGACCCCAAAAGACCUAACCACAUGUACAAGCUUUCUAAAGCUCUCUAUGGGCUUAAGCAAGCCCCACGCACUUGGUAUGAAAGGCUUAGGGAUUUCUUGCUUUCUAAUGACUUUAAAAUUGGGAAGGUUGACACUACCCUAUUCACCAAAAGAGUUGGCAAAGAUUUGUUUGUUUGUAAAAUUUAUGUUGAUGAUAUUAUUUUUGGAUCUACUAAUGAGUUGUUUUGUGAGGAGUUUGAAAAAAUGAUGUCAAAAGAAUUUGAAAUGUCUAUGAUAGAAGAAUUGAGCUUCUUUCUCGGUUUUCAAAUCAAACAAUUGAAGGAUGUGAUCUUUAUAAGUCAAUCAAAAUAUUUGAAGGAUAUGCUCAAGAAGUUUGGCUUAGAGAAUGCAAAGCCUCUCAAGACUCCUAUGGCAACAAAUGGUCAUCUAGACUUAGAUGAGGGAGGUACUAUGGUUGAUCAAAAACUUUUUCGCUCAAUAAUUGGUAGUUUGCUUUACAUUACCGCAUCUAGGCCCGAUGUUAUGUUUAGUUUUUGCAUGUGUGCUCGAUUUCAAGCUUCACCUAGAGAGAUUCACUUGAAAGCCGCAAAAAGAAUUCUAAGAUAUUUGAAGUAUACCCCCACUAUUGGUCUAUGGUAUCCCAAAGGUGCUCAAUUUGAAUUGAUUGGAUAUUCGGAUUCGGAUUAUUUGGGUUGCAAAGUUGAUAGGAAGAGCACCUCCGGUUGUUGUCAAUUUCUUGGGAGGUCUCUUGUUUCAUGGUCUUCUAAGAAGCAAAACUCUGUUGCUCUCUCUACCGCCGAGGCAGAAUAUAUAUCGACCGGUAAUUGUUGUGCUCAAUUAUUAUGGAUGAAACAAACUCUAUUGGAUUAUGGGAUCAUUUUCAAGAAUGUGCCUCUCAUGUGUGAUAAUGAGAGUGCGGUAAAAUUGGCUACAAAUCCGGUCCAACACUCAAGAACGAAGCAUAUUGGUAUACGACAUCACUUCUUGAGAGAUCAUGUUGGAAAGGGAGAUAUCACUAUAUAUUCGAUUGGCACGGAUGAUCAAUUGGCCGAUAUAUUUACAAAGCCAUUAGAUGAGACAAGGUUUUGCACAUUAAGAAGUGAAAUGAAUGUGAUAGAUCUCUCGAACGUAGCCUGAGGUUGAAUACACAUGUGUAGUAUUGCAUUUCGAUUCUAAAUAUGCUCUCUAGGACUGUCCGGACCAGAGAGGGUCGCUCUCUGCACAGUCCCUGUAUUAUUGUGCAGACUGUCCGGCCAGGGUCGGUGGACCGUCCGCAGGUGCCAAAUUGGUUUGGGCAGGGACUGUGUGUUUUUGGGUGUUUGUAUUACGGACUGUCUGGGGCCUGAGCCCGGACAGUACUGACUCCCAGGUUGCAGACCGUCCGGCCUUGUUGGCGGACAGUCCGCGUGUAUUAUCUCAAUAUUGUCAGGGCUCUGGUGCUCCAUGCUGCCAGGUGUCGGACGGUCCGGCCAUGGUUGGCGGACUGUCCGGACCUCGCUUUUCUGACAGCCGUUACUUGUACGACGAAUCGUGUGGCCUAAGGGCACGAACCGUCCGUGUGUCCGCAGAAACUGUGCUAGUUGCACAUAACGAUUAGAAUUGUGAGGUGGGCUAUAAAUAGAAGGGGAGCUCAUGUGUGAGGGCUCUCUUGGCCAUUCCUUGCACACAUUGAGCUCAUUUGUGAUCCUCCCACUCAUUCUCUCACACUCCUUGCUUGAUAUUGCAUUCCAGUGAGAGAUUCCUAGUGCAUUUGCAUCCAUUGGUGAUUCUUGAGGCACUAGGUGGUACACCGAGCAAGCGUCAUCGACUUGUUACUCUUGGAGGUUGCCGUCUCCUAGACGGCUUGGGUGUUGUCUCCGUCGAGCUCUCCAAGAAGAUUGUGGAGAAGCCGUAGUGUCGAUUGUGAGGGGUUCGCGCCUACCUCGCCAGAGCGGCAAAGGCGACGCUAGUGGAAACGAGGUAUUGAGUGAUUUCUUUUCCACUUGGCUCAAAGAUCAAGCCGCGUCUUGAUAGAGGAGCAAGUGAGAGCUUGAAGUCCACCUCAACGUGGAUUAGGGGUGAUCGGCAAAUCACCGAUACCACGGGAUAAAAUGCGGUGUCUUUCUCUUCUUGCAUUACUUAUUACCGUGCAAGUAAUUAGUAUUUCGCAUAUUGUCUUUCUCGUAUACAAUUACCAUAGUUGUUUCUCAUAUAUUGCUUACUUGUUGUCACUAGAGAAUUUAUACCUCUUGUCAUAUUGAUUAAAUUUCUCUAGUGUUUUUUAUUUUAAUCAAAACCGUAUAUUCACCCCCUCUAGUCGGUGUCCUAGAUCCUACAUAAGCGACUUUCAGAAGUCCAGCCGGAGCAACUCCAAACCGAGAGGCACCCGCACCAGGCGUUAGUCCGAGAAGGGCGAGAGAAUGAGGAUGGAUCCAACGCAGUCGCAAAAAAUGGUAUAGAGGCUCACGAGAUGCAUGGAAGCACAAAGUCGUUUCAUCUCUGUCACACCCGGUUUUAGAAGGCAAACCGAAUGCAAACCAUGUACGUGCCAGGAUCAGUUAUUCACGUACACAGCAGUUACAUAAUAUGGACAUCAUCACACAGUGCUCAAAAUAGUAUUAAAAGGGAAUAAUAGUCGAUUACAUCGUACGUCUGAGACGUCCAUAUAGUUCUUACAAUAAAUCAAAGUGCGGAAAAGAAACGUAGAUAACCGCGGCCUUCACAGGCAGCCGACUGAGGGUUGCCGCUAACCCACACCUAGAACUCGUCGUAGUCUUGGAACUCCUGGAAGUCUCCUUCCACAGCUUCAUCUUCGCCUGAGCAGUGGUUGCAAUGCUGACAACCUGGGGGGGGGGGGGGUUUGGUGUGUAGAGCAAGGGUGAGUACACAUCAACAUACUCAGCAAGUAUCCUGUUUGGCUGUAGUGGACUAGCUUUAUGUGGGGAUAAGUCAAGCAGUUGCUUUUAGUUGGUCAGAUUAUUAUUUACUAGUAGAAAGCCAAGUUUUAGCAUUAACCCAAGUUAUUAACCCGAUGUACCCUUUCCAAACGGAAAGAAUACCACUUACCAGCACCAUAGUCAUAACCAAAACCAUCAAUCUCAUAACCACCUAUACCAAAGUAUCUCUGAUCAAGUACCACUAAUCACUGGAGCUCCCUUGGCCGCUCAUAACCGCGAGCACGGCUGAUAUAUCAGUUUUCAAACACUCUGCAGAGGUUGUGCACUUUACCCACAAGCCGUGAUUCCCAUUCUGCCCGGAGAUCAUGACUCUCCAUUGAUCACUACCAAGGUGACCCAGCAGGGCAUCACUACGUAGCCUUUACAAAGAUUCCCCGGGGCUGUAGCCACCCGUUAGGUUUCCUAAAUGUACCGCACUCCUCCCCAAGGGACAAAUCAACCUUGGCAGAGCGAGCCGCAUACACCGAGCCCCAUUGACGGCACGACGGCUAAGUGAACUACACCCCGGAUCCUCUAAUUAUUCAGCUAAGGGCAUCCCAUUCCACCCUCAUGGUUGCACUGUUUUCCCGGGCGGUCAUCCAUAGAACAGGUCCUUACGGAGAGGCACUCGAGAAACCGCUCGAGCCCCCUUGAAUACCACAAGUACAACAUCAUAAUAAGAGAAGGGAAAACAGCGUAUCAUAGAUAAUCUCAUCAUGUUCAUUGAUUAGAGUUGAGCAAUAGCAUAAAGCUAAACAGUAAUAAUCCAACCCAAAUAGGUAAGCAAGGAUAGGGAUAACAAAAGCUAGUCAAUCCUUAGGCAUAAAUGUGUAAAGCGGGAGGUGAAUUAAAUAAUGAAUAGGACAGAGAUAGGUCAAGGGACACUUGCCUCCACCAACCGACUGCUGCUCAGGGGCUUCUCCUGCGAGUUCCUCGGGCUCUUCAACCGGAUCGUUCUCUAAGCGGGUGCAAACAUACAUACAUCCAUCCAUCGAAAUUAGGAAACCAACAGUACACCAUACAAGAGAACAAGUAAAGCAAAUAUGCAUAGAAUACCACAUACGAUAAUGAAUUUACCAUGGUUAGAAAGAAACGAGGGAAAGUUUCGCAGGGGUUGAGGCUUAUGCUCGAGGGACACUACGGGUAGACGAAAGACUAGACGUCACGUGCUCUAGUUUUAAUUAGUUCUAACAAAAGAAUUAGCUACAUGCACUAAUGUAAUCGCAACCACUUUUAGUAGAUUAACAUUGAACGAGAUAGAUGAUUAGUUAUACGAAUUAACUAACGUAACCAAUUUCCAAAUUGAGACUCCUAUCUUAUUAAUAUAAACGACGUGAUUAGCGCAUACAGGAGACGGGGGGGGGGGGGGGUAGACGAGGGGUUAGGGGGUAGACGAGGAACGACGAGUCGUGCCAAGGCACGCGCACUACGCGGGCACGCACGCGAGGCCGCACGCACACGCCGCGGACUAACCGUACGCACGUCGGGGCCGUGCGCUAGCCGAGCUCAAAGCCGCGCGCCAUAGGCACGCUGGGCCAAGCUCGAGGCCACGCAGGGGCCGACACGACGCGAGCAAGGCAUGGCGGGACGAGCGGGCAAGCACACCGGGGCCAGCGAGCGCGAGCGAGCGAGGACGCGACCGGACGAGGCCGAACGCGGGGAUGGGCGGCCGAGCCGGGGCACGGGGGCGGUUGAACCAGGGGGCGACCGAACUCGCCGGGAGGCGGCCGAGCUCGCCGGGAGGGGCGGUUGGGCCGGGCCGGGGCGCGAGCGGCCGAGCCGAGGCCGGGUAGGGGCGGGACGCCGGGGGCGCGGGCGGCCGAGCUCGCCGGGCGCGGGGAAGGGCGGGGCGCGGCCGGGCGGGACGCCGGGGCGGGGCCGAAGCGGGGAGGUGUGCCGGGGCGCGGGACGGGGCGGGGUCGCCGGAGCGGGGCCGAGGCGGCCGAGCUCGCCGGAGGGGCGGGGGCGCGGCUUGGCGGCCGAGCUCGGGGCGCGGGCGCCGGGGCGGGGUAGGGGAGGGCGCGGUCGGGCGGCUCGCCGGCGCGCGCGCGGGCGCGGGGCCGGGGACGGGGAGGUGUGCCGGGCGCCAUGGCCGCGAGCGGCCGGGCCGAGCCGAGCGGCGGGGGCGCGACCGGCCGAGCCGGGGGCCAAGGCAGGCGGCGCGGGGGAGGGCGCCGGGGAGAGGAGAGGGAGGAGGGAGAGGGAGGAGGAGGGAGGGGCCUCACCGGAGGGGAGAACGGCGGCGGCGGCGGCGGCGGCGCGGGGCGCGGGGGAGGGCGCCGGUUAGGGUUUGGGGAGAGAGAGGGAGAGGGAAUGACGGGCGGGGCCCGCGGGAGGAUUUUUGGAAAAAAGAAAAGAGGUGGGGGGCGGCUGGGCCGGCUGGGCCCAAAGGGGGGGAAGGGGGGCGCGCGGGUGGGCCGGCCAGGAGGCCCACGCGGGAGGGGAGGGGGAGGCGGCUUGGGCCGAAAUGGGAAAGGGAGAGAGUGAGAGAAAAAGAAAAUGAUUUUCUUUUUCUAAAAUCUAAUUUUCUUUGGAUGAAUGCUUUCACAUUUUAAUCAAUCAAAAAAAAUGCAUGGUUUGGCAUGGUGCAUCACAGAAAAUAAAGUGUUUUAAGGUUUUGCUUCACACGAGGUCUAAAGCCAAAACCCGCUGCGACUUUGGAAAAGAUCAAGGCUUAGCGAGAAGAAAAGGGAAAAGGAAAGAGUAACGCCUGAAUUUGGGUAAGAGAAAAGAAGAAAAAAAUCUACCCCCAAAUUCAGGGCGUUACAAACCUAUCCCCCUUAAAAGAAUCUCGCCCUCAAGAUUCAGGGUUGGCUAGCAAAGAGUUCAGGGUAUUUGGCCAUCAGAUCAUCUUCACGCUCCCAGGUUGCUUCUUCCUCUGAGUGAUGGUCCCAUCUGACUUUGCACAUUCUGAUGGUCUUCCUUCGGGUGACUCUGUCUGCAACCUCAAGGAUCUGCACUGGCUUCUCAACGUAGGUCAAGUCCUCCUGGACUUCAAGACCUUCCACUGCCAACUGCUCUUCUGGCACACGCAAGCACUUCUUCAACUGAGACACAUGAAAGACAUCAUGCACAGCUGACAAAUUCUCGGGCAAACUGAGCUGAUACGCCACUUCUCCACGUCUUGCAAGAACCUGAUACGGACCAAUGUAGCGGGGUGCUAGCUUGCCUUUCACUCCGAAUCUUCUGACUCCUCUGAUCGGUGACACUUUCAAAUAGACAAAGUCUCCGACUUCGAAACUCAGCUCUCUUCUUCUUGUGUCUGCAUAGCUUCGCUGCCUUGAUUGCGCUAUCCUCAGAUUCUCUCGGACCAUCUUGAUGUUCUCUUCGGCUUCAAGCAAAAUGUCUGGCCCAAACACUUGCUUCUCUCCAGGCUGAUCCCAUUGCAACGGAGUUCUACAACUCCUUCCAUAGAGCGCCUGAAAUGGUGACAUCUUCAAACUGGCCUGGUAACUGUUGUUAUAGGAAAACUCUGCAUAAGGCAAUCUCUUAUCCCAUCCGGACUGAUCUUGCAACGCACAGGCUCUCAACAUGUCUUCAAGAAUUUGAUUGGUCCUUUCGGUCUGACCAUCCGUCUGCGGAUGAUAAGCUGAACUGAAAUUCAGAUGCGUGCCCAAGGCUUCAUGCAACUGCUGCCAGAAAUGAGAGGUGAACUGCGUUCCUCUGUCUGACACUAUCUUCUUUGGCACACCAUGAAGACAAACGAUCCGAGACAUAUACAAUUCUGCUAAUACUGCACUUCUGUAAUUGGUCUUGACAGGUAUGAAGUGGGCUGACUUGGUCAAGCGGUCCACUACUACCCAAAUGGAAUCGUAGCCGGCUCGAGUGCGAGGCAAUCCGACUAUGAAAUCCAUACCGAUUUCGUCCCAUUUCCACUGAGGGAUCUGCAACGGUUGCAACAAUCCAGCAGGUCUCUGGUGCUCUGCCUUAAUUCUUCGACAACUAUCACACAUAGCCACAUGCUCUGCGAUUUCCCUUUUCAUUCCGUACCACCAGAAUUUCUUUUUCAGAUCCUGAUACAUCUUCUCACUGCCAGGGUGAAUCGAAUAGGCUGUCUCAUGAGCUUCCUUAAGAAUCAACUCCCGAAUAGACUGGACAUUGGGAACACACAAGCGGUCUUUGAACCAUAUCACGUCUUCUGCAUCUUCUCGAAAAUCUUUGCCUCUGCCAUCUAGAAUCAGUCGCCGGAUCUCACUGAUCUUCUCAUCAUUCUUCUGCGCUUCUUUAAUUUCGCGCUCCAGGGUAGGUUCCAACUCGACUGUGACUCCUCGCGAAUUGUUCAGAAAUCCGAGACUCAAUCUGUCAAACUUCUUGGCCAACUCAUAAGGCAUCGGACGAGCAACCAUCAGAUUGACUUGACUCUUUCUGCUCAAAGCAUCUGCCACUACGUUUGCUUUGCCUGGAUGGUAAUGAAUCUCCAACUCAUAGUCUUUGAUCAACUCUAACCAUCUUCGUUGCCUCAUGUUCAACUCUGACUGAGUGAAUAUGUACUUCAGACUCUUGUGAUCUGUGUAAACAUCACAUUUCUGUCCAUACAGAUAGUGCCUCCAUGACUUCAGUGCGUGAACCACUGCUGCCAACUCUAGGUCAUGGAUUGGGUAGUUCUUCUCAUGAACCUUCAACUGUCGGGACGAGUAAGCCACAACUCUUCCCUCUUGCAUCAACACGCAUCCCAAACCUGUGUAACAAGCAUCACAAUACACCGAGAAGGGCUUGUGCACAUCAGGCAAGACUAGGACAGGCGCUGUAGUCAACUUCUCUUUCAGCGCUUCAAAGGCCUCUUGACAUUUCUGGGUCCACUUGAACUCAACUUUGUUGCCUAGCAACGCUGUCAUUGGUUUCGCAAUCUUCGAAAACCCUUCAAUAAAUCGCCGAUAAUAUCCGGCCAUUCCAAUGAAACUCUUGAUUCCUCGAGCAUCUGUUGGCGCUUUCCAGUUCAGAAUGUCUGCCACUUUCUUCGGAUCCACAGCCAAACCUUCUUUGUUGAUUAUAUGACCCAAGAACAAGACUUCACUGAUCCAGAACUCACACUUGCUCAACUUUGCAUACAACUGGUGCUCUCGCAAUCUCUGGAAUACCAUCUUCAAAUGAUCUGCAUGCUCUUCUUCGCUUUGAGAAUAAACCAGAAUGUCAUCAAUGAAUACCACCACAAACUUAUCAAGGUAAUCCAUGAAUACACUGUUCAUCAAGUUCAUGAAGAACGCUGGCGCAUUGGUCAAACCAAAAGACAUCACUGUGAACUCAUACAAACCAUACUUGGUAAUGAAUGCCGUCUUCGGAAUGUCCGAAGGUCGGAUCCUGAGCUGAUGAUAACCUGACCUCAGAUCAAUCUUGGAGAACACACUGGCUCCUCUCAACUGGUCGAACAGAUCUUCUAUUCUGGGCAAGGGAUACUUGUUCUUGAUCGUGACCUCAUUCAAAGCUCGAUAAUCGAUGCACAUCCUCUUGGUGCCAUCUUUCUUUUCCACGAACAAGACAGGGGCGGCCCAAGGCGAGGUGCUUGGCCGAAUGUAACCUUUCUCUGACAGCUCAUCAAUCUGCUCCUUAAGCUCAACCAACUCUGGCCCAGAUAUUCUGUAAGCUCUCUUGAAGAUAGGGGCGGUUCCAAGAAGAAGCUCUAUGGCAAACUCAACUUUCCGCUCUGGUGGCAUACCCGGUAAGUCCUUUGGAAACACAUCUGGGAACUCGGACACAACCUUGAUCCUCUCGAUUGGGUCUGCUUUACUGCUAUCAAUAGCUAUCUGAUAACAACUUCCUUUCUUUGGCUCAGGCGGGACUAACUUGGUCACCACUUCCUCUCCUAGUGGGGACACCAACUUGAUUGUCCUUUUAUCACAGCUGAUAACUGCCUGAUACUUAUCUAGCCAAUUCAUCCCUAGGAUGACAUCUAUUCCCUGAGUACCCAUUACUAUAAGGUUGGCGGGAAACGCUAUCCCCCUUAUUUCCACACUUAUAUUCAAACAAAUGUUAUCGGCUCGAAUUCUUCCACCGGCUGAGUCAAUUUGAAUGGGGUUUGACAUGGUAGUAAUUGGAAGAUUAUGUGCUUCUACCCACGAUGCAGUAAUGAAAGAAUGCGUUGCUCCAGUAUCAAAUAACACUUCUGCAAUAUGGGAGUCGACUGGGAACAUACCUACUAUCAUGCCGGGGGUCUCCUGAACUGCUUCAGCCUCCAAGUGGUUCAGUCUUCCAUGAUUAUAGCGCGGCUGAGAGCGGUUGCCUGCUCCAGGCUGAGACACAUUCUGCUUUGCUGGGGCAUUGGGGCCUGACUGCUGCUGGGCUGCCUUCUUCGGACAUUGCAUCACCCAGUGGCCUUGCUCUCCACAGUGGAAACAUGCUCUGUUUCCAACCUGAGCUGGUGCUGCCUGAUUGUUCUGUUGGUUUGCUGGGGCAGGAAGACGAGGUGCUUGCUGAUUCUGCCUCGGAAACUGACCUCCUGACUGAUUGCUCUGACGGUUCUGGUACUGAUGCUGAGGAUACUGCCUUUGGAACUGCUGAUGCUGCUGAGGUGGACGCUGGUUUUGCCUGAACUGCUGAGGUUGAUUGCCUGAGAAACGAGGACGGCUGCUGCUUCCAGGCUGGGGUCCACUGAUCUUGCGCUUACGAUCUUCCAUCUCCUUGCGCUUUCUCUCCGUCAUGAUUGCUCUGUCAAUCAGGUGCUGGAAUGUCGGAAAGGUGUGAUUCAUCAGUUGGUACUGCAGAGGGUCAACCAAGCCUCUCAGGAAACGGUACUGCUGCUUGGCGUCGGUGUUGACAUCUUCAGGAGCAUAGCGAGACAAUUGCAGAAACCUGUCUCGGUACUCACUGACAGACAAUGACCCUUGCUUGAGGGCCAGGAACUCCUCCUUCUUCUCUGUCAUCAGACCUGCAGGAACAUGGUACUGACGAAAGCUACUCCUGAACUCUUCCCAGGUGAUGGCGUCAGGGUGGGCAUGGGUGGCGAGGUAAGACUCCCACCAUGACUGGGCUGCUCCUCUCAACAGACGGGGACCAUACAGAACUUUCUCCCUGUCAUCGCACUGAGCGGUGUGCAACUCCCGCUCCACAGUGCGCAGCCAAUCUUCAGCAUCCAUGGGGUCAGAAGAAUGAGCGAACGUUGGUGGAUGACCUCUCAUGAAUUCAGCACGCUUGUCUCUGGGCAUCUGAGGCAUCUGAGGUUGAGGUGGGGCCUGCUGCUGUUGCUGCUGCUGCUGCUGAAUGGCGGCCAAAGUCUGACCGAUGGCUUGAACUGCCUGAGUCUGCAUCAGAAACAUCUGCUCGAUGGACAUCGGGGGCGGGGGCGGCAGGUGCUGCUGCUGGGGCACCUCAUCCUGUUGAGCGGCUCACUCCUGCUGAGCACGCCUUCCUCCUCUGCGCCUGUUCUCUGACAUCUGCAGAAUGCAACCACACAUCAGAACUGAUCUGGCAAAUCUUGCAGCAUAAGGAAAGAGAAUAGAAUUCUUCAACAGCACUGAACAGAUGAGCAUCUUCACUGAUCUCCAACACAGACCACACAGCUUCUCAGAUAAAGAGGAAAGUGGAAUAAAAGGUUUCCCCACUAUAUAACUAACUUUAUUAACAUAAUAGGUGAACCAAAAUGCAGGGGAUACCCACACUCUGGUGACAAUCAUUACAAAGAUCCAAACCAAACAUAGUUCAUCAUGACAAACAUAAAUGCACAGGAUAUAGCAAACUACCCUGUCUAACUAAGACUAACUAAAACUGAGACUAACGCUAAGACUGAAGCUUCUAUGUAUAUAUAUUUCGUAUUAAUUACAAGAUCCAACUCUAACGAUCUAUGGUUCUAGAGUUAUCUUGGUCUUGCAGUCGGGGUUGCCAUAAGACUGGUGUCCACGCUGAGGUGAGCGGUACGGGUGCUGAGUCCCGACGGGAGCGGGGGAACCACCGUCCAGGUGACGACGUUCCGCGCGCUCAGCCCGCAGCAGGGCGAUCUCAGCACGAGCCCUACUCAGCUCGUCUAAUGCAUGGUCCAGCUCCGUGUUUAGCACGGCGGCUAGGUUGACUGUGCUGCUCAACCUAGGAUUGCCCUCACCGACAGGUGAGACAAUCACGCCUCCUGUGCUGCCAGAUGAACGGCGGGGGUAAUACUUCAGGUCAAGACCAUCAGCUGCCCCACCGAAAACCGAGCAGUAGUGCGAAAGCGCACGCCGUGCAGCAUCUUGCAUGGCUGCCUCAGCUGAGUCCCGCUCAGAGAUAGAAUAGUGCUCUGAGCAGACCUCAGCACCCUGGAGACUGUUCUCUGGACAGCGCACCAAGCAGGUUGCCUCCCAGCGGUCCGGGUAGACCCCGCGACUGUGCUGGUAGACCACACAGCGAUACUCGACGGACCAAGUAUGCCGGUCAAAUGCCCGACGUAGCAGGGUGUCGAGCGCAUCGUGGAAGUGACACCCGCGAGCAGCGUCGUGAGUGAUGGGUCGAGCAACCCAUCCUUCCGGCUCAAGGUUAGCAGAGAAGUCGGCGUCGUGGCUUGAGCUGUCGUCGCCAUCUCCGUCGUCUGGGUCUCCUCCAGCAGCUACUCCAGAAGCUGGGACGCCCAGUGGUGGUGCAGGGGGCGGCUCCAGAGGAAGCACAGGGGAGCAGCUCCUCACAGACUCUAUCUCCUGGUGGAGCGAGAAAGAAGAGCCCUGCUGCUCCUGCUCCUGUCAUCGACGUUCCUGCUCCUCAUGCAGGCGGUGGUGCAGUCUCUCCAAGUGGCUGGACUGUCCGGCCACGGGACGGCGAAGCGGACGCUCAGCAAGGCGGGAGGGUAAGAAGGGGAUGACUGACUUUCGUGCAGUGUGUCUAAGUCGAGCCAUCUACAAAAGACAUCGCAAGCAAAAGGGUAAGAACAGAAUCAAUAUGACCAGCAAAUAAUGAAUCAUGAGUGAAUGAAGGAUUAGAAUAAAACAUGUUUUUCAGCAAGGUAUAAUAUAUAGUAGAACAUAGGUUUGGUCGGUAUGACCAACUUUUGAAGAGAUAUCAAAGUCAAGGCAGAGACAGAGGUCCAUAGUCCUUAGAACGACCAUUCUACUCUAGGUUAGCGGUCCUACAGUCAGCACGGCUUUGAUACCACUUAUGUCACACCCGGUUUUAGAAGGCAAACCGAAUGCAAACCAUGUACGUGCCAGGAUCAGUUAUUCACGUACACAACAGUUACAUAAUAUGGACCUCAUCACACAGUGCUCAAAAUAGUAUUAAAAGGGAAUAAUAGUCGAUUACAUCGUACGUCUGAGACAUCCAUAUAGUUCUUACAAUAAAUCAAAGUGCGGAAAAGAAACGUAGAUAACCGCGGCCUUCACAGGCAGCCGACUGGGGGUUGCCGCUAACCCACACCUAGAACUCGUCGUAGUCUUGGAACUCCUGGAAGUCUCCUUCCACAGCUUCAUCUUCGCCUGAGUAGUGGUUGCAAUGCUGACAACCUGGGGGGGGGGUUUGGUGUGUAGAGCAAGGGUGAGUACACAUCAACAUACUCAGCAAGUAUCCUGUUUGGCUGUAGUGGACUAGCUUUAUGUGGGGAUAAGUCAAGCAGUUGCUUUUAGUUGGUCAGAUUAUUAUUUACUAGUAGAAAGCCAAGUUUUAGCAUUAACCCAAGUUAUUAACCCGAUGUACCCUUUCCAAACGGAAAGAAUACCACUUACCAGCACCAUAGUCAUAACCAAAACCAUCAAUCUCAUAACCACCUGUACCAAAGUAUCUCUGAUCAAGUACCACUAAUCACUGGAGCUCCCUUGGCCGCUCAUAACCGCGAGCACGGCUGAUAUAUCAGUUUUCAAACACUCUGCAGAGGUUGUGCACUUUACCCACAAGCCGUGAUUCCCAUUCUGCCCGGAGAUCAUGACUCUCCAUUGAUCACUACCAAGGUGACCCAACAGGGCAUCACUACGUAGCCUUUACAAAGAUUCCCCGGGGCUGUAGCCACCCGUUAGGUUUCCUAAAUGUACCGCACUCCUCCCCAAGGGACAAAUCAACCUUGGCAGAGCGAGCCGCAUACACCGAGCCCCAUUGACGGCACGACGGCUAAGUGAACUACACCCCGGAUCCUCUAAUUAUUCAGCUAAGGGCAUCCCAUUCCACCCUCAUGGUUGCACUGUUUUCUCGGGCGGUCAUCCAUAGAACAGGUCCUUACGGAGAGGCACUCGAGAAACCGCUCGAGCCCCCUUGAAUACCACAAGUACAACAUCAUAAUAAGAGAAGGGAAAACAGCGUAUCAUAGAUAAUCUCAUCAUGUUCAUUGAUUAGAGUUGAGCAAUAGCAUAAAGCUAAACAGUAAUAAUCCAACCCAAAUAGGUAAGCAAGGAUAGGGAUAACAAAAGCUAGUCAAUCCUUAGGCAUAAAUGUGUAAAGCGGGAGGUGAAUUAAAUAAUGAAUAGGACAGAGAUAGGUCAAGGGACACUUGCCUCCACCAACCGACUGCUGCUCAGGGGCUUCUCCUGCGAGUUCCUCGGGCUCUUCAACCGGAUCGUUCUCUAAGCGGGUGCAAACAUACAUACAUCCAUCCAUCGAAAUUAGGAAACCAACAGUACACCAUACAAGAGAACAAGUAAAGCAAAUAUGCAUAGAAUACCACAUACGAUAAUGAAUUUACCUUGGUUAGAAAGAAACGAGGGAAAGUUUCGCAGGGGUUGAGGCUUAUGCUCGAGGGACACUACGGGUAGACGAAAGACUAGACGUCACGUGCUCUAGUUUUAAUUAGUUCUAACAAAAGAAUUAGCUACAUGCACUAAUGUAAUCGCAACCACUUUUAGUAGAUUAACAUUGAACGAGAUAGAUGAUUAGUUAUACGAAUUAACUAACGUAACCAAUUUCCAAAUUGAGACUCCUAUCUUAUUAAUAUAAACGACGUGAUUAGCGCAUACAGGAGACGGGGGGGGGGGUAGACGAGGGGUUAGGGGGGUAGACGAGGCACGACGAGUCGUGCCAAGGCACGCGCACUACGCGGGCACGCACGCGAGGCCGCACGCACACGCCGCGGACUAACCGUACGCACGUCGGGGCCGUGCGCUAGCCGAGCUCAAAGCCGCGCGCCAUAGGCACGCUGGGCCAAGCUCGAGGCCACGCAGGGGCCGACACGACGCGAGCAAGGCACGGCGGGACGAGCGGGCAAGCACGCCGGGGCCAGCGAGCGCGAGCGAGCGAGGACGCGACCGGACGAGGCCGAACGCGGGGAUGGGCGGCCGAGCCGGGGCACGGGGGCGGUUGAACCAGGGGGCGGCCGAACUCGCCGGGAGGCGGCCGAGCUCGCCGGGAGGGGCGGUUGGGCCGGGCCGGGGCGCGAGCGGCCGAGCCGAGGCCGGGUAGGGGCGGGACGCCGGGGGCGCGGGCGGCCGAGCUCGCCGGGCGCGGGGAAGGGCGGGGCGCCGGGGCGGGGCCGAAGCGGGGAGGUGUGCCGGGGCGCGGGACGGGGCGGGGUCGCCGGAGCGGGGCCGAGGCGGCCGAGCUCGCCGGAGGGGCGGGGGCGCGGCUUGGCGGCCGAGCUCGGGGCGCGGGCGCCGGGGCGGGGUAGGGGAGGGCGCGGUCGGGCGGCUCGCCGGCGCGCGCGCGGGCGCGGGGCCGGGGACGGGGAGGUGUGCCGGGCGCCAUGGCCGCGAGCGGCCGGGCCGAGCCGAGCGGCGGGGGCGCGACCGGCCGAGCCGGGGGCCAAGGCAGGCGGCGCGGGGGAGGGCGCCGGGGAGAGGAGAGGGAGGAGGGAGAGGGAGGAGGAGGGAGGGGCCUCACCGGAGGGGAGAACGGCGGCGGCGGCGGCGCGGGGCGCGGGGGAGGGCGCCGGUUAGGGUUUGGGGAGAGAGAGGGAAUGACGGGCGGGGCCCGCGGGAGGAUUUUUGGAAAAAAGAAAAGAGGUGGGGGGGGGGGGCGGCUGGGCCGGCUGGGCCCAAAGGGGGGGGGAAGGGGGGCGCGCGGGUGGGCCGGCCAGGAGGCCCACGCGGGAGGGGAGGGGGAGGCGGCUUGGGCCGAAAUGGGAAAGGGAGAGAGUGAGAGAAAAAGAAAAGGAUUUUCUUUUUCUAAAAUCUAAUUUUCUUUGGAUGAAUGCUUUCACAUUUUAAUCAAUCAAAAAAAUGCAUGGUUUGGCAUGGUGCAUCACAGAAAAUAAAGUGUUUUAAGGUUUUGCUUCACACGAGGUCUAAAGCCAAAACCCGCUGCGACUUUGGAAAAGAUCAAGGCUUAGCGAGAAGAAAAGGGAAAAGGAAAGAGUAACGCCUGAACUUGGGUAAGAGAAAAGAAGAAAAAAAUCUACCCCCAAAUUCAGGGCGUUACAAUCUCAAGGCUCGGCGAAAGGGGAUACCAUUCUAUAAACUGCUCAAAAAAGUGGACAGGUUCUAGUGGACUCUAGAGGCUCAAGAAGCACUAGAGACACUCAAAAAGUUCUUGACCACCCCUAAGGUCCUCAAGCCACCACACUGAGCUAUGGCUAGCCGGACAGCUAAAGACCUCAUAUUGUACAUCUCCUGCACGACUCACACGUCGUAAGCACUGUGUUGGUAGUCGAGCGGGUGAAAGAAGGGCAUGCAUACCUAGUGCAACAUCCUGUCUAUUUCAUCAGCGUAGUCCUCGGGCCUUCCAAGAUAAGAUAUCCUCAAGUCCAGAAACUACUAUAUGUGGUACUGCGCGAAAGCUACGUCACUACUUCGACGAUCACAAAGUCACAGUAGUUACAGAUUUCCCAAUAGGAGACAUACUCUGCAACAAAGAAGCAGUGGGAAGAACAACCAAGUGGGUAUGCGAACUCGGAGCUCACGACAUAGAGUUUCGACCUCGCAAUGCAAUCAAGACCUAGGCCUUAGUGGACUUCGUAUCAGAAUGGACCGAGCACCAGGUUCCCGAGACCCUGAGUUAGCCGAGGUCUAGAGAAUGUACUUCGACGAAUCCCUGAAAUUGCAAGGAUCAUGGGCCAGUAUCCUUUUAAUUGCCCCUAGUAAGGACCAACUCAAGUACGCACUUCAACUCUUGUUCCUAGCCUCCAACAACGCAGCAGAGUAUGAGGCCUUGAUACAUGGACUCAACAUUGUUGUAUCGCUCGGCAUCAAGAGACUGAUGUGAAAGGAUCACGAUGCCCAAGAGGGGGGUGAAUUGGGCUUUUCUAAAAUUCAACAAUAAUUAAACCCUAAGCAAGAGCCCAACUUCUCCCCCAACAACUAGCAAUAAGAGAAUACUACUAGAAAUACAACAAUGCUAAGACAAUACUUCAACUACUUGCUAAACAAAUGCACAAGGUAAAAUACUUGAAUUAAGUGCGUAAUGUAAAGCAAGGUUUAGAAUACUCCAAUUUUUCCCAAGGCAUCGAAGAGUCGACACUCUCCCCUAGUCCUCGUUGGAGCACCCGCGCAAGGGUAUCGCUCCCCCUUGGUCCUCGCAAGAACCAAGUGCUCACUAUGAGAUGAUUCUUUGCCACUCCGAUGCGGUGGAUCCCUCAUGAUCGCUUACAAACUUGAGCCGGGUCACCAAUAAGUUCUCCAAGGUGAUCACCGAGCUCCCAACGCCACCAAGCCGUCUAGGUGAUGUCAAUCACCAAUAGUAACAAGUCGUAGACUUUCACUUGACCAAGAGAAGCCUAAUGCAUGCGGUGUGUGCUCUAGGUGACUCUCGCUGACACUAAUGAAGUCCAAAUGCGAGAUUAAGAUUUUCUAAUCACUUCACUAAGCUUUGUGGUGCUUGCAAUGCUUUACCAAUGUGUAGGAGUAAAUGUGGGCAGCAAGACAAUCAAUAUGGUGGGUGGAGGGGGUAUAAAUAUCCCUCACCCACCAACUAGCCGUUACCAGAACCUGGCUGCGCAUGGGCGCACCGGACAGUCCAGUGCGCCACCGGUGCGCCAACGGUCAUCUCCAAAGGCUAAUUCUGAGAGCUAGCCGUUGGGCAGAUGGCACACCGGACAGUGAACAGUCAUUGUCCGGUGCACCCCGGAUAGUUCGGUGUGCUGGCUAAAAUUCAAUUUUCCAACUCUGCGCUCUCGGUUUUCUGGAGGGGGAAGGGUCUUCCCCGGGCCAACCUAGCCCCACUGUCAGAGGCCGCACCGGACAGUCCGGUGCCCCUAGGCCAGAAACCCUAAGUUAUAUUUUCUUCUGUUUUUCAAAUCGGUUUUCGUUCUAACUCGUGAGUAUGUUCUAGAGUGACACCUUGCACUAUAUGUGAGUGUGAAUAUGCACCAACACUACACUAGAACUCCCUUGGUCAAACUACUCAUCGACAACCCCUCUUUAUAGUACGGCUAAAACAAAAUAAAAGACCUAACUCUAUACCGAGUGUCCGAAACUCCUUGACACUCGGAAUACGAAGACCUCCAUCUUUUGUUUCAUCGUUUUAGCUGUCGCUUCAAGUUCUUAUCUCAGGGAUUGUUUUCACCGUUGCAGUACAUCUUCCUGUAAUGCGACCUAACUUACCAUUUGUCUCCGCAAAACACAUGUUAGUCACAUAUAACAUUACGUUGUCAUUAAUCACUAAAACCAACCAGGGGCCUAGAUGCUUUCAAUCUCCCCCUUUUUGGUGAUUGAUGACAACCCUACAAGAGUGUGAGAGUAGUUUGUUUGAAAUUUCUGUCAAUAGAGAAGAUGAUUGGUUAUACUCAAUAAUCUUUGACAGAAAGAGCGUGUAACAUAAUAAUAAGAAUGAGCGCAUACACAACGUAAGUUUAUUGUUCAUAUAAGAAUGAGAUGAAAUUGAUGAACAAGAACUAGAAGACUGGUGAUACCAUAUUAGGUGAAAACACAAUACACACACAGUCAACAUAAGCAUCGAGAGCAUAUAAUAAAGUUUGUGAGUAAAAUCGUCAUACAAAAGUGGAGCUAGUACAGAGAGUAUCAAGCCCAUAUAUUACAUCAAAAUACACAAUACACUCUCAACUAACUCCCUAACUCCCCCUAGCUCUCACAUCUCUCAUAUCUCUCCCCUUUGACAUCAAACACCAAAAGGGUAACCCGAACCUACAGCCCAGAAGAGGAAGGAGGAGGCGAGGGUGCAUCCGUGUAGCAUCCCAAAAAUUCAAAUCCUGAAAUUUUCUCAAACUCGCUCUAAAUUCAAAAUGAAUUUCAAAUUUCAUUUCAAAAUGUUUGUUUGCGAGUUGAUAUCAACAAAUAAAGUAUAGUGGUCUAUAUUCUCUCUAAAAUCCUCCUCAAAAUAUCCUACAAAUAUUUCCCCAGUGAUCCUCCUCAAAUUGUUUCCAGAAAUAUUGCCCAGAUAUUUCCCUAGUGAUCCCCUUCGAGUUAUUUCCAGAAAUACUGCCCAAAUAUUCCACCGAUAUAUCUCCAGAUAUUUUCCUCUUGAGAAAUACCUUCAGAAUCAUUUUUUCAAGUCCCUACAAAUAUUUUCUUCAUAACUUUUCUCAUGCUCAUACGUAUAUGUAUGCCUCCAGUGUCAUACGGUGAGCUCUACAAGCAAAUCUCACUUAUACAAGGCAAAUACAUGCUAACCUCCCACUAAUCAUCUCAUCCUCCCACUAAUCCUCUCAUCCCUCCCCCUAAUCCACCCACCAUGGCGAUAAAUAGAGGGGCAAGGGCCUCCUCUCAUCCCACCCCAAGCCAUUUCAUGGCAACUCUCUCCCCCCCACACCCACCCACUCCAUGUUCCACACAAGCACACACUAGCACAAGGAUCGUCCGAUCGUUCUUCGAUCGUUCGUCCCCUGUUCUUAGGUUGUUCGUUCGUUCGUCCGAUCGUUCGAUCGUUCGUCCGAUCGUUCAUGGUUCGUUCGUCCGUUCGUCCGAUCGUUCGAUCGUUCGUUCGUUCGUUCGUCCAAAUAAUUUUUUUCCUACCGUUAUGCUGCCGAAAUUCCGAUCAUUCGUUCGUUCAAUCAUUCGGUCGUUCAUCGUUCGUUCAUAGUUCCUAUUCAUCGUUCUUCCAGAUAAUCUUUGUCCUGCCGUUAUGCUGCCGAAAUUCCGAUCGUUCGUUCGUCCGAUCAUUCGAUCGUUCGUCCGUUCGUUCAUAGUUCCUAUUCAUCGUUCAUCGUUCGUUCAUAGUUCCUAUUCAUCGUUCAUCGUUCAUUCAUACGACUAUUCACCAUCACUAUUCACCGUUACUAUUCAUCAUUACUAUUAACUGACACUAUUCACCAUCGUUACUAUUCAGUGUUACUAUUCAUCAUCGUUACUAUUCAUCAUCGUUACUACUCAUCGAUGAUAUCUAGUAACUUUUUCGUCGUCACUAUUCAUCGUUACUAUUCACCGAUUAGCCGAUCACCCCAAAUUUCAACUACUCAUACAUCAUGUUGUCCAGUCCACCUAAGACCAGCCAGACCCAUAUUCCAGUCAUACGAACUCCGGUGACUGUGAUUUUCUUUCCAGUGGAAACUUCCCAUCUGGUCACCCAUCCCAGGUUUCUCCAAGUUGAGCACGCUUAACUUGAGAUUCCUUCGAACCAGGCUCCCAAACUCAGAUUCCAAUAAUUCUCGUUUCUAAACUCUUAUCAAACUAUUCCCUAUCCAACCAUGUAAUCCCUUAAGCAUGGUCCAUAUUCCAGAAAACUCCCAAAAUACUCUUGUCCCAUAUUCUGCCUAUAACUCUCCUGUUCAUACUAAGUCAGACGAUUCAUUCGUCACUAUUCUCACCAACAGUGAACUUCACUGUGCUACACCACAUACACCCAGCUAUAAAUACACCCAGCUACCCUCUCCCCCUCCACACACACUCAACACCCUCAGCCAAGGCAAACACCCCACCCACUCAGUUACUCUGCUCUGCCGGCUACACGCAUAGUGUCGCUUCGCCUCCAGUCCACCCUCCUGGUAAGCACCUCCGCUCCACCACCAGUAAUAUCACAACACCACAUGACACAUAUUCUACUCAAGACUCUACCCAUCCAUAUAUCGCUUUUCUGACCACUAUACUAAAUAUUUGUUGGUAUACUUGCUGGUUUGUAUGUUUGCUUGUUCAUGUUGCAUAGUUAUCGGAGCGUUCGUGCCAUCUCGUGGAGGCCAGAUCUGCAAGUCUACGCUAGGCGGUGGAGCCAGAAGCCAGUUCCGCGAGCUCUCCUUCCCCCUUCGCCGAAUAAGCACGACAAGCUCACUGGAUCCCUUUGAUGCAUAAAUUACCUAUGUUUUUCAACCACAACCCUCAGCCUGUUAUUUUAUGCAUGAUAUGAUUUUGAGAUAAGCUAUUAUGGCCACCCAAGCCGCUUGCCGCAAUCAAUCCUUAAUAUAUUUGUUACAAAUGAUUUGAGAAAGGGUGUGAGUUUUCAAAAGAAAAUGCUUUUCAAAAUGUGUAUGAUGAAGGGUUUUCACCCUUAUCACCAUGUGAGUGGGAUAAUCAGGGACUCCCUGGUUUAGGGGAGGGCCUAAGGUGAUGGCUCAGCUGGUUUAGGCGUGAGCAGAAGGAUUGUCCCCUCGUAUAAGGACCGGUUUGUCAUCUUUCACUACCUGUACUCAUGAUAAGUACAACCACUCGAGACUGUGUGGGCAGUCACUCAAUCUGAACUCGUACGGUCCAACCCCAGGGUUAUGAAGGCUGGGGAGCACCGGGAGGAUAAGGAGGGGGAAAGUUUUGUCCGGUUUGGACAUGGUGGUGGCCUGACUCCUUCCGGAUAACCAUUAAGGUUAGGACGUGCGGGGAAAGAAAGAGAUUCGGAUUCAGAUCUCAUUGAUCAUGAGAUCGCAGAGCCGGACUAGUGGGUAAAGUGUACACCUCUGCGCAGAGUUUAAACCUAUUCGAAUAGUCUGUGUCCACAGGAAUGGACGAGUCUGGUAUGGUAUGGCAAUUAAUGUUUUGUUUUUUUAAAAAAAGAUGCUUUUGAAAAGUGGUUUUUAAAAAGGUUCGGCGGUUGAGCCGUGAGCUAUGGUGGACGGGAAGUCCAAUAGCUGUUUUUGAAAAGGAAAACCAGUGGGAAACUGCUGAGAUACCUGGAUGGUUUAGUCCAAGGGAUUUUGUUAUAAUACUGAAAAACUUCCUGCUCCUUUUGGAGAGGAUGCACUUUGCAAAAAUACAAAAUGUUUUUCAAAACAACUCUGCAUAAAAUAUUGCUGUUUCUGCAAAAUAUCCUAAGCUCCACAUAUUCCAUGCAUUAUAUCUGAUUUCCCCAUUCCGCAGGUGAAGGUGGGCUGCUGAGUACGUUUGUACUCACCCUUGCUUAUUUGUUGUUUUUCAGAAAAAGGAGAUCGGGUAAGAGUUACGACUGUUCCCAACCUUGCCUGUGGCUGUUGGACCGCUGAUUUGCUUCACUGCGUAUAUCGGGCUGCUUCAGCCCCACUCUGAUGAUAUGUCCCGAGUUGUGGACCAACUCUUAAAGUUGUUCGCCACCUUUAUAGGUUGGUCUCGUUUAAGCAGAUCUGGAAUCAUCUGAUGUAUAAAUGUGUUUACUAGCCUCCUGGGACUAGUAAUUGUAUCACAUUUGAGUCCCAGAGGAUCGGGACGCUUCAGGUGGUAUCAGAACUGUUAGGUUGGCCGCAGGACGUAACCCUUAGCCUGAUCAAAAGUUUUUGAGUCAAAACUAUUUUCUUAAAAAAAAUUCUUGCUCUCAUCCCUUCAUUUCAAAAAUGUUUCCCCUUUCCUUCUCUUAGAAGUCAGAUGGAGGUUCAGUGCCAAACCAGCUUCUGCCAGAAUGAAGAUGGUUUCCCCAAGUUGUUGAGAGCAUGCACAGUUCGCCUCGGAAUCAGGAGCCAGCCAGAGUAUGAUGGUCAUGAAUUCGUCGAGCAUGGCACAGAGAAGUGUGUCGUGACUGUAUACAUUGGGUCCAGUCCACACCAUGUGGAAUGGAGUGUCACUGCUGCUGGGCACAGAUUCAAAGACACCUGCCAAGUCGUCGCUCGCAAGGCAUUGAGGGCCCUGUGUCAGAUCUAUGAAGAAGAAGUGGCCGACACCCCGCUCAGAUUCUUUCCGCCCUUUCAGAGAGACCGUCCCGCUUGGAUGGCCAGGAUGCGUGCAUUGGAAGGGCAGCAGCUGCUUGAGGACGACCCCACAGUCGUGUACCUCACUGCAUACCUGCUCACCCUUGAUACACAGUAUGAUUUCUUGGCUCGGUACCACCGUCAGAUGAUUGCCCGAGCAGAAGAUGCAGAGAAGCGCAACCGUCAGCUGCAUGUGGAUCUCACCACAGCUCAAGCCCGUGCAACUGCCUUGGAGAGUCGUGAAGUCAUUGCUGUUGAAGCCCUGAAGCAAGCCAAGGAUGAGCACAUCCAAAAGUUGAUGGAGGCCUACUUGGUAACCCAUAACCAACGUAGAGCCCUGCGGAUCGAAGAGCCCGCUUCAUCCAACCCAGUUCAACCCAGGAGAGUAGAAGACCCUCAGAUUCUUGAAGGUCACCCGGUCUCUACCAGAGGAGAAAAGAAGGCUUGGGAACUCCCGGAAGGAGCCAUAGUCUUGGAAGGAAUUCCAGUCUCCCCUCAGGCUAUGAAUAAGCAAGAGCACCCCGAGUCCUCUCAAGAUCCCCCGCUAGAGUUGUUUGAGCCCUUCUCCGUGAAGAAGAUUCCAGCACCGCCCCGUGAAAUCAAGGAAGAAGCUGCAAGCACCCCGCCAGCACCGCCGCCCUCUGAGGAGCUACAAGAGCCAGUCCCGCUUGAAGAAGAGUUCGACCCCGUGUUGCCAUCUCAGUCGCUGCCAAAAGAAGUCAUCAACAUCAGCUCCCUCUUGACCCAUCCAGGAGAUGUCUCAGAUUGAAGUUGUGUGCAAGCCUUGCCAGAAGAGAAGUUGCCAGAUCUGAAGUUAGUUAUGCCCAGUCCUUUGCAUGCAUUGGGUAGUGAAGUUUUCCUUCACUUUGGCUAGAGCCUUGCAUGUAUGAGAGGUAAUCGCGUAGACUCGUGUUUUGCAAAACUCUAAUUGUGUGGCCCCCUAGGGCAUUUCAUAAUGAAUUUCGCUUGAUGUUUUCUCCCCUUUUGAGUGCAUAUGUGAUGCUUUAACGUUAGUGCUCAUAAGUCGCAUUUAGCAUAGUUCUCAAUUCAGGAGCCAAGCAAUAGUAGUUAUGCUUAGCCCUCGAAUCUGAGUAGUCCGUGCUUUGGAAAAACUCUAUCCUUCCCUUAUUCAAAACAUUCGAUUUGUUUGUGCUUAUCAUUGCUGAUCUUGCGUGUUUCCUUUCUUUUUUUAAGAAAGGUUUUCUCUAAAAACAUAGAUCACAAAUUAGAGCUAAUCCUCACCUUAUGCUUCCAUUCUCAUCUUAACCCAUCUCAAGAGAAAAGUGCCUUAUCGAAGAAGAUAUCGGGAAGCUUACCCUUGAAGCAUGGAAGAAGCUACAGAGGAACCUAUUCAGUCGCCCAGUCAAAAGGAUUGACCGUGAGAAUCAAAGCACCGCCCCUGAGUCAAAGUAAACAGGAAAAGAGGACAGAAGGAGUUAUUACCAUACAGAGAGGCAAAGAUUCUUGGAACCAGAGACCACAAACAUCAGGGUCAUCGACCCCACCACUCACCCGUGCCCCCGCACGCGUGCCCGCCUCCAUGCGCACUAGCACCGCCGCAUACGCCCCCUUUGCAGCGCACUACCGCCGCCCACCCCCCUUUGCAGCGCACCCACUACCGCCAUCGUCGCCGGCAACAGCCCCCCUUCCCCUUGUCGCAUCUGCUGUCUUGUGUCACCUGCUCCAUCACUACCACUCCACACCCUCCCGAGCACCCCCGCUCGCCUAUAAACCCCCCCACCAACUCCCUCAACUCCCAACUCGCUCAAAGCACACUCCAGAUAAAUCCCCUCUGCUAAAUCGCAAGCAACUCCAUUUUCCACUCCCUCACCCCUAAGAUCAGAAUGCUUGGUGAUUCUUGGGUUGAAGACUGUUGUACAUGGUUCAUAGUCUUCGGUUUCCUCCUCUGUAUGAUGGUAAUACUCAUCGAUAGAAUCCUCCAGUGGGAAGAGCAAAGAGAAAGAAAGAGGCAGUAAGAAGAGAAAAGAAAAAGCGAAGAGAAGAUGUGAAGAAGGUUCUCCCAGAAUCAACCCUGUGCCAUUCUUCCCUCCGCAGCCUGCUCAAGCAGCAACAACAGAAGAAGGCCCCGUAACACCUUUGUUAUGAGGUAUUUCAAGGACUUCAAAUCCCCAAGAUUCAAGAGUUCUACCCUCAUUCUUUUUAAGUGGGGUAGUGUUCCAGCAAGGUUCCUGCUGUGGAGAAAAAGGAGAAGACUUGUAGCAAGCUUGUGGAGGACCAGAUCAUCAAAGCAUAUAAGUUUCUGGAUGAGAAGUGGUCACCCAAGUUUUGUUGAUGAAGCACCAGAAGACCAAUCAAGGAAGGAAUCCAUGUGGGAGUUCGCAAGAGAAAGGUUUGCAUGUUGGCAUCAAUGCUUCUUCAAUAAGCUAGCUGCCAAGUGAAAGCCAGAAGCCUGAAGAUGAUCUUUGAGUAGCCAAAAUCAGCGUUUGCAAUCAGCAACCAGAUGCUCCGCUAGGCCAGAUCUUGUUGAAGUUCCAUCUCCUUGAAGAGUUGCAAAGUGAAGAUAUGUAGCUGAAGUAAAGCUAUACCCAUAACCCUUCUAAGCCGAAUCUCGAGGACGAGAUUCAUUUUAAGUGGGGUAGAUUUGUAGCAUCCCAAAAAUUCAAAUCCUGAAAUGUUCUCAAACUCGCUCUAAAAUCAAAAUGAAUUUCAAAUUUCAUUUCAAAAUGUUUGUUUGCGAGUUAAUAUCAACAAAUAAAGUAUAGUGGUCUAUAUUCUCUCUAAAAUCCUCCUCAAAAUAUCCUACAAAUAUUUCCCCAGUGAUCCUCCUCAAAUUGUUUCCAGAAAUACUGCCCAGAUAUUUCCCUAGUGAUCCCCUUCGAGUUAUUUCCAGAAAUAAUGCCCAAAUAUUCCACCGAUAUAUCUCCAGAUAUUUUCCUCUUGAGAAAUACCUUCAGAAUCAUUUUUUCAAGUCCCUACAAAUAUUUUCUUCAUAACUUUUCUCAUGCUCAUACGUAUAUGUAUGCCUCCAGUGUCAUACGGUGAGCUCUACAAGCAAAUCUCACUUAUACAAGGCAAAUACAUGCUAACCUCCCACUAAUCAUCUCAUCCUCCCACUAAUCCUCUCAUCCCUCCCCCUAAUCCCCCCACCAUGGCUAUAAAUAGAGGGGCAAGGGCCUCCUCUCAUCCCACCCCAAGUCAUUUCAUGGCAACUCUCUCCCCCCCCACACACACCCACUCCAUGUUCCACACAAGCACACACUAGCACAAGGAUCGUUCGAUCGUUCUUCGAUCGUUCGUCCCCUGUUCUUAGGUUGUUCGUUCGUUCGUCCGAUCGUUCGAUCGUUCGUCCGAUCGUUCAUGGUUCGUUCGUCCGUUCGUCCGAUCGUUCGAUCGUUCGUCCGUUCGUUCGUCCAAAUAAUCUUUUUCCUACCGUUAUGCUGCCGAAAUUCUGAUCAUUCGUUCGUUCGAUCAUUCGAUCGUUCAUCGUUCGUUCAUAGUUCCUAUUCAUCGUUCUUCCAGAUAAUCUUUGUCCUGUCGUUAUGCUGCCGAAAUUCCGAUCGUUCGUUCGUCCGAUCAUUCGAUCGUUCGUCCGUUCGUUCAUAGUUCCUAUUCAUCGUUCAUCGUUCCUAUUCAUCGUUCAUCGUUCGUUCAUACGACUAUUCACCAUCACUAUUCACCGUUACUAUUAACUGACACUAUUCACCAUCGUUACUAUUCAGUGUUACUAUUCAUCAUCGUUACUAUUCAUCAUCGUUACUACUCAUCGAUGAUAUCUAGUAACUUUUUCGUCGUCACUAUUCAUCGUUACUAUUCACCGAUUAGCCGAUCACCCCAAAUUUCAACUACUCAUACAUCAUGUUGUCCAGUCCACCUAAGACCAGCCAGACCCAUAUUCCAGUCAUACGAACUCCGGUGACUGUGAUUUUCUUUCCAGUGGAAACUUCCCAUCUGGUCACCCAUCCCAGGUUUCUCCAAGUUGAGCACGCUUAACUUGAGAUUCCUUCGAACCAGGCUCCCAAACUCAGAUUCCAAUAAUUCUCGUUUCUAAACUCUUAUCAAACUAUUCCCUAUCCAACCAUGUAAUCCCUUAAGCAUGGUCCAUAUUCCAGAAAACUCCCAAAAUACUCUUGUCCCAUAUUCUGCCUAUAACUCUCCUGUUCAUACUAAGUCAGACGAUUCAUUCGUCACUAUUCUCACCAACAGUGAACUUCACUGUGCUACACCACAUACACCCAGCUAUAAAUACACCCAGCUACCCUCUCCCCCUCCACACACACUCAACACCCUCAGCCAAGGCAAACACCCCACCCACUCAGUUACUCUGCUCUGCCGGCUACACGCAUAGUGUCGCUUCGCCUCCAGUCCACCCUCCUGGUAAACACCUCCGCUCCACCACCAGUAAUAUCACAACACCACAUGACACAGAUUCUACUCAAGACUCUACCCAUCCAUAUAUCGCUUUUCUGACCACUAUACUAAAUAUUUGUUGGUAUACUUGCUGGUUUGUAUGUUUGCUUGUUCAUGUUGCAUAGUUAUCGGAGCAUUCGUGCCAUCUCGUGGAGCCCAGAUCUGCAAGUCUACGCCAGGCGGUGGAGCCAGAAGCCAGUUCCGCGAGCUCUCCUUCCCCCUUCGCGGAAUAAGCACGACAAGCUCACUGGAUCUCUUUGAUGCAUAAAUUACCUAUGUUUUUCAACCACAACCCUCAGCCUGUUAUUUUAUGCAUGAUAUGAUUUUGAGAUAUGCUAUUAUGGCCACCCAAGCCGCUUGCCGCAAUCAAUCCUUAAUAUAUUUGUUACAAAUGAUUUGAGAAAGGGUGUGAGUGUUGGGGACUUGUUCUUAAAUGCUAAGAAUUAAGAACAAGGCAACACAAAAAGUGUUAAGUGUUAAAGUCCUUCGUCCUUCGAAGCAUUAUGUCCCUUCGGGAAAUAAUGAGUUUCGGACGAAGGUCAUAAGAGACAUACCUUCGUAAACAUAACAAGUAAUGACGAAGGAUUCAUAUAAAGCAUGAAAUUUAAUAUAAGCAUCAUCAUAAAAUCAUUUCUAUUUUAUUAACAUGGAAAAAUAGAAAUGAUUUCAAAUUACAAAUGUACCUUCGGUCCUGAGAGAAGGUAGAAAGUACAAGCGUGACGCAAAAGCAAAUGCCAAGUCAGCGUGAACAGUACGGGAGUACUGUUCAUCUAUUUAUAGACGCGGGACGCAGCCCACGUAAAAUUACAUUUAUGUCUAUUACAUUUGUCAAUGACUUAUGGAAAUCUGACAAGGUCCACGUAGUCUUUUCAUCUUUAAGUCGGUUCCCCUCUCUGCUAUCGCGACGAAGCUUCCCUGCACACAGCUUCGGCUGUGCACCAUCCUUCGUGGAGCUUGGUAAUUAGCCCGUCCUUCGUCUGGUUCAGGCUUCGUCCUGACCGCACUUCAUGUUCGUAAUUCUGAGUCCGAAGAUACCUGUUCACAUAAUCCACUUGGAAAACAUUGUCAAAUCAUGUUUUUGAGGACCUUCGGAGGACGAAGACCCCCAACAGUAGCCCCUCGCAAUAUUAAUUUGUUUGAAAUAAUAAAUUCAGAUUGCGAUAUGAACGAAGGCUUCAUGCCGAAGGUCCGAAAAAACACCUUCCCUUUGCUAGAAUAGCAACACUCAAUGACAAGUGGGGUCUUUCAACUUUCAACGCAUCAAGCGUAUAAAUACGGCCAUACCGCAAACUUAUUUUGCACGCUUUCUGGCCAACCACUCUUGCUCAUUCAUUUUUUAGCUCUUGUGCACUGUGAUCUGCUAAGCUUUUAGCUUUGAAGCUUCGGCUUUGAAAACAGUUUUUUAGUGUUUCCGAAGAUGUCUGAAGCUGCUAAGAAGGCUGCUGCUGAAAUGAAGCUGAGUCUUGAUGAAGAGAAGAACUUAGGGUUUCUUAUAGCAAUGUCGAAGACCAACACAGAAAAGAUCACCAGGGAAAUUCUGGAAGGGCUGUCUGAAGAUACUGGUGACAGUGAAAGUUACGAUGUGGACAGCGGUGGCGAAGACUCCGAAGAUCGCCCCUGGCGACCAAGCCAUUCAGUUUAUGGUAAAUCAACUAUCAAAGAGAAUCAUCUUGUUAAUAUGAGAGGAAGGUAUUUCCGGGAUCUGUCCAUUGUGAGGGCGGACGAAGGGGAAAAGACUUGUCCACACCCUGAAGAAAAUGAAGUUGUGGUGUACCGAAGCUUUUUGAAAGCCGGAUUGCGAUUCCCCUUGAGCAGCUUCGUCGUGGAGGUGUUGAAAACCUUCGAAGUCUAUCUUCAUCAACUUACUCCAGAGGCUAUUAUAAGGCUAAAUAUCUUCGUGUGGGCCACGAGAAGCCAAGGUCUGAAGCCUGACGCAAGAAGCUUCUGUAAUGUUCAUGAAUUAUUAUAUGAAACAAAACCUUGGGGCAAAGAACAGUACCAUAACAACUUUGGCUGCUACAGCUUCGUCUCUCGGUCCGGGGCAAGCUGUCCCGUACCAACCUUUCGGAAGAGAUGGCCCGGGGAUUGGAUGACAGAAUGGUUUUAUGUGAAGAAUGACUUAUCAGCACGAGAAGACAUCAAAGGUAUAAUUAUGCGUCCUAUUUGGCAAAGCUUCGGCCUUCGGAGGCCGAAGGUUGAAAUGAACGAAGCCGCCGAAGAGUGCCAAAGAGCCUUCGGCGUUGUCUGCUCUUUUAUAGGAACAAGGGACUUAGUACAAGAGCAUAUUGCCUUCAGGGUGUGGCCGCUUGCGGAGAAAUGGGAAAUGCCACAAGAAACCAUUAAAGAGGCCGACGAAGGAGAACUUGUCAGGUUUAAGUACACUUUUAAAUUUGGAGAUAAAUUUAUUGAGCCAGAUGAUGAGUGGUUGAAAAGCAUUGACAAUUUAAGUGAUGAGCUGCUUGGGACCUACUCGAAGGCCGAAGAUAAUGCAAUGUCAGCAGCCUUCGGAGGCCGAAAAAAGAAAAGACUGAAUCGGGUAUUUGAUGCCAUCGGGUUUGUCUACCCUGACUAUUGCUACCCCAUUCGAAGGCAGAAGAGAAAAAAUACAACCUCUACGAAAGAAGAAACUGCAGCUGCUCCUAGCGAGCCAGAACCAAAAAGGAAGAAGAUAAAGGCUCUUACGCAUCGGCCACGUUAUAUUGAACCAGCUUCGGUGCCUGAGUUUACCGGAGAGACUUCUUCGGCCACCGAAGCUGAAAAACCAGCCGAGUCGACCUUGCUGCCAGAAGUCGCAGAAACAGCCGAAGUAUCAACGAAGACAAAAUUGGAGCAAUCAAAAAUUUUGUUACCGGAAACGAAAGAGAAGGCCGAAGCGCCAUUCACAGAAAAAAUGGAAGAGGUAAAGGAAGCAACCGAGGACUCCAAAACAUCAGAAGUUUUGAGUCCUGUGGCAAACAUUGAAACAGUAAGAAAUCAAAAAGUGCCAGCGGUGACUCCGAAAAGAAGGAGAAUGGCUAAUGUGCUGGAUGUGCUGGAAACGAUCAAAUCUUCAAGCACCCCUCCGAAGAAGGCUGCCGUCACUCCUGAAACAACAGUCGAAGCUUCGGGUUCUAAAGCUCCAGAGCAAGAUACUGAAGCCGAAGCUGGGCCCUCAGAGCCCUCAAAGGCAAAAACCUUGGAAAAUGAGGCAGAAAAAAUAACAAAGCCAACUUUUGCUGAAGGAACUGAUGUUGUUACCCCCGAAGCAUCCAAAAUUCGUGAUUAUAUUUUUCGUCAUGCUUCGGGGAAAAAAUUAACAGAAAAAGAAGAACAAGAGGCCCAACACUAUGCCCAAAAGUUGAAAUAUCCAAAGGGGGCGUUGAUAUUUAAUGGCAGUGGAGAAGAAGAUUUCUUGUAUUGCCUCCCCGACAGCAAGGAAAUUUCUGUCUGUCGGGAGAUGAGCAGAAGCUUCGGAUUUCCAACUUUAGAAGACGGACUUUCGGUGCUGUCAAAGAACGAUCUGGCUGACAGCCUAGCUUACAACAGUUUAAAGGUGCGACAAAUGGAAUUCUUAUAUUUUUGUUGAAUUCAAAAUUUUUCAUUUGUUUAAAACUAUUAACACAGACAUAUUCCUGUCUGCAGGGCCUGAUACUCAGCAAUGCCCUCAGAGCACAGAAAGAUGCUGAGGACGAAGGAUGUACUAUAGCCCUGAGCAACCUUCGUUCCGAAGUAAUUGAACUGAGGAACGAAGGUCUCGAAAAAGACAAAAUAUUGCAUUCCUUAAUAAAUAAAAUAAAAGAAGACGAAGCUAUUUUCAAAGGUCAGGCCGAAGCUCAGAAGUGUGAAAUUGAAAACCUUCGUAAACAAUUAGCCAGAGCUAAAGAGGAAUGCAUACUCGAAGAAACAAGGCGAGAACUCAGCGACCAAUGGGCAAAUCAUUUAGAAGAAACUGUUAAAGAGCUUCGGUCAGCCAAGAAGAAAUGCUUCGACAAAUCUAUAGAGUGUGUCAAGAAAAUAAAAACUAGCUUCGCCAGCGUUGGUGCAUUUUCGCAGGAAGAAAACUUUAUAAGAGGUAACCCCGAAGGUCCGCUGGAAUGGAUCAAUCAUGAGGCGGAGGCCUUCGAGGAAAUCCUAAGUAGCCGCGGUGACAUCUGCGCUUUUUCUGGUGCCAGAGGGAUUGCCACUAUUUUGGAGGGGAAAGGAUGUGAACAUGUAAAGAUUUUAUCGCAGUCCGAAGCCACCUUGUCCACUGAAGAUUUAAAAGAUCCUUCAGCCGAAGCUAGCGUGGUUGGGGGAAAAUUUUUCACCGACAUCUGGAACAACGGUGGUAGAGAAAUGGCCCAAGAAAUCAUUCAGAAAAGCGAAAAAGGGAUUCACGAGGCUAGAAAAGUAGCCGAGGCUGCUGAGAAAAACGCAGAGCCCGAAGGGCAAAUAGGUACUAGCGAAUAGUUUUCAUUGCAUUAUAACUUUUAAUUUUAUAGUUCGUUCGCGAUCUGUAAUAAUGAUGUAAUAGUAUCCCGUCCUCACUCAGAUCCUACUAAAGCAUCUUCGGGCCCUCAGCCUAAAGAUGACGACGAAAUUAAAAAGAUGGCCGAAGCUAUCAUGGAUCAGGUUGUCGAUCGACUGCUGAACGAAGCUGCAGAGAUAGUACUUAGGGAAGACUAAGUGCUAUUGCAAAAAACAUUUGAUAUAUGAUUUGUGUAAUAUUCUGUAAUCCUGUAUGUAAUAUACCUGUUUUAUGAUUUAAUUCUUUACGAUGCAUGAAACUUUAAACACGUACCAUUUUUGAGUCUUCGACGAAAAAACACCUUCCCUUCUUUUCAUGCUUCGUGAAGAAGAAUUUAUCAUUUAUCACGACAAUAUCCAUAGUGUUCUGAUAAGAAAUAUCCAAGCUUCGUAAAAAUAAUCUCCGAAGCUAUACCUCGAAAAUUAAUAUUGUUUCUCCCUGUAACUUGGCAUGAUUUGCCCUUUUUCAAAGCAUUUUCCGAAGAUCGAUAACAUGCCCCCUUCUUGUGCCACAUGCAGCAUGAUGUAUGAUGAUUAUGCUAUGCAAAAUGAUGUGAUGAUGUUAUGUUAUGCAGAAUGAUAUUUUGUGCCGAAGAUACGCACAUUCCUGCAAUGGGGCACAAUCUUUUGUAUCAAUACUGACUUUUUCAUUAUAAGUCUCCCUUAGGAGCUUCUUCGCCUUUUACUUCAGCGGAAUCAGCGUUUAUUUUUCGCUGUAAGUUCUGCAUCCCCUUAGGAACGUCUUUGGAACUUCUUCGCCUUUUACUUAGGCGGUAUAAGCUCUGCAUUCCCUUAGGAACGUCUUUGGAGCUUCUUCGCCUUUUUACUUAGGCGGUAUCAGCGUUGACUUUUCGCUGUAUGCUCUGCAUUCCUUUUGGAACGACUUUGGAGCAGAAAACUUACACUGCGCUCCCUUUGGAACGACUUUUUGUGACUUCGUCAGACUUACUCUGCGUUCCUUAGAACGACUUUUUGUUGCUUCGAAGGAUUUUCGAUAGUCCGAAGGUCCUUUUUAUUAUCAUAAACCUGUGAAGAAAACAUAUUUUUCUUGUAGGAAUCAACGAAACUAAUUACAUGAAAUCUAAACAAUGUCCUUUAUUACAAAAAAUAAAACUGAAUGAAAAAGAUUGCUAUUAAGGUAGGAUAUUUGUCAAUAGAUGUGUUUUGACUCUGGCAUGGUGCUGUUGACCGUGCGAGCUUCGGACUGUUCUCUGAAGUCCCUUUGAUGUGGAGCAUAUUGGCUCCCUUCUGGCUGUUGGCCUUGUUGCAACGGAGGUGGAGGCGGGGGCUGUUGCCAGGAGGCUGAAGGCUGACUUGCCGAAGCAGCAGAGAGUGCAGGAUGGUUGCCCACAUAUUCUGGGAUGUAGGGCGAAUGAUACGAAGCAGUGUGCAUGACCUGCUUCGGCUGAGCCUGUUGCGCGGCAGCUUCGGCUAUCUCUUUUUGCUUCUGAAUGGUAACAUGACACAUCCUGGUAGUAUGACCUUUGUUUCCACCACAGAAUAAGCAAAAUAUUCUUCUGGGUUGAUCCCCGAAUCUUCCGCCGAAGCCCCUGGCGCCUCUGCCUCUUGGAGCUGGUGGUCGGAAGGAGCUUUGCUGUUGCCCCGAAGCCUGUGAAGAGCACUGCGGUCUGUUCUGCUGACUCCCCUUAUCAUCAUUCUGAGUGGAGUUGUGGAUGGACCUGACAUGCCUCGGAUAGGAUCUUCCUCCGAAGCCCCUGGUCAUUUCGGAAAAUCUGAAGGCCUCCUCCCUUCUUUGGCGAAAGUCAUUGUCAGCACGAAUGUACUCGUCCAUUUUUUGGAGCAGCUUCUCCAGGGUCUGAGGAGGCUUCCUAGCAAAGUAUUGAGCAGCAGGUCCAGGACGAAGCCCCUUGAUCAUGGCUUCGGUGACAAUUUCAUUGGGCACCGUUGGUGCCUGCGCCCUCAAACGCAAGAAUCUUCUGACAUACGCCUGAAGGUAUUCUUCAUGAUCCUGAGUGCACUGGAACAAGGCUUGAGCAGUGACCGGCUUCGUCUGAAAUCCUUGAAAGCUGGUCAAUAACAUAUCCUUCAGCUUCUGCCAUGAAGUGAUCGUUCCUGGCCGGAGGGAGGAAUACCAGGUCUGAGCAACACUCCUGACGGCCAUAACGAAAGACUUUGCCAUUACUGCAGCAUUGCCACCAUACGAAGACACUGUUGCUUCGUAACUCAUCAAGAACUGCUUCGGGUCCGAAUGGCCAUCGAACAUGGGAAGCUGGGGUGGCUUAUAGGACGAAGGCCAAGGUGUAGCCUGCAGCUCAGCGGACAGAGGAGAAGCAUCGUCGAAAACAAAAUUUCCAUGAUGAAAAUUAUCAUACCAGUCAUCUUCAUUGAAGAAGCCCUCCUGAUGAAGGUCUUUUUGUUGAGGCCUUCGGUUCUGCUCAUUGUGGGUAAGAUGACGGACUUCUUCAGAAGCUUCGUCUAUCUGCCUCUGCAGCUCAGCUAGCCUGGCCAUCUUCUCCUUCUUCCUCUGCACUUGUUGAUGUAGCAUCUCCAUGUCCCUGAUUUCUUGGUCUAGUUCAUCCUCCUGAAUCGUCGGGCUGACAGCCUUCCUCUUCUGGUUUCGGGCCUCCCGGAGAGAGACGGUCUCCUGAUUGGGGUCCAGCGGUUGCAGUGCUGCAGCCCCAGUCGCUGAAGCUUUCUUCGGUGCCAUAGCGAGGGUCUAUAGCUUCCGAAGGUGUUCAAAAAAACUCGAAGUGGAAGUGAGUUCACCGACGGUGGGCGCCAAUGUUGGGGACUUGUUCUUAAAUGCUAAGAAUUAAGAACAAGGCAACACAAAAAGUGUUAAGUGUUAAAGUCCUUCGUCCUUCGAAGCAUUAUGUCCCUUCGGGAAAUAAUGAGUUUCGGACGAAGGUCAUAAGAGACAUACCUUCGUAAACAUAACAAGUAAUGACGAAGGAUUCAUAUAAAGCAUGAAAUUUAAUAUAAGCAUCAUCAUAAAAUCAUUUCUAUUUUAUUAACAUGGAAAAAUAGAAAUGAUUUCAAAUUACAAAUGUACCUUCGGUCCUGAGAGAAGGUAGAAAGUACAAGCGUGACGCAAAAGCAAAUGCCAAGUCAGCGUGAACAGUACGGGAGUACUGUUCAUCUAUUUAUAGACGCGGGACGCAGCCCACGUAAAAUUACAUUUAUGUCUAUUACAUUUGUCAAUGACUUAUGGAAAUCUGACAAGGUCCACGUAGUCUUUUCAUCUUUAAGUCGGUUCCCCUCUCUGCUAUCGCGACGAAGCUUCCCUGCACACAGCUUCGGCUGUGCACCAUCCUUCGUGGAGCUUGGUAAUUAGCCCGUCCUUCGUCUGGUUCAGGCUUCGUCCUGACCGCACUUCAUGUUCGUAAUUCUGAGUCCGAAGAUACCUGUUCACAUAAUCCACUUGGAAAACAUUGUCAAAUCAUGUUUUUGAGGACCUUCGGAGGACGAAGACCCCCAACAGUGAGUUUUCAAAAGAAAAUGCUUUUCAAAAUGUGUAUGAUGAAGGGUUUUCACCCUUAUCACCUUGUGAGUGGGAUAAUCAGGGACUCCCUGGUUUAGGGGAGGGCCUAAGGUGAUGGCUUAGCUGGUUUAGGCGUGAGCAGAAGGAUUGUCCCCUCGUAUAAGGACCGGUUUGUCAUCUUUCACUACCUGUACUCAUGAUAAGUACAACCACUCGAGACUGUGUGGGCAGUCACUCAAUUUGAACUCGUACGGUCCAACCCCAGGGUUAUGAAGGCUGGGGAGCACCGGGAGGAUAAGGAGGGGGAAAGUUUUGUCCGGUUUGGACAUGGUGGUGGCCUGACUCCUUCCGGAUAACCGUUAAGGUUAGGACGUGCGGGGAAAGAAAGAGAUUCGGAUUCGAAUCUCAUUGAUCAUGAGAUCGCAGAGCCGGACUAGUGGGUAAAGUGUACACCUCUGCGCAGAGUUUAAACCUAUUCGAAUAGUCUGUGUCCACAGGAAUGGACGAGUCUGGUAUGGUAUGGCAAUUAAUGUUUUGUUUUAAAAAAAAAGAUGCUUUUGAAAAGUGGUUUUUAAAAAGGUUCGGCGGUUGAGCCGUGAGCUAUGGUGGACGGGAAGUCCAGUAGCUGUUUUUGAAAAGGAAAACCAGUGGGAAACUGCUGAGAUACCUGGAUGGUUUAGUCCAAGGGAUUUUGUUAUAAUACUGAAAAACUUCCUGCUCCUUUUGGAGAGGACGCACUUUGCAAAAAUACAAAAUGUUUUUCAAAACAACUCUGCAUAAAAUAUUGUUGUUUCUGCAAAAUAUCCUGAGCUCCACAUAUUCCAUGCAUUAUAUCUGAUUUCCCCAUUCCGCGGGUGAAGGUGAGCUGCUGAGUACGUUUGUACUCACCCUUGCUUAUUUGUUGUUUUUCAGAAAAAGGAGAUCGGGUAAGAGUUACGACUGUUCCCAACCUUGCCUGUGGCUGUUGGACCGCUGAUUUGCUUCACUGCGUAUAUCGGGCUGCUUCAGCCCCACUCUGAUGAUAUGUCCCGAGUUGUGGACCAACUCUUAAAGUUGUUCGCCACCUUUAUAGGUUGGUCUCGUUUAAGAAGAUCUAGAAUCAUCUGAUGUAUAAAUGUGUUUACUAGCCUCCUGGGACUAGUAAUUGUAUCACAUUUGAGUCCCAGAGGAUCGCGACGCUUCAAUCCGGUCGCGGUCGUGGCAGAAGAGCGAAUGCCAGCUGGGAGUCAGAGUCAGUCUUGGAUCCAAGAUAUAUCGUAGAAGCUGGAGCUGGUACUAAAUCAGACUGAGGCUGCACUGCAGGAGCUGCCGGAGCUGAAGUGGUCACAAACACCGCCACAGCAGCAGUGGUAAUAGCAGGCGCUGGUGGCUGAGCACUGACGGAGCUGAUGACCGGUGAUGAGAAAUCCAGGGUGACCGGCCGGAGCGGAGAGGGAGAAGGACCGAAUGAAGGUAGUGGGGGUCCUGCCUGAAUGGCUAGCACAAUCGCUACCUGAAGCGCUGUAGCAUCCCAAAAAUUCAAAUUCUGAAAUGUUCUCAAACUCGCUCUAAAUUCAAAAUGAAUUUCAAAUUCGUUUCAAAAUGUUUGUUUGCGAGUUGAUAUCAGCAAAUAAAGUAUAGUGGUCUAUAUUCUCUCUAAAAUCCUCCUCAAAAUAUCCUACACAUAUUUCCCCAGUGAUCCCCCUCAAAUUGUUUUCAGAAAUACUGCCCAGAUAUUUCCCUAGUGAUCCCCUUCAAGUUCUUUCUAGAAAUACUGCCCAAUUAUUCCACCGAUAUAUCUCCAAGUAUUUUCUUCCUGAGAAAUACCUUCAGAAUCAUUUUUGAAGUCCCUACAAAUAUUUUCUUCAUAACUUUCCUCAUGCUCACACGUAUAUGUAUGCCUCCGGUGUCAUAUGUUGAGCUCUACAAGCUAAUUACACUCAUAUAAGACAAAUCCAUGCUAAUCUCCCACUAAUCCUCUCAUCCUCCCACUAAUCCUCUCAUCCCUCCCCCUAAUCCCCCCACCAUGGCUAUAAAUAGAGGGGCAAGGGCCUCCUCUCAUCCCACCCCAAGCCAUUUCAUGGCAACUCCCUCCCCCCCACACCCACACGUCCACUUCCACUCCACCUCCCACACAAGCACACACUAGCACAAGGAUCGUUCGGUCGUUCUUCGAUCGUUCGUCCCCCUGUUCUUAGUUUGUUUGUUCGUUCGUUCGAUCGUUCGAUCGUUCGUCCGAUCGUUCAUGGUUCGUUCGUCCGAUCGUUCGAUCGUUCGUCCGUUCGUUCGUCCAAAUAAUCUUUUUCCUGUCGUUAUGCUGCCGAAAUUCCGAUCGUUCGUUCGUUCGAUCAUUCGAUCGUUCAUCGUUCGUUCAUAGUUCCUAUUCAUCGUUCAUCGUUCGUUCAUCAUCACUAUUCACCGUUCAUCGUUCGUUCAUACGACUAUUCACCAUCACUAUUCAUCGUUACUAUUCAUCGUUACUAUUCACCGAUCAUCUGAUCACCCCAAAUUUCAACUACUCAUCCGUCAUGCUGUCCAGUCCACCUAAGACCAGCCAGACCCAUAUUCCAGUCAUACGAACUCCGGCGACUCUGAUUUUCCUUCCAGUAGGGAACUUCCCAUCUGGUCACCCAUCCCAGAUUUCUCCAAGUUGAGCACGCUUAACUUUGGGAUUCUUUUAAGCCAGACUUCCAAAAAGAAAGGCAAACCAUGUUUGUAUGGAUACGUCUUCAAUCCUAUAAAACCUGGCCCAAGAUACCACAGCCCACUCGGACCAGAGUACCACAACAUUCCAGCUAUUUGGGUCCCGCCUCACUAUUGUCUGAUGUGACACAGUAGGUAGGAACAGUUUCCACCAACAUAAACCUCUGCCCUAGAAAAGCCCAAAAAUAAUUCCUCGCACCCCGCUCAAAAAUACAUUGAUUUUCCAAAUAUCUCUAAAUAUUCAAAUUCUAGAAUAUUCCAAGAAUAUUCCUUUCCUUUUCUUCUUCUCCCUAUGAUUAUAAAAUCUAAAACUCCUCCAUCCAAACUCAGAUUUCAGUCAUUCUUGUUUCUAAAAUUCUUGUCAAACUAUUCCCUAUCCAACCAUGUCAUCCCUUAAGCAUGGUUCAUAUUCCAGAAAACUCCCAAAAUACCCUUGUCUCAUAUUCUGCCUAUAACUCUCCUGUUCAUAUUAAGUCAGACGAUUCAUUCGUCACUAUUCUCACCAACAGUGAACUUCACUGUGCUACACCACAUACACCCAGCCAUAAAUACAUCCAGCUACCCUCUCCCUCUCCACACACACUCAACACCCUCAGCCAAGGCAAACACCCCACCCACUCAGUUACUCUGCUCUGCCGGCUACACGCAUAGUGUCGCUUCGCCUCCAGUCCACCCUCCUGGUAAGCACCUCCGCUCCACCACCAGUAAUAUCACAACACCACAUGACACAGAUUCUACUCAAGACUCUACCCAUCCAUAUAUCGCUAUUCUGACCACUAUACUAAAUAUUUGUUGGUAUACUUGCUGGUUUGUAUGUUUGCUUGUUCAUGUUGCAUAGUUAUCAGAGCGUUCGUGUCGUCUCGUGGAGGCCAGAUCUGCAAGUCUAUGCCAGGCAGUGGAGCUAGAAGCCAGUUCCGCGAGCUCCUCUUCCCCCUUCGCCGGAUAAGCACGACAAGCUCACUGGAUCCCUUUGAUGCAUAAAUUACCUAUUAUUUUUCAACCACAACCCUCAGCCUGUUAUUUUAUGCAUGAUAUGAUUUUGAGACAAGUUAUUAUGGCCACCCAACCGCUUGCCGCAAACAAUCCUUGAUAUAUUUGUUACAAAUGAUUUGAGAAAAGGUUUGAGUGUUCAAAAGAAAAUGAUUUUCAAAAUGUGUAUGAUGAAGGGUUUUCACCCUUAUCACCUUUGAGUAGGGAUGAUCAGGGACUCCCUGGUUUAGGGGAGGGCCUAAGGUGGUGGCUCAGCUGGUUUAGGCGUGAGCAGAAGGAUUGUCCCCUCAUAUAAGGACCGGUUUGUCAUCCUUCACUACCUGUACGCAUGACAAGUACAACCACUCGAGACUGUGUGGGCAGUCACUCAAUCUGAACUCGUACGGUCCAACCCUAGGGUUAUGAAGGCUGGGGAGCACUAGGAGGAUACGGAGGGGGAAUGUUUUGUCCGGUUUGGACAUGGCGGUGGCCUGACUCCUUCCGGUAUAACCGUUAAGGUUAGGACGUGCGAGGAAAGAAAGAGAUUCGGCAUUCGGGUCUCACUAGCUAUGAGAUCGCAGAAACCGGACUAGUGGGUAAAGUGUACCCCUCUGCGCAGAGUUUAAACCUAUUCGAAUAGUCCGUGUCCACAGGAAUGGACGAGUCUGGUAUGGUAUGGCAAUUAGUGUUUUGUUUUAAAAAAAAGAGGUGCGUUUGAGAAAAGUGAUUUUUAAAAGGUCCGGUGGUUGAGCCGUGAGCUAUGGUGGACGGGAAGUCCAGUAGCUGUUUUUGAAAAGGAAAACCAGUGGGAAACUGCCGAGAUACCUGGAUGGUUUAGUCCAGGGGAUUUUGUUCUAAUAUUGAAAAACUUCCUGCUCCUUUGGGAGAGGAUGCGCUUUGCAAAAUACAAAAUAUUUUACAAAACAACCCUGCAUAAAAUAUUGUUGUUUCUGCAAAAUAUUCUGAGCUCCACAUAUUCCAUGCAUUAUAUCUGAUUUCCCCAUUCCGCGGGUGAAGGUGGGCUGCUGAGUACGUUUGUACUCACCCUUGCUUAUUUGUUGUUUUUCAGAAAAAGGAGAUCGGGUAAGAGUUACGACUGUUCCCAACCUUGCCUGUGGCUGUUGGACAGCUGAUUUGCUUCGCUGCGUAUAUCGGGCUGCUUCAGCCCCACUCUGAUGAUAUGUCCCGAGUUGUGGACCAACUCUUAAAGUUGAUCGCCACCUUUAUAGGUUUGUCUCGUUUAAGCAGAUCUCUAAUCAUCUGAUGUAUAAAUGUGUUUACUAGCCUCCUGGGACUAGUAAUUGUAUCACAUUUGAGUCCCAAGGGAUUGGGGCGCUUCAGCUGGUAUCAAAGCUGUUAGGUUGGCCGCAGGACGUAACCCUUAGCCUGAUCCAAAAGUUUUUGAGUCAAAACUAUUUUCUUAAAAAAAAUAUUGCUCUCAUCCCUUCAUUUCAAAAAUAUUUUCCCCUUUCCUUCUCUCAGAAGUCAGAUGGAGGUCCGUUGCCAAACCAGCUUUUGCCAGAAUGAAGAUGGUUUCCCCAAGUUGUUGAGAGCAUGCACAGUUCGCCUCGGAAUCAGGAGCCAGCCAGAGUAUGAUGGUCGUGAAUUUGUCGAGCAUGGCACAGAGAAGUGUGUCGUGACUGUAUACAUUGGAUCCAGUCCGCACCAUGUGGAAUGGAGUGUCACUGCUGCUGGGCACAUAUUCAAAGACACCUGCCAAGUCGUCGCCCACAAGGCAUUGAGGGCCCUGUGUCAGAUCUAUGAAUAAGAAGUGGCCGACACCCCGCUCAGAUUAUUUCCGCCCUUUCAGAGAAACCGUCCCGUUUGGAUGGCCAGGAUGCGUGCAUUGGAAGGGCAGCAGUUGCUUGAGGACGACCCCACAGUCGUGUACCUCACUGCAUACCUGCUCACCCUGGAUGCACAGUAUGAUUUCUUGGCUCGGCACCACCGUCAGAUGAUUGCCUGAGCAGAAGAUGCAGAGAAGUGCAACCGUAAGCUCCAUGUGGAUCUCACCACAGCUCAAGCCCGUGUAGCUGCCUUGGAAAGUCGUGAAGUCAUUGCUGUUGAAGCCCUGAAGCAAGCCAAAGUUGAGCACAUCCAGGAGUUGAUGGAGGCCUACUUGGUAACCCAUAACCAACGUAGAGCCCUGCGGAUCCAAGAGCCCGCUUCAUCCAACCCUGUUCAACCCAUCAGAGCUGAAGACCCCCAGAUUCUUGAAGGUCACCCGGUCUCUAUUAGAGGAGAGAUGAAGACUUAGGAACUACCGGAAGGAGCCAUAGUCUUGGAAGGAAUUCCAGUCUUCCCUCAGGCUACGGAUAAGCAAGAGCACCCUGAAUCCUCCCAAGAUCCCCCACCGGAGUUGUUUGAGCCCCUCACCAUGAAGAAGAUUCCAGCACCGUCCCAUGAGAUCAAAGAAGAAGCUACAAGCACCCCGCCAGCACCGCCACCCUCUAAGGAGCUACAAGGGUCAGUCCCGUUCGAAGAAGAGUUCAACCCCGUGUUGCCAUCUCAGUCGCCGCCAGAAGAAGUCAUCAACAUCAGCUCCCUCUUGACCCAUCCAGGAGAUGUCUUAGAUUGAAGUUGUGCGCCAGCCUUGCCAGAAGAGAAGCUGCCAGAUCUGAAGUUAGUUAUGCCCAGUCCUCUGCGUGCAUUGGGUAGUGAAGUUUUUCUUCACUUUGGUAGAGCCCUACAUGUAUGAGAGGUAACUGUGUAGCCGCGUGUUUUGAAAAACUCUAAUUGUGUGGCCCCCUAGGGCAUUUCAAAAUGAAUUUCGCUUGAUGUUUUCUCCUCUUUUUGAGUGCAUAUGUGAUGCUUUAACGUUAGUGCUCAUAAGUUGCAUUUAGCAUAGUCUUCAAUUCAGGAGCCAAGCAAUAGUAGUUAUGCUUAGCCCCCGAAUCUGAGUAGUUCGUGCUUUGGAAAAACUCUAUUCUUCCCUUAUUCAAAACAUUUGAUUUGUUUGUGCUUAUCAUUGCUGAGCUUGUGUGUUUUCUUUCUUUUUAAGAAAGGUUUUCUCUAAAAACAUAGAUCACAAAUUAGAGCUAAUCCUCACCUUAUGCUUCCAUUCUCAUCUUAACCCAUCUUAAGAGAAAAGCACCUUGCCCAAGAAGAUACCGGGAAGCUUACCAUUGAAGCCUGGAAUAAGCUAUAGAAGAAACCAGUCCAGCCGCUCAGUCAAAAGGACCGACCGUGAGAAUCAAAGCACUGCCCCUGAGUCAAAGUAAACAGAAAAAGAGGACAGAAGGAGUUAUUACCAUACAGAGAGGCAAAGAUUCUUGGAACCAGAGACCACAAACAUCAGGGUCGUUGACCCCACCACUCACCCAUGCUCCCCGCACGCGUGCCCUGCCUCCAUGCGCACUACCACCGCCCCAUGCCCUUUUUGCAGCGCACCCACCGCCGCCAUUACCGCCAGCAACACCAUCCCCCCUCCAUCGAACUUGUUACCUUGUGUCACCUGCUCCAUCACCACUACUCCGCAACCAAACACCCCCGCUCGCCUAUAAAACCCCCCCACCAGCUCCCUCAACUCCCAUCUCGCUCAAAGCAAAGCACACAUCUGAUAAAUCCCCUCUGCCAAAUAGCCAGCUGUGGGGGACAAAUAUCCCCCGGGUCCACUGGAAGGAUAAAAGACCUCACGAAAGGCCCGAGGGCCCAAUAAUUCGUAAGGUCAUCCCUUCGUGGACCUAGGGAAGAAUGACCAGUGAAGCAGAUCGACACGAGACCGGAUCGGUGCGAGCCCAGACGGCCCAACAACGUCGAGCAAGUAACCACAGCAGAGACCUGACUUUCCCGCGCUGGAGCCCCGUACAACGGAACCAAGAGAGGAUGAGUCGGCAGAACUAUAGGAAGAUAGACUCAAUCAGUUCACUAUCUCUUAGGUGUGCAUUAUUAUCAUAUCCACAUGUAUUGCCUCAUGGUCGAAUAUAUAAGACCUAGGGGCACCCCUUCAGAACGAUCGAUCUCACUACUCAGCCAUCCACCCUAGCUCUCUACGUUCUAGCGUUAGAGAGCUCCCUUGUAAUCCACCACAUAAAGCAUUCUCGCCAGGACGUAGGGUGUUACGCAUCUCAAAGCGGCCCGAGCCUGUACACCAUUCUCUACUGUUUCUCGUGCACCCUGCAUGAACCAUUGAGCUACAGUCGGUAACACCGUCCUACUCCUAAAAACACCUUGAGGGGCAACCCCGGGUGUGCGGUCGGACCCAAAACACCGACAGCUGGCGCGCCAGGUAGGGGGUGUGUCGCCGAUCUAAGCUAGAUCAAUGGCCGUCACCUUCCACUGCAAGAUCACCCUCCGCCCCGGAUCUAUGUUCCGCUUUGGAACUAUCUCAUCCGUAGCAGAUGAAGAAGGAACUCUACAUCGCAUCGCAGAUCCGCCAAGGAAGAAGUCUCCUCCAACAACCUCCAAAAAUGUCGGAGUAAGGCAGGGAAAAGCGCAACCUCCAGCGCUCCGAAAAAAGAUCGCCUUCAGCAAGCCAGGGGCCAAGGGCCCACUGACCCAGAGAACUCCACUGUCUACUUCCCCGACGAAAGAAUGGACACAAAUCGCAAGGAAGAAAGAAACAAAUAAAACUGGGAGGAAGCAAGUUGUUCUUUCCGUUCCUCCGCCCUCAAAGGAGAACGGAAAGAAGAUCGCCACGACCGCCGCACCAUUCUACCCCGACGUCCUCUUCAUCGGGAGAGUGGAGUCGUCCCCAUCUCCGACGACGAGCCGACCGCGCCCGGAGAAGAACCUCCUCAGCGGGAAUCCCGCCGACGGAGGAACCGACGCUGAAAUAUCCGGCGACACCACGAGGCCGGAGAGCGGGACCCGGAGCAGCCUGUCUCGCGAGACGAGGUCUCAGAGAUAGGAGAAACUCCGGAGGAACGCAUCUUCAGAGAACGAAGGAACUCCCGACCGCAUGAUCGCCGACGAGCUUAGGAACAAGCCGAGCAGGAGGCAAGGCAACAUCGGGAGAAUCCACUCUUCGGGCGCAACCUGAACCCCGACUUUGCCCGAGCCAUGAACACGCCGAGUGAAGUUGGCAGGGUACUAGCUCGGAUAGUUGAUGGACUCCCUCGGACUCCCGACGCCGAGGGCUAUCGACGACUGUUCACCCAAGCUGCCAACCAUCUUCUACCUCUCGCUCACCCGCCGAACGACCUACGACACACCAUCAACAGCCACCGGGACGCGCAAAGCUCCAUCAACGCUUCGAGUGAACGACGACAUGAGAACGAGAUCCGCCGCCGGGAAGAGUACGACAGGGAUCACGAUAUCUCAGCUCAGAGUCAGGCCACCAGAACUGAGUCGGCAACGACCUCGACUGGCGGUACCACCCGGGGACGGUCGAGGAACCACAACAACUACUCCCCUCCCCGGGACAGACAUCAUCCCCGACGACAAGAAGACACGUGUGGAGUGUCUGCACUUACUCCACGCCUUAGAGCCAUUCAAUGGCCCCCUAACUUCAAGGUAUCCAAUGUCAACAAAUAUGAACCUAAGCAGGAUCCAGGAGGCUGGCUGGCCGUCUACACCACCGCUGCUCGAGCUGCCGGGGCGUCCGAGGACGUGAUGACCGCAUACUUACCCAUUGUCCUCGGGCAAGACGCGCUACAAUGGCUGCGACAUCUACCCCGACACCGCAUCGACGACUGGAGCGACUUCAGUCGACGCUUCACUGCCAACUUUCAGUCCCUCUCCGAUAAACCAGCGCAACCAUGGGACCUCAAAUCCAUCAAGCGCCGGGGGACGAAACUCUUCGGUCAUACCUCAAAAGGUUCCAGACCAUGAGAAAUCGUAUCCCCGAGGUCACGGAGGCGGCCGUGAUCGAUGACUUCUACAGAGGAUCCAACGACUCGGCUUUCGUCCGGGCUAUAUUGCAGAAGGCGCCGACUACCUCCGAGCAACUGUUCCAGGAAGCCGACCUCUACAUCACCACCGACGAGCGAGCUCAGGACCUCAUCGGGGGAGCGAAGCCCGCACCGGCAGCACCACGACGCGACACGAACCAGUAACCCGACAAACGCUGGGAGAAGAGGCCUCGCGAAGAAGUGCACGCCGCCGGACCACCUGCCUCUCGUGCCCGGGGAGGGCCUCGCGGAGGCGAACGCACGCUGGACGACAUCCUCGACGCCCAGUGCCCAUACCACAAGGACAUGCACCACACCCUUCGGAACUGCAGAGACUUCAAGCACUCCGUCGGACAUGGCCGGCCCUUCCAACCUCUACCUCCUCCUCCACCGUGGGGAGGACCAGGAGAACCACGACAACCCCAGCAGGAGGAGGAGGGAGGAGGUGGAGCCUUCCCGCGCGUUGACAGAGAGGUCAACGUCAUCUUCGGCGGACACGGGUCGCAGGAGAACAGAAGACAACAAAAGCUCAACGAUCGCCAGAUAUUGGUGGCGACCACCGGUACUCCCACUCCGUAUCGAUGGUCGGAGCACCCGAUCACCUUCACUCGGGCAGAUCAAUGGCUCAACUUCGACCACCUAGGCAAAUACCCGCUCCUCGUCGAUCCGGUGAUCCGAGAGAGCAGGGUGAAGAAGGUAUUAGUGGACGAGGGGAGCAGCAUCAACGUCACCUUCCCCCGGACACUCCAAGGCUUGGGAGUUCACCUCAAAGAGCUCCACGAGUCAGACACUCCUUUCUUCGGCAUCGUGCCGACUAAAGGAGAAUACCCGCUGGGCCACAUCUACAUGCCAGUCACCUUCGGAACUCUGGAGAACUACAGAACCGAGUUCCUAAGAUUCGAAGUGGCAAACUUCGACUGCGGGUACAACGCCAUCAUCGAGAGGCCGGGAUUGGCAAAAUUCAUGGCCAUUCCACAUUACACAUACAUGAUAUUGAAGAUGCCAGGGCCGCAAGGAAUCAUAACUGUGCGCGCCGACUUCCAAGGCGUUGCAGAAUGUUUCCGAGUGGCCAUCCAGGCGGCCCUCACCACCAAACCGUCGACGACUUCUUCGACGCAGGCAAACUCUAAGCCUGAGGAAGACCUUGCAGCACCUGCAAAUGAAGCUCAAGUCGCGACCUCUAUGCGGCCGACUGAAGAAACCAAAAGGAUCAACCUUGGGUUCGCUGAUGAACGCAAGACUGCCAUCAUCAGCUCCAGCCUGGAUGACAAAUAGGAAGGCGCGCUCGUCCAGUUUCUGCAAGAUAACCGAGACAUAUUCGCAUGGCAACCUGCAGAUAUGCCGGGAGUCCCGAGAGAACUGGCCGAGCACAAACUGAAGGUCUAUCCCCAGGCGAGGCCGAUUCGGCAAAAACUACGUCGCUUCACGCCCGACAAGAGAGAGGCCAUUCGCGCUGAGCUGGCCCGCUUGGUCGCGGCUGGGUUUAUUAGAGAGGUGUUACAUCCUGAGUGGUUAGCCAACCCUGUUCUUGUACUCAAAAAGAAUAAAGUGGAUUAGCGCAUGUGCGUCGACUAUACGGAUCUCAACAAACACUGUCCAAAGGAUCCCUUCGGGCUUCCUAGGAUAGAUCAGGUGGUAGAUUCCACCGCUGGAUGUUCUGUGCUAUCUUUCCUGGAUUGCUACUUUGGAUAUCAUCAGAUUAGCUUGGCAAAAGAGGACGAGGAAAAAACAGCGUUCAUCACUCCGUUCGGUGCUUUCUGCUAUACCUCCAUGCCGUUCGGCUUCAAAAACGCUAGAGCGACUUAUCAGAGAGCCAUUCAAACAUGCUUAGCCGAUCACUGGGGCAAGCGUGUGGAAGCCUAUGUAGAUGAUGUGGUAAUCAAAACGGAGAACUCGGAAAAUUUCAUCAAAGACUUACAGCUGGUUUUCAACAGUCUACGGCGAUAUCGAUGGAAGCUUAAUCCCGAAAAAUGUGUCUUUGGGGUACCAGCAGGAAAGCUACUCGGAUUUAUUGUCAGCCACCGGGGAAUUGAAGCUAAUCCGGAUAAGAUCGAAGCUAUCAUGAAAAUGGAGGCACCACGAUCACAAAAGAAAGUUCAGAGACUUACCGGAUGUAUGGCAGCCCUGAGCAGAUUCAUAUCCAGACUGGGAGAAAAAGGCUUGCCAUUUUAUAAGCUACUCAAGAAGGUGGAUAAGUUUCAGUGGACCUCAGAAGCACAGGAAGCCCUAGAUGCACUGAAAACAUUCUUGACGACACCACCAGUGCUGAAGCCGCCACGGCGAGCCAUGUCAACUCAACCAGCUGAAGAUUUGCUGCUGUAUGUCUCUUGCACGACUCACGUGGUAAGCACCGCGUUGGUAGUCGAGCGAGCAGAAGAAGGACAUGCCUACCCAGUGCAACAUCCUGUUUAUUUCAUCAGUGAAGUUCUGGGUCCCUCGAAGAAAAAGUAUCCUCAAGUUCAGAAGCUAUUAUAUGCAGUACUUCUAACUGCCCGCAAGCUACGUCACUACUUUGACGACCACAAAGUCAUAGUAGUCACUGGUUUUCCGAUAGGGGAUAUCCUUCACAACAAGGAAGCCAUUGGCCGAAUAGCCAAGUGGGCCUGCGAACUGGGAUCUCAUGACAUCGAAUUUCGACCUCGCACUACCAUCAAAACUCAAGCAUUGGUUGACUUCGUAUCAGAAUGGACUGAACAACAAGUACCAGAUAACCCAAAAACCACAGAAGUAUGGCGAAUGUAUUUUGAUGGCUCAUUAAAACUGCAGGGAGCAGGCGCGGGGAUUCUCUUUACCGCACCUGGAGGCGAGCACCUCAAAUAUGCCCUCCAGUUGUUAUUUCCAGCCUCCAACAACGCAGCCGAAUAUGAAGCUCUGAUUCGUGGACUGAACAUUGCUAUAUCACUAGGCAUCAAGAGACUGAUGGUAUACGGAGAUUCUCUGGUAGUCAUAAGCCAGAUAAACAAAGAAUGGGACUGUUCGAGCGAUUCAAUGGGAAAGUACUGCACCGCCGUCCGGAAACUAGAAGAUAAAUUCGAAGGUCUGGAAUUUCACCAUGUAGAAAGAGAUCGAAACACGGCAGCUGAUGUAUUCUCCAAGCUAGGAUCCAGUCGAACUCAGGUCCCACCUGGAGUCUUUGUACAAGAAAUACCACAUCCAAGCAUCUCAAUGGACCAGACAGAAGAAUGUAAUACCGUGAACCAACUAGAGUCAGAUUCUGAUGACUGGAGAAGGCCGAUCAUCAGAUAUAUAAAGAAUGAAGAGGAACCAGAUGACAAAAACACAGUCGAGCACAUCGCUAGACAGUCAGCUCACUACACACUCAUUGGGGAGACACUAUACAGAAGGGGUGCAUCGGGCGUCCUCAUGAAAUGCAUUCUCUCAUCUACUGGGAAGCAACUUCUAGAUGAGGUCCAUGCUGGGCAAUGUGGAAUACACGCAGCAUCCAAGAUACUAGUCGGGAAGGUCUUCAGGUCGGGAUUCUAUUGGCCAACAGCGAAAAGUGAUGCAGCCGAGUUAGUUCAGAGGUGCGAAGCUUGCCAGUACUUGUCAAAGCAACAACAUCUACCAGCACAGCAACUGCAGACCAUACCAGUAACUUGGUCGUUCGCAUGCUGGGGACUGGAUAUGAUUGGACCUUUCAAGAAAGCUCAAGGAGGAUACACUCAUGUACUGGUAGCAAUCGACAAAUUCACUAAAUGGAUAGAAUUCAAACCCAUUGCUUCUUUAACCUCAACUAAGGCCGUGGAAUUCGUACAAGACAUAAUAUUCAGAUUCGGAAUACCGAACAGUAUCAUAACUGACCUAGGAUCCAACUUCACAAGUUCAGAGUUCUUCAAUUUCUGCGAACAAAAGAGCAUUCAGAUCAAGUAUGCUUCGGUGGCACACCCAAGAGCCAACGGGCAGGUUGAACGAGCUAACGGGAUGAUAUUAGAGGCACUCAGGAAAAAGGUCUUCGAUAAAAAUGAAAAGUUCGCAGGAAAAUGGAUAAGGGAGUUGCCCUACGUUGUUUGGAGCCUAAGAACUCAACCUAGUCGAGCUCUGCAUGGAAAUACUCCUUUCUUCAUGGUCCAUGGGUCAGAGGCAGUAUUACCCGCUGACCUCAAGUUUGGGGCACCAAGGUUGAUCUUUGAAAGCAUAGCAGAAGCCGAGGCUACUAGGCUAGAGGAUGUUGAUGUACUCGAAGAAGAACGGCUGAACACGGUAAUUCAAUCAGCACGGUACCAGCAAACUCUGAGGCGUUACCAUGAUAAGGCCAUGCGACGUCGAUCCUUUGCAGUGGGAGAUCUUGUCCUCCGCCGAAUUCUAACGGGGGAGGGACGACACAAGUUGUCACCCCUAUGGGAAGGACCAUUUAUAGUAGCAGAAGUCACUCGGCCGGGAUCAUAUCAUCUCACUCAGAUGGACGGCACGGAAAUUGGGAACUCAUGGAAUAUAGAACACCUUAGGAAGUUUUAUCCCUAGCUGUAUUUCAAAAGCUAUCGGGACGACAAUGUACUCUGUAAAAUGGGAAAUAUGUCAUCAAUAAAAAAGGCUUCAAGAAUACUCAGUUUGUUCAUGAUCGACCUACAUUCUUACUUAACUCGGGGUGACCACUAUGCCCUGCUAACGGAGCAAUCGGCUUAAGUCGGCAACGACUUAAGACGGUGCAACAUGCUCGCGCUUACUUAACUCGAGGUGACCACUAUGCCCUGCUAACGGAGCAAUCAGCUUAAGUCGGCAACGACUUAAGACGGUGCAACAUGCUCGCGCUUACUUAACUUAGGGUGACCACUAUGCCCUGCUAACGGAGCAAUUGGCUUAAGUCGGCAACGACUUAAGACGGUGCAACAUGCUCGCGCUUACUUAACUCAGGGUGACCACUAUGCCCGGCUAACAGAGCAAUCAGCUUAAGUCGGCAACGACUUAAGAUGGUGCAACAUGCUCGCUCUUACUUAACUCGGGAUUACUACUAUGCCCUAUUAACAAAAGCAAUCGCUUUAAGUCAACAACGACUUAAGACGGUUCCACAUGCUUACAAUUACUCAUAUAGGGGCGACUUCUAUGUCCUGUGAAGAAGUUUCAAAAUCAUCAUACAACAUUUUAGUUCUGCAAAUUUAGAUACUGCUGAAUUCUAAACCGAAAGGAGAAUAACAGUAGCAUUCAAAUGUCAAGCUGGUGUCCUCUAACAAAAUAUCCGAGCACGAUAACCGCGCGCUCAAAGCAUGCAAUGUUUUUCUAUUUUGCAACAUUCCUCUCAGGAGCAACCGACGAAGAAGGGCGACUUGAGGAAUCAGGAGCAGCGUUCACAUCAGCCCUUAUAUCGUCGGGAACAAUCACACCGGGUCUCCUCAUCAAGAUCCGCCCUGCGCGAAUGGCUUUAUCCAUGGCUCUGUCACGCUGGGCCCUCAGAGUAACGGAAGUCUCUUCAGCAACCUUGACAGCCAUCUGAGCGGUUUCUAGCUCCUAGGAGAGGGACUUUUUGGAAGCACGCAGUUCCUUGAUGACAGCAUCCUUAGCCGAUAUCGACUGCCUGAGACGAAUCACGUCAUCCGAAGACUCCUGCAGCUUACAGCGAUGAUUGUCUAACUCCUCCAUGGUGAAGCGAUGGCUCCUCUCCAAGAUGGUCAAUGAGUUGCUGGAGUCACGAUAUAGCUUGUCAAGAUUGUCACGAGAAGCAACAAGGGCACGUUUUUCUUCCUGCAAACAAGAAUUAACUUCUUCAAACAUCGAGCAAGCAAUAAGAACAUGGCAAAACAAAGCUCGGGUUUUCAGGUCACCUUUUCAGAAUCAAGCUGAGCGCGGAGAGUAGAGUUCAACACGUUGGCAUCGUUCAGAGCAGCAGAAACUUGGGCCAGCUCAGUCUGACUUUGAGAAUACUUUUCUUCAAAAUCAGAGCACCGCCGGACCAAUUCAGCCUGAUUUUGAGAAUGUUUCUCUUCAAGAACAGAAAACUGCCGAGCCAUAUCUAGCGAGAAACGGUCAAGCAAAAAGUUUAGCUUGAGAAGCAGUUUUAUAAGAUAGACGAAAGGAAGCAGAAAAGCACUAACCAGCAUUCAUCGCCUCUAAGUCAGAGACACGCUGUUGAAGCAGCACCAGAUUCCAACGUGCCAGAGACGAAGCUCUUUCUAGAACAGAAGCACCUUGCAACUUUAGCUGACUAGCCAUCCCGUCCACGAAUGCCUGAUAUUGAGAGCAGAUGAGUGUAAUGACAACAGUUCAUCUGGUGUAAAAGUCAGACUAGAAUAGAUCAUAGUACCUGGAGGUUGGAGAAGAAUGAGGGGACUCCCAAAUCGUGAGAAAUCAAUUGAUAGCUUGGCGUAGGGUCUCCACCCGGAGCAACUUGCAAUGAACCAGCAGGGACCAACUCAGUGUCAUCAGCAAAGCCCAAAACUUUGUCGUCAGGAACGCUAGCCUCUAAAGCGACUCCUUGACCAAAAGCUUGGGCUAACACCAUGCAACCAGAGUGUGGAGGAGAUCCUGCGUGAACAUCCAUGGAAGUACAAGAGGGAGACCCCGCUCGGACACCCUCGGGGGCUGGGUCAUAGUUUGCACUACCCACUUGAGCCGGAUCGUCUCCGGCAAUACCCUCGGGGGCUGGGUCGCGGCUUACGCUUCCCACCUGAGCCGAAUAAUCCCCGGCAACACCCUCGGGGGCUGGGUAAGUGUCAACACCAUCCUUGAGGGCCAAGUUCUCUGCGGCGGUCACCUCUAAGGCUGAAGGUCCCUCAGUUACUUCCAUGGGAGCAAGACGAUCCAAGUCAGUUUCCUGACCCUCAAGACCGCGCUCCAAGGUCGAUGAGGCGCGGGAUGCUGCCCGGGAUGACCCCAACCCGGCGUCGAACACAUCAGCACAAACAUCCAUCGCAUCACCGUCCGCCGGCUUUGAUAACAGAUCCUCUGGAACCAUAUCUUCAAGAGUCUGAUCAAAGUUCGCAAGAGACAAUUCUUGUAGACCAAUGGUGGCCUCUCUAUAACCUAUCCGGGGCAGUAGUGUCCGUCUCAUGAUCUAAUAGAGAUACUUGGCUGCUGGAGUGAAAUAUGCUGGAGAGCGCCGCGACCCAUCUGUGAAAGGCGGUCGGAACAGAGCCGCGACGUGAGCUGUGGCUGGAGCGACCCUGCCGUGAGGGCAUCGAGGAGGAUCAGAGGUACCAUAGCACAAGUUGUGAAGGCGAGUCGACGACUCGGGAAAUCCAAACAACUGACGGAUCUGGCUGGCAUGAAUAGUGAAAGGGAAAUAGGGUUAACAUUUUCCCAGUAUUAAUUUUGGUGGUUGAAUGCCCAACACAAUUAUUGAAUUAACUAGUUUGCUCUAGAUUAUAUACUCUACAGGUGCAUAAAGGUUCAACACAAACCAAUAUAAGAUUGAAGAAAGGGUUCAAAAAGAAAGGAGCAAAGGAACCGAGUGUGCCCUGGCCUAGCGCACCGGACUAUCCGGUGUGCCACCGGACAGUGUCCGGUGCACCAAGACAGUACAGAGUCCAACAAGCCACUCUCGGGUUUUAGCAGGCACACUCCGCUAAAAAUCACCGGACUGUCCGGUGUGCCAGCGGAGCAACGGCUACUUCACGCAACGAUCGACUGCAAAAGUACCUGACGCGAGGAACAGUGCGCGGCAGAGUCAGAGCGCAGUGUUAGAGGCGCACUUGACAGUGAACAGUACCUAUCCGGUGCGGCACCGGACUGUCCGGUGCCCCAUGAGGACAAAGCCUCCAAUGGUCGACCUGCUCCUAACCCUAACAGUUGGGUGACGUGGCCGGUGCGCCCAUCGCCAGCAGCCUUCCUCAACGGCUACAAGAUGGUUGGUGGCUAUAAAUACCACCCCAACCGGCCAUUUCAAGGUGUGGGAGCUCAAGCAAUAUUCCAAGUCAUAUAGUUGACAUAUCCAAGCUGAUGAGGACAUCAUUUCUAUACAUACAAUGAAUGGACCGAUAACACGAUCUCGUGCACGACAGCUAAAUCUCCAGGUACGUUCUACCCUAGUCAAUUGUGUUUCAGAGCUUACGCUUGGGGCCAUGGAUGUUUUGAUGAUUAGGUACCUUGGAGAGGACUAGCAAGGACUUGGGAAAGGCCAAGGUGUUGAGGAGGAGCAGCAAGGGCCGCCACAAUAGGAAGGAGAUCAAGUCCGACUCGGCUGCGACUCCAUCUCGGGUUCCAGCACUAGUCUGCACUAAAAUGGACGCCUAGGAUGCAUCCGGACUCCGAUUGCGACGAACUUGAUAUGGUUGGAAAGAUAAGGAGAUUAUCUAACCAACCCAACUGGUUCCACCUUAAAAUUCGUCCGGAGUCAAUAGGAAUCAUCGAAACAAUUCAGCGUUCAGAUUCUGUUUUGUUGCUGCGACACCGUCUAUUGUGCCGUUGGGCCGUGAAUCACGUCGAAGCCCAUUAGGGGCGAGUCCAGGGGUCACACACGCCCUAAUACUCUAUUUAUUCAGCAGCCGCCGCCAUAUUAGGUUUUGAGUUUUCCUUAGAUCAAUUCUGUCAUCGAACAGUAUCGUCGUCAUCGGUUUGUGAGACCCCAUCCCGUAAUCAAUACAAUUUUGGUUGCGUUUCUUUCCUGUUCUUGCUUGUGUUCUUGAUUGCGCUUGCAGGGAUAAGCCUUCGUGGCAAGGUCAUUCGUGUGUCAUGGGUGAUAACCAACGGAGCCGUGGUGUAGUGAUUGCGAGGAACCGUUCGCUCGGAGCCUUGGAUCAUCAACGUCGAGAUCUCCACUCAAUCAAGUUAUCUUAUCUCACGGAAGAUCGGGCCGCGUCUUCUAUCACAAGCCCUCCCAACCACCUCCAUUCAUUGAUCUAUCUCAUACACAAGAUUUUGGCCACCACAAGCAAUCCAAGUGCCACAAAAAAGAGAUCAAGCAAAAGAGAGCUACUCGUGUGAGUUUAGCAAUAGUGCCUUGUGAGAUUCAUUGAGAGAAAGUGUGUGCUACACCUUGUGAUCAUUUGAGCAUGGAGCUUUGACUCCCAUUCAUUGUAAAGCUAGCAAAAGCCCCUUAUCUUUGUGGUUGACCUUGCGGAGACUUUGGUCUUUUGUUGACCUCUUGCUUCAUUCUCCAUAAACUUAUUAUUUGUAUUGAUUUGUCAAUUCCACAUUCUUUGAAAGCAACACUCUUUGCAAGCAAAAGACUUGGUUUUACACUCCAACAAUUGUGCAUCUUGUUCUAACCACUAAUCAAGGGAUCAAGUCUGGGUUUAAAGUUAUAAUUUUCAGGUUUCGCCUAUCCACCCCCCUCUAGGCGACUUUCAAAUAGUGAUAUCCUCUCGCUCAAAACGGAACCUCAUCCACUGGUGAUCGAGGUCGAUCCAUACUGAAGCAUAAAACACUCGGACCCACUCCUCAACAUAUCUGCCGCUGGUAGUCAGUCGAGUGAGAAGUCCAGGCAGAUAGGAGAGGUGCACCUCGGAAUCCGCAUCGACUGCUAGCAGAAAAGUAGGGAGAUCCAUUAGCCGGUGCGCUCACAGAGCUAUCUGAGCUGACAACUGAGCUUGAAAGAAUGACUCCUGAAUUCUGGUGCUGAACAAAUCUACCGAUGCAGGGUCUCUCUGAGCAGGUAGUCAAGACUCCAUGAGUACGUGUCUGAACCGAUGUACCCGAGCCGUAGUAGCACGUUGUAGAUCGAUCAGACGAGGAUCGGUAGCCAAUGGUCGCACCUCGAUCUCGUCUCGCUCCCGGAAGCGGGCAGGUGGAAUGGGUGGAGCGGAAAUGGGAGCGGGAGGAGGAGCAGUGGAAGCGGGAGUGGUGGAGGUGGUAGGGAUUGAAAGGGAAAUGUGCCUUUGGGCCAUUUCUAAGUAUUUUGGUGAUUAAGCGUCAACACAAGUGCUUAAAUGUGAAUCUAUGCCCAUGGAUGAACAAAGUGCACAUCACAAGUAAAGGUAUGUUUCUAAGCCUUAGUACAUUGGUUUUGUGUACUAAUAUAUUUAUCUAAGUGUUAUAAACAGAGAGAAGAAGAAAAGGAGAUUGUUGGCUGUGUUCAGCCAACAGGCUGUUUCGGUCUGGGGCACCGGACUGUCCGGUGGUGCACCGGACAGUGUCCGGUGCGCUAGGCUGCCUCGGCCGAAGAGGCCGCUCUCGGGAAAUUGCUGACGGCGUACGGCUAAAAUUCACCGGACUGUCCGGUGUGCACCGGACUGUCCGGUGAGCCAACGGUCGGCCGAGCCAACGGUCGGCCGCGCGAUCUGCGCGCGACACGUGGUCUGGCCAACGGUCGGAAGGAGGCACCGGACUGUCCGGUGUGCACCGGACUGUCCGGUGCGCCAGAUCUGCAACGGUCGGCAACGGUCGGCUGCGCUGUUUAAGGAAAUAAAUCGGGCACCGGACAGUGUCCGGUGUGCACCGGACUGUCCGGUGCGCCCGAUGACAGAAGGCAAGGAUGGCCUUCCAGAUUUGUUCUCAACGGCUCCUAGCUGUCUUGGGGCUAUAAAAGGGACCCCUAGGCGCAUGGAGGAGGACACCAAGCAUUCCUUGAGCACUCUUGAUCACUCACACAUCAAUCUUGCACACUUGUUCGAUAUUCUAGUGAUUUGAGCUCCGUUCUAGUGUGCUAGUCUCUUGAGCUCAAGUCUGGGUCUUGUGUGUGCGUAUUCGCUGUGAUCUUUGUGUUGUGUGUGAGUUGCUAAUCCCUCCCUUGCUCCGUGAUUCUCUGUGAACAUCUUUUGUAAGGGCGAGAGGCUCCAAGUUGUGGAGAUUCCUCGCAAACGGGAUUGAGAAAAGAAAAGCAAGAACACCGUGGUAUUCAAGUUGAUCAUUGGAUCACUUGAGAGGAGUUGAGUGCAACUCUCGUCCAUUGGGACGCCACAACGUGGAGUAGGCAAGUUUUUGUACUUGGCCGAACCACGGGAUAACCACCGUGUCAUCUCUGUGAUUGAUUUCUUGUGGUUAUUGUGUUUUGACUCCUCUCUAGCCACUUGGCCAUACUUGUGCUAACACUUAACAAGUUUUUGUGGCUUAAGUUUUGAAGUUUUACAGGAUCACCUAUUCACCCCCCCCCCUCUAGGUGCUCUCAAUUGGUAUCAGAGCCGUUCUCUUCAAGAAAGGGACUAACCGCCCGAAGAAAUGGAUCCUAAGGGGAAGGGAAUCGUGAUCAACGACAAGGAAAAGGAGUCCUUCGUCAACGAGCCAAAAGAUGAUAAAUCCAACGACUCUGGCUCGGGUCACAGACGUAAAGAUGGGAAGAAGAAGAAGACAAGGCGCAUCAAGGAGAUCGUCUACUACGACAGUGACGAAUCCUCUUCUUCCCAAAAGGACGAUGACAACGACUACAGGAAGACGGUCAAUUCAAACUUUUCAUUUGAUUAUUCUCGUAUUCCACAUAGUUCGAAUUCGCAUUUGCUUUCCAUUCCUCUCGGCAAACCUCCACACUUUGAUGGGGAGGACUACGGAUUUUGGAGUCACAAAAUGCGUAGUCAUUUAUUCUCUCUCCAUCCAAGCAUAUGGGAGAUUGUAGAGAAUGGAAUGAAAUUUGAUAGCUCGGAUAGCCCUAUGUUUAUUAAUGAACAAAUUCAUAAAAAUGCACAAGCUACUACUGUGUUGCUAGCCUCUUUGUGCAGGGACGAGUACAAUAAGGUGAGCGGCUUGGACAAUGCCAAGCAGAUAUGGGACACCCUCAAGAUUUCUCACGAGGGGAACGACAUCACCAUGCUCACUAAAAUGGAGUUGGUGGAGGGCGAGCUUGGAAGGUUUGCAAUGAUAAGGGGCGAGGAGCCAACCCAAACAUACAACCGGCUCAAGACCCUUAUCAACAAAAUAAGGAGCUACGGAAGCACGCGAUGGACGGACCAUGACGUCGUCCGCCUAAUGCUAAGGUCAUUUACCGUUCUUGAUCCUCAUCUCGUGAACAAUAUUCGUGAGAAUCCCAGGUACACGAAGAUGACGCCCGAGGAGGUACUCGGAAAAUUCGUAAGCGGGCGGAUGAUGAUCAAGGAGGCAAGAUACGUGGACGACGCCUUGAAUGGACCGAUCAACGAGCCUCAACCUCUUGCUCUCAAGGCAACAAGAAGCAAGGAGGCGCUACCUAGCAGGGUGGCACAAAUUGAGGCGGCCGGACUUAAUGAUGAAGAGAUGGCUCUCAUCAUCAAACGCUUCAAGACGGUGCUAAAAGGUCACAAGGGGCAGCCAAGCAAGACCAAGACAAAAGGGAAACGCUCAUGCUUCAAGUGCGGUAAGAUUGGUCAUUUUAUCGCUAACUGCCCCGAUAACGAUAGUGACCAGGAACAGGGGAACAAGAGGGAAAAGAAGAAGAAUUACAAGAAGGCCAAGGGCGAGGCACAUAUCGGAAAGGAGUGGGAUUCGGAUUGCUCCUCCGACUCCGACAAUGAAGGACUCGCCGCCACCGCCUUCAACAAGUCAUCCCUCUUCCCCAACGAGCGUCACACAUGCCUUAUGGCAAGGGAGAAGAAGGUGAGUACUCGAAACUCCACUUAUGCUUCUUCUAGUGAUAAUGAGUCUAGUGAUGAUGAUGACAUAGACUAUUCAUGCUUAUUCAAGGGCUUAGAUAGAUCUAAGAUAGACAAAAUCAAUGAAUUGAUUGAUGCCCUGAAUGAUAAGAAUGUGCUUUUAGAAAAGCAAGAGGAUUUGUUAUAUGAAGAACAUGACAAGUUUGUAGAAGCACAAAAAUCACUUGCAUUAGAGAUUAGGAGAAAUGAAAUGCUUUCUUGUGAGUUGUCUACAUGUCAUGAUUCAAUUGCUAGUUUGAAGAGCAUAAAUGAUGAUUUAAAUGCUAAACUAGAAAAAUCUAGUAAAUCAACAUCUUGUGUAGAACAUGUUGAGAUUUGCACUAGGUGUAAAGAUUUCGAUGUUGAUGCCUGUAGUGAUCACUUGGUUUCAAUUUCUAAAUUAAAUGAUGAAGUGGCUAGUCUUAAUACACAACUUAAGGCUAGCAAAAAUGAUUUCGAUAAACUAAAAUUUGCAAGGGAUGCCUACACCAUUGGUAGACACCCCUCAAUUAAGGAUGGACUUGGCUUCAAAAGGGAAGCCAAGAACUUAACAAGCCAUAAGGCUUCCAUUACCGUUAAGGAGAAAGGGAAGGCCCCUAUGGCUACUAGUGCUAAAAAGAACCAUGCCUUUUUGUAUCAUGAUAGGAAAAAUUCUAGAAAUGUUUUUAGAAGUUAUGAUGCUUUUGAUUCACAUGCUUAUGAUUCUUAUGCCAUGACUGCUUCUAGUUCUUCCUAUAUGCAUGGUAGAGAUAUGACUAGGAGAAAUGCUAUUCAUCAUGUGCCUAGAAAGAAUACUAUUCAUGCUCCUAGGAAAGUAGUAAAUGAACCUUCUACAAUUUAUUGUGCUUUAAAUGCUUCCUUUGCUAUUUGUAGAAAGGAUAGGAAGAUAGUUGCUAGGAAGUUAGGGGCAAAAUGCAAGGGAGACAAAACUUGCAUUUGGGUCCCUAAGGAAAUUUGCACUAACCUUGUAGGACCCAACAAGAGUUGGGUACCUAAGUCCCAAGCCUAAAUUUGCCUUGCAGGUUUAUGCAUCCGGGGGAUCAAGCUGGAUUAUCGACAGCGGAUGCACAAACCAUAUGACGGGGGAGAAGAAGAUGUUCACUUCCUACGUCAAGAAUAAGGAUUCCCAGGAUUCAAUUAUAUUCGGUGAUGGGAAUCAAGGCAAGGUAAAAGGGUUAGGUAAAAUUGCAAUUUCUAAUGAGCAUUCUAUCUCUAAUGUAUUUUUAGUAGAGAGUCUUGGAUAUAAUUUGCUAUCUGUUAGUCAAUUAUGUCAUAUGGGAUAUAACUGUCUAUUUACAAAUGUAGAUGUGUCUGUCUUUAGAAGAAGCGAUGGUUCAUUAGCUUUUAAGGGUGUAUUAGACGACAAACUUUAUUUAGUUGAUUUUGCAAAAGAAGAGGCCGGUCUAGAUGCAUGCUUAAUAGCUAAGACUAGCAUGGGCUGGCUGUGGCAUCGCCGCUUAGCACAUGUGGGGAUGAAGAACCUUCACAAGCUUCUAAAGGGAGAACACGUGAUAGGUUUGACUAACGUGCAUUUCGAAAAAGAUAGACCUUGUGCAGCUUGUCAAGCAGGUAAACAAGUGGGAGGAGCGCAUCACAGCAAGAAUGUGAUGACCACUUCAAGACCCCUGGAGCUGCUACAUAUGGACCUCUUCGGACCUGUCGCCUAUCUGAGCAUAGGAGGGAGUAAGUAUGGUUUAGUUAUUGUUGAUGACUUUUCCCGCUUCACUUGGGUAUUCUUUUUGCAGGAUAAGUCUGAAACCCAAGGGACCCUCAAGCGCUUCCUCAGGAGAGCUCAAAAUGAGUUUGAGCUCAAGGUGAAGAAGAUAAGGAGCGACAAUGGGUCCGAAUUCAAGAACCUUCAAGUGGAGGAAUUUCUUGAGGAGGAAGGGAUCAAGCACGAGUUCUCCGCUCCCUACACACCACAGCAAAAUGGUGUGGUAGAGAGGAAGAACAGGACACUAAUCGAUAUGGCGAGGACAAUGCUUGGAGAAUUCAAGACCCCCGAGUGUUUUUGGUCGGAAGCCGUGAACACGGCUUGCCACGCCAUCAACAGGGUCUACCUUCAUCGCCUUCUCAAGAAGACUUCGUAUGAGCUACUAACCGGUAACAAACCCAAUGUAUCUUACUUUAGUGUUUUUGGGAGCAAGUGCUACAUUCUAGUGAAGAAAGGUAGAAAUUCUAAGUUUGCUCCCAAAGCUGUAGAAGGGUUUUUAUUAGGUUAUGACUCAAAUACAAAGUCGUAUAGAGUCUUCAACAAAUCAUCGGGUUUGGUUGAAGUCUCUAGCGACGUUGUAUUUGAUGAGACUAAUGGCUCUCCAAGAGAGCAAGUUGUUGAUUGUGAUGAUGUAGAUGAAGAAGAUGUUCCGACGGCCGCUAUACGAACCAUGGCGAUUGGAGAAAUACGGCCACAGGAACAAGAUGAACGAGAUCAACCUUCUUCCUCGACUAUGGUGCAUCCCCCAACCGAAGAUGACGAACAGGUACCUCAAGUGGAGGCGCUUGAUCAAGGGGGAGCACAAGAUGAUCAAGUGAUGGAGGAAGAAGCGCAACCGGCACCUCCAACCCAAGUUCGAGCGAUGAUUCAAAGGGAUCAUCCCGUCGAUCAAAUUCUGGGUGACAUUAGCAAGGGAGUAACUACUCGAUCUCGAUUAGCUAACUUUUGUGAGCAUUACUCUUUUGUCUCUUCUAUUGAGCCUUUCAGGGUAGAGGAGGCCUUGCUAGAUCCGGAUUGGGUAUUGGCCAUGCAGGAGGAGCUCAACAACUUCAAGCGCAAUGAAGUUUGGACACUGGUGCCUCGUCUGAAGCAAAAUGUUGUGGGAACCAAGUGGGUGUUCCGCAACAAACAGGACGAGCACGGGGUGGUGACAAGGAACAAGGCUCGACUUGUGGCAAAAGGUUAUGCCCAAGUCGCAGGUUUGGACUUUGAGGAGACUUUUGCUCCUGUGGCUAGGCUAGAGUCAAUUCGUAUCUUGCUAGCAUAUGCCGCUCACCAUUCUUUCAGGUUGUACCAAAUGGAUGUGAAGAGCGCUUUCCUCAACGGGCCAAUCAAGGAGGAGGUGUACGUGGAGCAACCCCCUGGCUUCGAGGAUGAACGGUACCCCGACCACGUGUGUAAGCUCUCUAAGGCGCUCUAUGGACUUAAGCAAGCCCCAAGAGCAUGGUAUGAAUGCCUUAGAGAUUUCUUAAUUGCUAAUGCUUUCAAGGUUGGGAAAGCCGAUCCAACUCUUUUUACUAAGACUUGUAAUGGUGAUUUGUUUGUGUGCCAAAUUUAUGUCGACGACAUAAUAUUUGGUUCUACUAACCAAAAGUCUUGUGAAGAGUUUAGCAGGGUGAUGACGCAGAAAUUCGAGAUGUCGAUGAUGGGCGAGUUGAACUACUUCCUUGGGUUCCAAGUGAAGCAACUCAAGGACAGCACUUUCAUCUCCCAAACGAAGUACACGCAAGACUUGCUAAAGAGGUUUGGGAUGAAGGACGCCAAGCCCGCAAAGACGCCGAUGGGAACCGAUGGACACACAGACCUCAACAAAGGAGGUAAGUCCGUUGAUCAAAAAGCAUACCGGUCAAUGAUAGGGUCUUUACUUUAUUUAUGUGCUAGUAGACCGGAUAUUAUGCUUAGCGUAUGCAUGUGUGCUAGAUUUCAAUCCGAUCCUAAGGAAUGUCACUUAGUGGCGGUGAAGCGAAUUCUUAGAUAUUUAGUUGCUACGCCUUGCUUCGGGCUCUGGUAUCCAAAGGGGUCUACCUUUGACUUAGUUGGAUACUCAGACUCCGACUAUGCUGGAUGUAAGGUCGAUAGGAAGAGCACAUCGGGGACGUGCCAAUUCUUAGGAAGGUCCCUGGUGUCAUGGAACUCUAAGAAACAAACCUCCGUUGCCCUAUCCACCGCUGAGGCCGAGUACGUUGCCGCAGGUCAGUGUUGCGCGCAACUACUUUGGAUGAGGCAAACCCUCCGGGACUUUGGCUACAAUCUGAGCAAAGUCCCACUCCUAUGUGAUAAUGAGAGUGCUAUCCGCAUGGCGGAGAAUCCUGUUGAGCACAGCCGCACAAAGCACAUAGACAUCCGGCAUCACUUUUUGAGAGACCACCAGCAAAAGGGAGAUAUCGAAGUGUUUCAUGUUAGCACCGAGAACCAGCUAGCCGAUAUCUUCACUAAGCCUCUAGAUGAGAAGACCUUUUGCAGGUUGCGUAGUGAGCUAAAUGUCUUAGAUUCGCGGAACUUGGAUUGAACUAUAGCAUACAUGUGUUUAUGCCUUUGAUCAUGUUCUUUCUGCAUUUUGUUGCUUAUUGUGGUGCUCAAGUUGUACAAACACUCCCUGGACCUCACAAGUCCGUUGCAAAGUGAUGCAUAGUUUGAGGGGGAGAUGUGUUACAACUUGACCCUUUGAGACUAACCGUAUGCUUGAGUUUGCUUGUUUUAGUCUCAAAGGAGAAUUGAAAGGGAAAGGUGAACUUGGACCAUGCAAGACUUCCACUGCACUCCGAUGAGAGGGUAACUUAUUCCAAGUUCAUCUCUAUGAUUUUAUUGCCUUUGUACUCUUAAUUGAAGAUUUUGGUGAGGCAAUGGGGUUAAAGGGCCAAGAUUGAUCCCGUUUUGGUGCUUGAUGCCAAAGGGGGAGAAAAUAAAGGCCAAAGCAAUAAAUGGAUCAGCUACCACUUGAGAGAUUUUGAAAAUAGUAAAAUAGAGCUUUUUGUUUGUUCAAAACUCUUGCAUUGUCUCUUUCGUCAAAAGUUGGCUUCUAGUGGGGAGAAGUAUUGAUUAUGGGAAAUAGGGGGGAGUUUUUGAAAUCUUUGAUCAAUCUCUUUUGGAAUGACUCUCCCUAUGCUUCAACAUGUGUGUUUGACUUAGAGAUAGAGAUUUGAGUUUGAUUUGCAAAAACAAACCAAGUGGUGGCAAAGGAUGAUCCAUAUAUGCCAAAAAUGAAUCAAAAUAGAUUUGAGUUCUAUUUCAAGUGAUUUUGCACUUGUUCUAGUUGCUUUAUGUUGUGUUGGCAUAAAUCACCAAAAAGGGGGAGAUUGAAAGGGAAAUGUGCCUUUGGGCCAUUUCUAAGUAUUUUGGUGAUUAAGCGUCAACACAAGUGCUUAAAUGUGAAUCUAUGCCCAUGGAUGAACAAAGUGCACAUCACAAGUAAAGGUAUGUUUCUAAGCCUUAGUACAUUGGUUUUGUGUACUAAUAUAUUUAUCUAAGUGUUAGAAACAGAGAGAAGAAGAAAAGGAGAUUGUUGGCUGUGUUCAGCCAACAGGCUGUUUCGGUCUGGGGCACCGGACUGUCCGGUGGUGCACCGGACAGUGUCCGGUGCGCCAGGCUGCCUCGGCCGAAGAGGCCGCUCUCGGGAAAUUGCUGACGGCGUACGGCUAAAAUUCACCGGACUGUCCGGUGUGCACCGGACUGUCCGGUGAGCCAACGGUCGGCCGAGCCAACGGUCGGCCGCGCGAUCUGCGCGCGACACGUGGUCUGGCCAACGGUCGGAAGGAGGCACCGGACUGUCCGGUGUGCACCGGACUGUCCGGUGCGCCAGAUCUGCAACGGUCGGCAACGGUCGGCUGCGCUGUUUAAGGAAAUAAAUCGGGCACCGGACAGUGUCCGGUGUGCACCGGACUGUCCGGUGCGCCCGAUGACAGAAGGCAAGGAUGGCCUUCCAGAUUUGUUCUCAACGGCUCCUAGCUGUCUUGGGGCUAUAAAAGGGACCCCUAGGCGCAUGGAGGAGGACACCAAGCAUUCCUUGAGCACUCUUGAUCACUCACACAUCAAUCUUGCACACUUGUUCGAUAUUCUAGUGAUUUGAGCUCCGUUCUAGUGUGCUAGUCUCUUGAGCUCAAGUCUGGGUCUUGUGUGUGCGUAUUCGCUGUGAUCUUUGUGUUGUGUGUGAGUUGCUAAUCCCUCCCUUGCUCCGUGAUUCUCUGUGAACAUCUUUUGUAAGGGCGAGAGGCUCCAAGUUGUGGAGAUUCCUCGCAAACGGGAUUGAGAAAAGAAAAGCAAGAACACCGUGGUAUUCAAGUUGAUCAUUGGAUCACUUGAGAGGAGUUGAGUGCAACUCUCGUCCAUUGGGACGCCACAACGUGGAGUAGGCAAGUUUUUGUACUUGGCCGAACCACGGGAUAACCACCGUGUCAUCUCUAUGAUUGAUUUCUUGUGGUUAUUGUGUUUUGACUCCUCUCUAGCCACUUGGCCAUACUUGUGCUAACACUUAACAAGUUUUUGUGGCUUAAGUUUUGAAGUUUUACAGGAUCACCUAUUCACCCCCCCCCUCUAGGUGCUCUCAGGGAUGGCUGAAGUGGUAGAUGGAUCUAUGGAGCGACUAGAGCGGGCGAAGUGGGAGGUGGAGUGGUAGCAGUGGCGGGUGUAGAUGGAGCGGAGGAGCGAGGUCGAGACGCGAGACGACGGACCCGGUAGGCAAUCUGAUCUGAUGAUAUCUGUAGUUGUCCACCUCUCUCUGCCUGCUCUGUUGUUGCUGCCGCUCCAAGAGCUUCUCGGGCUGCUCUAUCCAAACACCGCUUCUUGUGGCCUUCCUGCUGCUAUAAGUACAUGGUCUUCCCUUUGACCUGCCUAAAGGGGCGAGGAGGAUCCUCGUCGUCUCCUCCCCCUGGCGCUGACACAUUCUUUGUGCGCACCAUCCUGACCAGAGUGCUACAAAGAAGAGUGAAAGACUAAGCACAAGUAGAUAGCAGCUGAGGAGAUCAUAGUCGAAGUAAUAAUUACCUGGAAACCUCACGAGAGAGAGAGAAUCCAGGCAGGAUAGGAGAGAGGCACACCGGCACGUGAGGUCACUAAAAUGACAGAAGAGGUGAGCACAUAUUAGUCACAUAGUCAUAAGUAUAUGAAAUGUGAAUAAAUACAUACAUAGAGAAUUAUGACACAGAAACUGAGUGAUUUGGCGAUAUAGAGGUCAAACGACGCGAAAAACGACGUUUGAGUGAGGAAUAGUGCCAUAGGAGGUUUGAAAUUUGAAUUGAGGCAUGAAAUUACUUGGAAUUGAGCCGAUACUUCACGAGUAGGUUUAUAUGGGUAAAUAUGAGUGAAGUGUGUGCUUGGUUUGAAUUUAGGCGAAGGAAGUGAAUUUGUGGCACUCAGCUCGGAAUCGAUCGCUAUAAAUGUGGAUUUGGAAAACUGGUGUUUGGGAUAUCGGAUUGGCGUGAAAUUUGGCGAAUAUGUUACUUGAGGUGUCAUGAAGGUGCUGGAAAAAACUGAGGUCGAUUUGAGCAAAUUUGACUGGUUUGGGCAUUUCACCGAGCAGUUGGUGUGCGGGGUAUUGGUAUUGAGGUGAAAUGCUUAUUCUAGGGUUUAAAACCUCCCAACGGGAGAGAGGAACCUGCAUGGGGAUACAAAAAGACACUAUGGCACACAUCCAUGCACUAUGCUUCACAAAUUUGGACGAGAAUGAGAUUGUGAUUCAAAAGGUGGGAGGUGGAACCCUUAGCAGCUCAGAGAAUAGACAGAGAAAAAAAGGGAGAAGCAAGAACAUCUCACCAGAGAGGAGGAGGUGAGCAGGAGUACCACGCCGGAGCAGAGCACCGACGAUCAUCGGCGGCGAGGGAAGGAUCGCCGAGAGAGCAGAGAGGGCGAGAGAACAGAGAGCAGAGGGAGAAAAGAAUGCCUGGCCUCGGGUGAGGGAAGAAUUUUUUAAAAACGUUUCAUGGGCGCACCGGACAGCGCACAAUAGUUGUCUGGUCAUCUUGUGAACCACCGGACAACGCACAACAGAAAGGAGAUCUGCACGCGCCCAGCCGGUGCACCGGACUGUCCGGUGAGCCCAGACAGAGGAGAUUUUUGAAUUUUUUCAAAUUUUCUAUCUAAUUUUGAACCAAACCAAAUCCCAACUUAUAAGCACACAAAAGAACACCUGUUGGGAUAGGUAUUGGUACCCUCAUAUAUUUUCUCAAAAUUUUCAAAAUAUUUUGCCAUAGGCUAGAUAAUUUUUAGAGAAAAUAGCCAAAUGGUGAGAUUUGCAUUGCUGCUUUGCACUAGGGGUUUUAUUGAUGUUUUGAGUGUUGAAUACUCCCCCUAUGUGCAGUGCCUCAUGCAUAUCUCAAGAACCAACAAUUGCAUAGUAAAUAAGAAUUCAAGUACUAAAAAGCUUAAAAGUAAGACUUGACAAGUUUGAGCCCGAGAUAAACUUUUUCACUCGCUUUGUUAGCGGUUAUCUUAACUAGGUUAGACAAGCCCUAGAUGCAAUAUAAGAAAUUUAAAUAUGCAAUGCAGGCUUGACAACACCAUUUUGAGAUUUUAAAUGAAAUUUCUGAGAUCAAGGAUGUUUAACUCAUUCCUCAACGUGCAAAAGCGGGCUUUAUCUAGUGGCUUUGUGAAAAUGUCUGCUAAUUGAUCUUUCGAUCUCACUCCUUCUAAAAUAAUGUCUCCUUUAGCAACAUGAUCUCUAAGGAAGUGAUGACAGAUAUCAAUGUGCUUGGUGUGAGAGUGUUGUACAGGAUUAUUAGCAAUUUUAACAGCACUCUCAUUAUCACACAACAAAGGUACAUUUUCUAGAACUACGCCAUAGUCUAGAAGAGUUUGUUUCAUAUAUAAAAUCUGUAUGCAACAAGCACCCGCGGCAAUGUAUUCCGCUUCGACGGUUGAUAAGGCAACACUAUUUUGCUUCUUUGAUGCCCAUGACACUGGUGAUCUCCCAAGCAAUUGGCACGCCCCGGAAGUACUUUUUCUAUCAAUUUUGCAACCGACAUAAUCCGAAUCGGAAUAGCCAAUUAAAUCAAAAGUAGCUCCUUUGGGAUACCAAAGGCCAACGCUUGGGGUGUGCUUAAGAUACCUAAGAAUUCUUUUAACAGCACGAAGAUGAGCUUUCUUAGGAUUUGAUUGAAAUCUAGCACACAUACAGACACUAAACAUGAUAUCGGGCCUAGAUGCGGUAAGAUACAAUAAACUACCAAUCAUAGAACGGUAGAUAGUUUGAUCAACCGGGUUACCUCCCUCAUCUAGGUCGAGAUGUCCAUUUGUUGGCAUGGGUGUCUUAAUUGGUUUGCACUUCUUCAUGUUGAAUCUUUUCAACAAGUCUUUGGUAUACUUCUCUUGUGAGAGGAAGUUACCAUCUUUCAUUUGCUUGACUUGAAAGCCGAGGAAGUACGUCAUCUCACCAAUCAUAGACAUCUCGAACUCCUUCGACAUCAACUCACCAAAUUCCUUGCAAUGAUAAUCAUUUGUCGAGCCAAAGAUUAUAUCAUCAACAUAUACUUGACAAAUGAAAAUAUCACCAUUAUGUUUCUUUGUGAAUAAAGUUGUGUUGACGGUCCCGAUCUUGAAGUCCUUUUCGAUGAGGAAGUCACGAAGACGCUCAUACCAAGCCCUUGGAGCUUGCUUUGACCCAUAUAGCGCCUUGGAUAAUGUGUAAGCAUGGUUAGGAUAUCUAGGGUCUUCAAACCCGGGUGGUUGCUCAACAUAUACAAGUUCAUUUAUAAAGCCAUUUAAAAUGCACUUUUCACAUCCAUUUGAUAAAGUUUUAUGUCAUAGCAUGAUGCAUAUGCGAGUGGGAUACGGAUGGCUUCAAGUCGAGCAAUCGGUGCAAAGGUCUCUCCAAAAUCUAAGCCUUCAACUUGAGAGAAGCCCUUUGCAACAAGUCUUGCCUUGUUCCGCACAAUCACGCCUUGAUCAUCUUGUUUGUUUCUGAACAGCCACUUUGUUCCAAUGAUCCUUGCAUCUUGUGGAGGCUUCUCCAAGGUCCAAACUUAGUUACGGGUGAAGUUGUUUAGUUCUUCAUGCAUGUCAUUCACCCAGUCCGGAUCCUGUAGCGUCUCAUCUAUACAUGUAGGUUCAACACAAGAAACAAAAGAGUGAUGUUCAAUAAAUGAAGCAUGUUUAUGUGAAUGAGUGAUAACCCCUUGUGAAGGACUCCCAAUGAUUUGAUCUUGUGGGUGUGCUUGAAGUAGUGAUGGGUUUCUCCUGUCAACCACUUGGGAAGAAGGUCCUAGAGCAUCAACAUCUUCGGCUUGUACCCUUGCUUGUUGAAAGGGAAAUAGGGUCAAAUCUUUUCCUAAAUGAUUUUGGUGGUUGAAAUGUCCAACACAAAUUAUUGGACUAACUAGUUUGCUCUAGAUUAUAUGUUCUACAGGUGCCAAAGGUUCAACACAAACCAAUAAAAAGAUCAAAGUUAGGGUUCAAAAGAAAGGAGCAAAAGAAACCGAAGAGAACCCUGGUCUGGCGCACCGGACUGUCCGGUGUGCCACCGGACAGUGUCCGGUGCACCACCAGACAGUGUCCGGUGCGCCAGGGAGGAUCAACCUCAAACUCUUCACCUUCGGGUUUCUCCAGGCGCACUCCGCUAUAAUUCACCGGACUGUCUGGUGCACCAAACGGAGCAACGGCUAUCAGCGCAACGGUCGACUGACAGUGGCCUGACAGAGCUAUAGUUCGCGUCAGAAGUCAGAGCAGGCGCCAGAGGCGCACCAUACACUAAACAGUAGCUGUCCGGUGCGGCACUGGACUGUCCGGUGCACCAAGAUGUCAUAGCUCCAACGGUCGAAACCAUCAGAACCCUAACAGUUGGGUGACGUGGUUGGCGCACCGGACAGUGUCCGGUGCGCCCAUCGACAGCAACCCCUCCCCAACGGCUAUUUUGGUGGUUGGGGCUAUAAAUACCCCCCAACCACCACCAUUCAAGGCAUCCAAGUUUCCAACAUUUUGCAUUCAAUACAAGAGCUCUAGACUUCACUCCAAGACACAAACAAGAGAUCAAAUCCUCUCCCAAGUCCAAAAUCACUCCAAACACUUAGUGACUAGUGAGAGAGAGAUUUUCAUGUUCAUUUGAGUUCUUGUCGCUUGGAUCGCUUUUCUUCCUCCUCCAUUCUUGUUCUCAAGCAACUUGUAAUCAAAGCAAGAUACACCAAGUUGUGGUGGUCCUUGUAGGGGUCUGAGUGACCCAGUUUGAUUAAGGAGAAAGCUUACUCGGUCUAGGUGACCAUUUGAGAGAGGGAAAGGGCUGAAAGAGACCCGGUCUUUGUGACCACCUCAAUGGGGACUAGGUUUGCAAGAACCGAACCUCGGUAAAACAAAUCACCGUGUCCCUCGCCUUAUUUCUUGGUUGAUUAGUUUUUCGCCCUCUCUUUCGGACUCGGUUUUUAAUUCUAAUGCUAACCCCAGCUUGUAGUUGUGCUUUAAGUUUAUAAAUUUCAGAUUUGCCUAUUCACCCCCCUCUAGGCGACUUUCAAUUGGUAUCAGAGCCGGUACUUCAUUAAGGGUCUAACCACUUGAAGUGAUGUCGGGAGGAUCCGCUGUCGGUGUUUUGGGUCCGACCGCACACCCAGGGUUGCCCCUCAAGGUGUUUUUAGGAGUAGGACGGUGUUACCGACUGUAGCUCAAUGGUUCGUGCAGGGUGCACGAGAAACAGUAGACAAUGGUGUAUAGGUUCGGGCCGCUUUGAGAUGUGUAACACCCUACGUCCUGGCGAGAAUGCUUUAUGUGGUGGAUUACAAGGGAGCUCUCUAACGCUAGAACGUAGAGAGCUGGGGUGGAUGGCUGAGUAGUGAGAUCGAUCAUUCUGAAGGAGUGCCCCCUAGGUCUUAUAUAUUCGACCGUGAGGCAAUACAUGCGGAUAUGAUAACAAUGCGCACCUAAGAGAUAGUGAACUGAUUGAGUCUAUCUUCCUAUAGUUCUGCCGACUCAUCCUUGCUUGGUUCCGUUGUACGGGGCUCCAGCGCAGGAAAGUCGGGUCUCUGCUGUGGUUACUUGCUCGACGUUGUUGGGUCGUCUGGGCUCGCACCGAUCCGGCCUCGUGUCGAUCUGCUUCACUGGUCAUUCUUCCCCAGGCCCACGAAGGGAUGACCUUACGAAUUAUUGGGCCCUCGGGCCUUUCGUGAGGUCUUUUAUCCUUCCAGUGGACCCGGGGGAUAUCUGUCCCCCACAAGCCCCCGAUCUUUGGGUUGAUUUUGAAAUAAUCGGCCCAAAGAUCCUAGGUCCAGCUUGCGGUUUUUGUUUAUGACAGGAAAUGCUUCCCGGGUAGUCUGGUAAAAACGAUUUCUUACUGUCUCCUUCUGCUUUUAUCACUCGAAAACUGGUGUUCUGUCUUAAACUCGCGCUUUGGAGGUCAGCAUUUCGUACUGUAGGACCUUGAACUUCAUUGGGUGCACCGGAGGUGCACCCAAUGGGUUGUAGCCCCCGAGCUUCGAGAGGAUUUUUGAAAAUAAUCCACUCGAAGGUCUUCACUUCGAGUAUUAUCAGAAAUCAUUUUUAUUUUCCGCUUGCACUUUGUUGGAGGUCAGCCUUGCUUUUGAUCUUGCCAUAUGCUUUAGAAGUUAGCAUUAUCUUGACUUGAAAUGACGACUCAUUGGGUGCACCGAAGGUGCACCCAAUGGGUGUAGCCCCCGAGCUUCGAGUGGAUUUUUGAAAACAAUCCACUCGAAGGUCUUCAUUUCGUGCCCUUUUGCUGAGAAUCAUCCUUUCUUUUUCCGAAUGCUUUAGAGGUCAGCAUUAUGUCAUUGAUAUUAUGCUUUAGAGGUCAGCAUGUAUUUUGUCUUCGAGGCCGAGUUCAUGAUCUGCCCAUAUCUUGCUAGGUGGUGCAAUUUAUUUGAUCUGCGACUGAUUGGAUGUUCGAUGGACGUUCCCUGGCUAGUCUUCAUGUCGCUUCUGUCAAUCAGGCUUGUACUUCACCGGCUAUAUUUGGCUUUCCUUUGAUCCUUGCUGAUAUCUCACUUUUGUCUUGAGGUAUUCAUUGCAUACGCUGCACGGAUGUGACAGUUUUGAAAAAUAUACUGAUAAUUCCUGGGCGUCCCCCCCGAUGGGUGUGGGCAAGGGACGGCUUGGUACGCUUAGUGUUUGGCGAACUGCUUCUGAGUAGUAAUUUGAUGUGACCGCGGGUGUAAUCAUAUCGCCCGCGUGGUUGACUGGAAUCCCAAUGGGUGUUGUGUUGCGUGAGGUGGCGUCAGCCGCCUGACGUGUCUUCAGACGGUUUAAAUUGCAUAUUGAAUUUUUGUGACUAUUCAGUGGUCGUGGUAGGAGAUGGACGGUUGCCUUCUUCUUCUAUAAAUAGUGUUCUUGCUUCCCCGGCAUUUUCACAUCUCUUACUGCUCUCUGCUGCUUGCUUUCUUUUUCUCCCUUCAUUUCCACCAUGGGCAAGAGUAACAAACGCAAGCGCGAGCCGACUCCUCCAUCGGAGGACUUCGGCGACUCGGAGUACUCGGAGGAGGAGUUCUCCUCCGAGCCCGAGGGGUCUCCAGCUCCCGUCUCUGCCCCGGCGUCGUCUGAUGAUUCAGACGACUCCCAGGGGAUUGCCACGGAGGUCUGGACUUAUAUCCGGGCCGUCGAGCGCUCCGGGCUCGAGGGCUCGGAUGAGUCGGAGUACUCCUCGGACGAGGAGGACUCUUCGGACUCGUCCAAGGAGGGCAACGACGGUGAUGGCGGAGACGACGACGACGAUGGAGGCGACGGUGACGAUGACGACGACAGCGGCGGUGGCGGUGACGGCGGUAGCAAGGGCGGCAACGGCGGCAGCAGCAGGGGCAGCAACUGCGGCGGCAGUAGCAAGGGCAGCAACAAGGCCAGUGGCUAGAUGCCACUGGUUUUUAGUAGUUAGUAGUGUAGAGUAGUGUAGUGUAGUGCAGCAGCAGUAGUAGUAGGGGCAUCAUCAACUCAUAACGAGUUGAUUUGUAAGUUCUGUAGCUUCCCUUAAUGAAGAAUGAUUUCGUCUCCUCCUAUGUUGAUUAUUUUGCCUCAUGGUCAGUUGAUGAUUGUCGCGAUAUUUAUUGUCCGUAAUGCUCUCUGUCUGUUAUGCUUGUGUCAUAACUUGGAGUUUUCGAAUCAUUCCUCCGUUUGCCUUAUCUGUGAAGUCAAUUCCUCUGGAAUAGUAGCUGAGUAACUCGGGCAUCAUAUCAUCGCUUUUAGGGGUGAUGGUCGAGUUAUUAUUGUCAACAUUUACGAUUCUGAAGUAGCGUCCAAAUGAUGACGAAGCCACAUCAGUGUUUUAGAAUUAACGUUUGAGUGACUGAUGACCACGUCGGCGUUUUAGAGAUAACUGCCGAGUGACUGAAGACGACGUCGGCGUUUUAGAGAUAACUGCCGAGUGACUGAGGGUAACGUCGGCGUUUUAGAAAUAACAGCCGAGUUAGAACGGGCUGCGUCGGCCACUUUGAAGAUAAUAGCCGAGUGAUGAUGUGGCACACCGGUGUUUUUAGAAGUAACCACCGGGUGAUGACAUGGCACGUCAGCGUUUUAGAAAUAACCGCUGGGUGAUGACGUGGCACGCCAGCGUUUUAGAAAUAACCACCGAGUGAUGACUGGGCGCUUUUUGGAAACGGUAUCCGACCCGGGAAAACCCCAUAUGUACUGCGCCUUCGACCGCCUCUGCUUUUCGUGCCCUAGUUCUUGCUUUCCUGCUUCCAGACCCUCUCUGCCCUUUUGCAAUUCGGCUCCCGCUCUGCUCGCCUGUGGAGUUGAUAUGGCACUGAAGCGGAAGGCCUCGAGUUCGUCCACUGCUGUGAUUCCCCCUAUCGACCCCAACAACCAGUUGCCUUUCGCAGGUAACCAUAUGUCUGUUGUUUCUGAGCCUGACCUUCUCCAUCUCGUGUCCAUCGGGGUCCUUCCUCGGAAGGAGCUCUGUUCUUGGCGGAUUUGCCACGGGGUCACUGUUCCAACAGAGGAUACCCACGAAUCCAUGAUUUAUGUUCCUUUUCUUCUCUGCGGUCUCGCUCUUCCUAUUUCUCCCUUUUUCCGCGGUCUCCUUGAUUUCUAUCGCCUUAAUUUGACCCAUCUGAAUCCCAAUUCCAUUCUGCAAAUUUCCAUUUAUGUUCAUUUAUGCGAGGCUUUUCUUGGCGUCCUGCCACAUUUUGGACUGUGGAAGUACUUGUAUCACUGUCGCCCUAGGAUGGCCGGGGGGCAGCAUCAGCUGGUGGGGGGUGCGAGUUUGGAGAUGCGCCGUGGGAGGAAGACUGACUACCUUGAAAUCCCACUCAAGGAUAGUAUCGAAGGAUGGCGCUUGGAGUGGUUUAUUGUUGAGAACCACGGAAAAUCUCUCCCCCCACGGUCAGGGAGACAGCCGGAUGUUCGUACUCCGAGUUGGACCGAGUCCCCCACAGACCAGGAGGUGGCUGAGGCAGGGGCUUUGCUGGCUGAAGUUGGACUGCUGAAGGAGAGGGGUCUGACUGCAGAGGCUGUGGUUGUUGAUUUUGUCUUCAAGAAUAUUCAGCCUUUGAAGGACAGGGCAUACCCGGCCUAUCUGUAUCGAGGUCUAGCUGACUCAACCCGGGUCACCAACAGAAGAAUUCCUGCUGUAGACUUGGUGAACCGGCUUGAAAUGAUACUUAGAGGCAAGGUAUCAAAUGUUGGCGCCCGUGUCGCAUACUCGGUCUAGAAUCUGCCUCCUUCCAAGGCCUUUACUCAUUUUGUGUCGAAUCCUCCUGCUGCUGAUGGCGGUUUGGGCCUUAGAGUGUGACCCUCUACUGAAGAAGUUAGUGCUUUGCUUGCUUCGCUUGGAGAAAUUCCUGAUGAUGAACGGCAGGUCCACUUUGAGGUGCCUUUGGAUCCUAGUGAUGCAGAGAUAAGUGCUAUGCUUGAUAUGCUGGCCGAGGACUCUUCUGAUGCUGCUCCUGCUGGGACAUUGGUGGUGGCGCCUCUCCCGGAAGCUGGUACAACUUUGGAUAUUCAGAGGCCUAUCAGUGUUCGCCCGAAGCGCCCUUGCCGAGCCAAUCAACUUGAUUCUCCUGUUGAUGAGCAGAAAAAGAAAAAGAGACGUCUUCAGUGAGUAUCUAGCUUGGAUCGGGAUGCUGGUCCUUCGGUUCCUGCUGCUGAGGAAGUGUCUGUGCCUGAAUUUACCGAUGCUGACCCCAAUGGGUGUGAUCCAUCUGUCGCUGAACCCAAUGGGUGUGCUGUCUGUGUUGCUGAUGAAAACGAGGGGGAGGAAGAAGAUGAGGUCCCUUUGACUCGGAAGAACAGUCGGCGAUACGUAGCCAGUGGGGAAAGUAGUGGAGUUCCUUCUCCUGCUCUGUCUGCCCUCAUUGGUCUACAAGAAUUGUCUCUAGCGAACUUUGAUCAGACUCUUGAAGAUAUGGUUCUAGAGGAUCUGUUAUCAGAGCUGGCGGACGGUGAUGCGAUGGAUGUUUGUGCUGAUGUGUUCGACGCCGGGUUGGGGUCAUCCCGGGCAGCAUCCCGCGCCUCAUCGACCUUGGAGCGUGGUCUUGAGGGUCAGGAAACUGACUUGAAUCGUCUUGCUCCCAUGGAAGUAACUGAGGGACCUUCAGCCUUAGAGGUGGCCGCCGCAGAGAACUUGGCCCUCAAGGAUGGUGUUGACACUUACCUAGCCCCCGAGGGUGUUGUCGGGGAUGAUUCGGCUCGGGUGGGAAGCGUAAGCCGCGACCCAGCCCCCGAGGGUAUUGCCGGAGACGAUCCGGCUCAAGUGGGUAGUGCAAACUAUGACCCAGCCCCCGAGGGUGUCCGAGCGGGGUCUCCCUCUUGUACUUCCAUGGAUGUUCACGCAGGAUCUCCUCCACACUCUGGUUGCAUGGUGGUAGCCCAAGCUUUUGGUCAAGGAGUCGCUUUAGAGGCUAGCGUUCCUGACGACAAAGUUUUGGGCUCUGCUGAUGACACUGAGUUGGUCCCUGCUGGUUCAUUGCAAGUUGCUCCGGGUGGUGACCCUACGCCAAGCCAUCAAUUGAUUUCUCACGAUUUGGGAGUCCCCUCAUUCUUCUCCAACCUCCAGGUACUAUGAUCUAUUCUAGUCUGACUUUUACACCGGAUGAACUGCUGUCAUUACACUCAUCUGCUCUCAAUAUCAGACAUUGGUGGACGGGAUGGCUAGUCAGCUUAAGUUGCAAGGUGCUUCUGUUCCAGAAAGAGCUUCGUCUCUGGCACGUUGGAAUCCGGUGUUGCUUCAACAGCGUGUCUCUGACUUAGAGGCGACGAAUGCUGGUUAGUGCUUUUCUGCUUCCUUUCGUCUAUCUUAUAAAACUGCUUCUCAAGCUAAACUUUUUGCUUGACCGUUUCUCGCUAGAUAUGGCUCGGUAGUUUUCUGUUCUUGAAGAGAAACAUUCUCAAAAUCAGGCUGAAUUGGUCCGGCGGUGCUCUGAUUUUGAAGAAAAGUAUUCUCAAAGUCAGAUUGAGCUGGCCCAAGUUUCUGCUGCUCUGAACGAUGCCAACAUGUUGAACUCUACUCUCCGCGCUCAGCUUGAUUCUGAAAAGGUGACCUGAAAACCCGAGCUUUGUUUUGCCAUGUUCUUAUUGCUUGCUCGAUGUUUGAAGAAGUUAAUUCUUGUUUGCAGGAAGAAAACCGUGCCCUUGUUGCUUCUCGUGACAAUCUUGACAAGCUAUAUCGUGACUACAGCAACUCGUUGACCAUCCUGGAGAGGAGUCAUCGCUUCACCAUGGAGGAGUUAGACAAUCAUCGCUGUAAGCUGCAGGAGUCUUCGGAUGACGUGAUUCGUCUCAGGCAGUCGAUAUCGGCUAAGGAUGCUGUCAUCAAGGAACUGCGUGCUUCCAAGAAGUCCCUCACCCAGGAGCUAGAAACCGCUCAGUUGGCUAUCAAGGUUGCUGAAGAGACUUUCGUUAUUCUGAGGGCCCAGCGCGACAGAGCCAUGGAUAAAGCCAUUCGUGCAGGGCGGAUCUUGAUGAGGAGACCCGGUGUGAUUGUUCCCGACGAUAUAAGGGCUGAUGUGAACGCUGCUCCUGAUUCCUCAAGUCGCCCUUCUUCGUCGGUUGCUCCUGAGAGGAAUGUUGCAAAAUAGAAAAACAUUGCAUGCAUUGAGCGCGCGGUUAUCCUGCUCGGAUAUUUUGUUAGAGGACACCAGCUUGACAUUUGAAUGCUACUGUUAUUCUCCUAUCAUUUUAGAAUUCAGCAGUAUCUAAAUUUGCAGAAGUAAAAUGUUGUAUGAUGAUUUUGAAACUUCUUCACGGGACAUAGAAGUCGCCCCUAUAUGAGUAAUUGUAAGCAUGUGGAACCGUCUUAAGUCGUUGCUGACUUAAAGCGAUUGCUUUUGUUAAUAGGGCAUAGUAGUAAUCCCGAGUUAAGUAAGAGCGAGCAUGUUGCACCAUCUUAAGUCGUUGCCGACUUAAGCCGAUUGCUCUGUUAGCCGGGCAUAGUGGUCACCCUGAGUUAAGUAAGCGCGAGCAUGUUGCACCGUCUUAAGUCGUUGGCGACUUAAGCCGAUUGCUCCGUUAGCAGGGCAUAGUGGUCACCCUAAGUUAAGUAAGUGCGAGCAUGUUGCACCGUCUUAAGUCGUUGCCGACUUAAGCCGAUUGCUCCGUUAGCAGGGCAUAUUGGUCACCCCGAGUUAAGUAAGCGCGAGCAUGUUGCACCGUCUUAAGUCGUUGCCGACUUAAGCCGAUUGCUCCGUUAGCAGGGCAUAGUGGUCACCCCGAGUUAAGUAAGAAUGUAGGUCGAUCAUGAACAAACUGAGUAUUCUUGAAGCCUUUUUUAUUGAUGACAUAUUUCCCAUUUUACAGAGUACAUUGUCGUCCCGAUAGCUUUUGAAAUACAGCUAGGGAUAAAACUUCCUGAGGUGUUCUAUAUUCCAUGAGUUCCAAAUUUUCGUGCCGUCCAUCUGAGUGAGACAAUAUGAUCCCAACCGAGUGACUUCUGCUACUAUAAAUGGUCCUUCCCAUAGGGGUGACAACUUGUGUCGUCCCUCCCCCGUUAGAAUUCGGCGGAGGACGAGAUCUCCCACUGCAAAGGAUCGACGUCGCAUGGCCUUAUCGUGGUAACGCCUCAGAGUUUGCUGGUACCGUGCUGAUUGAAUUACCGUGUUCAGUCGUUCUUCUUCGAGUACAUCAACAUCCUCUAGCCUAGUAGCCUCGGCUUCUGCUAUGCUUUCAAAGAUCAACCUUGGUGCCCCAAACUUGAGGUCAGCGGGUAAUACUGCCUCUGACCCAUGGACCAUGAAGAAAGGAGUAUUUCCAUGCAGAGCUCGACUAGGUUGAGUUCUUAGGCUCCAAACGACGUAGGGCAACUCCCUUAUCCAUUUUCCUGCGAACUUUUCAUUUUUAUCGAAGACCUUUUUCCUGAGUGCCUCUAAUAUCAUCCCGUUAGCUCGUUCAACCUGCCCGUUGGCUGUUGGGUGUGCCACUGAAGCAUACUUGAUCUGAAUGCUCUUUUGUUCGCAGAAAUUGAAGAACUCUGAACUUGUGAAGUUGGAUCCUAGGUCAGUUAUGAUACUAUUCGGUAUUCCGAAUCUGAAUAUUAUGUCUUGUAUGAAUUCAACGACCUUAGCUGAGGUUAAAGAAGCAAUGGGUUUGAAUUCUAUCCAUUUAGUGAAUUUGUCGAUUGCUACCGGUACAUGAGUGUAUCCUCCUUGAGCUUUCUUGAAAGGUCCAAUCAUAUCCAGUCCCCAGCAUGCGAACGACCAAGUUACUGGUAUGGUCUGCAGUUGCUGUGCUGGUAGAUGUUGUUGCUUUGACAAGUACUGGCAAGCUUCGCACCUCUGAACUAACUCGACUGCAUCACUUUUCGCUGUUGGCCAAUAGAAUCCCGACCUGAAGACCUUCCCGACUAGUGUCUUGGAUGCUGCGUGUAUUCCACAUUGCCCAUCAUGGACCUCAUCUAGAAGUUGCUUUCCAGUAGAUGAGAGAAUGCAUUUCAUGAGGACGCCCGAUGCACCCCUUCUGUAUAGUGUCUCCCCAAUGAGUGUGUAGUGAGCUGACUGUCUAGCGAUGCGCUCGGCUGCGUUUUUGUCAUCUGGUUCCUCUUCAUUCUUUAUAUAUCUAAUGAUCGGCCUUCUCCAGUCAUCAGAAUCUGACUCUAGUUGGUUCAUGAUAUUACAUUCUUCUGCCUGGUCCAUUGAGAUGCUUGGAUGUGGUAUUUCUUGUACAAAGACUCCAGGUGGGACCUGAGUUCGACUGGAUCCUAGCUUGGACAAUACAUCAGCUGCCGUGUUUCGAUCUCUUUCUACAUGGUGAAAUUCCAGACCUUCGAAUUUAUCUUCUAGUUUCCGGACGGCGGUGUAGUACUUUCCCAUUGAAUCGCUCGAACAGUCCCAUUCUUUGUUUAUCUGGCUUAUGACUACCAGAGAAUCUCCGUAUACCAUCAGUCUCUUGCUGCCUAGCGAUAUAGCAAUGUUCAGUCCAUGAAUCAGAGCUUCAUAUUCGGCUGCGUUGUUGGAGGCUGGAAAUAACAACUGGAGGGCAUAUUUGAGGUGCUCGCCUCCAGGUGCGGUAAAGAGAAUCCCCGCGCCUGCUCCCUGUAGUUUUAACGAGCCAUCAAAAUACAUUCGCCAUACUUCUGUGGUUUCUGGGUUAUCUGGUACUUGUUGUUCAGUCCAUUCUGAUACGAAGUCAACCAAUGCUUGAGUUUUGAUGGAAGUGCGAGGUCGAAAUUCGAUGUCAUGAGAUCCCAGUUCGCAGGCCCACUUGGCUAUUCGGCCAAUGGCUUCCUUGUUGUGAAGGAUAUCCCCUAUCGGAAAACCAGUGACUACUAUGACUUUGUGGUCGUCAAAGUAGUGACGUAGCUUGCGGGCAGUUAGAAGUACUGCAUAUAAUAGCUUCUGAACUUGAGGAUACUUUUUCUUCGAGGGACCCAGAACUUCACUGAUGAAAUAAACAGGAUGUUGCACUGGGUAGGCAUGUCCUUCUGCUCGCUCGACUACCAACGCGGUGCUUACCACGUGAGUCGUGCAAGAGAUAUACAGCAGCAAAUCUUCAGCUGGUUGAGUUGACGUGGCUCGCCGUGGUGGCUUCAGCACUGGUGGUGUCGUCAAGAAUGUUUUCAGUGCAUCUAGGGCUUCCUGUGCUUCUGAGGUCCACUGAAACUUAUCCACCUUCUUGAGUAGCUUAUAAAAUGGUAAGCCUUUUUCUCCCAGUCUGGAUAUGAAUCUGCUCAGGGCUGUCAUACAUCCGGUAAGUCUCUGAACUUUCUUUUGUGAUCGUGGUGCCUCCAUUUUCAUGAUAGCUUCGAUCUUAUCCGGAUUAGCUUCAAUUCCCCGGUGGCUGACAAUAAAUCCGAGUAGCUUUCCUGCUGGUACCCCAAAGACACAUUUUUCGGGAUUAAGCUUCCAUCGAUAUUGCCGUAGACUGUUGAAAACCAGUUGUAAGUCUUUGAUGAAGUUUUCCGAGUUCUCCGUUUUGAUUACCACAUCAUCUACAUAGGCUUCCACACGCUUGCCCUAGUGAUCGGCUAAGCAUGUUUGAAUGGCUCUCUGAUAAGUCGAUCCAGCGUUUUUGAGGCCGAACGGCAUGGAGGUAUAGCAGAAAGCACCGAACGGAGUGAUGAACACUGUUUUUUCCUCAUCCUCUUUUGCCAAGCUAAUCUGAUGAUAUCUAGAGUAGCAAUCCAGGAAAGACAGCACAGAACAUCCAGCGGUGGAAUCUACCACCUGAUCUAUCCUAGGAAGCCCGAAGGGAUCCUUUGGACAGUGUUUGUUAAGAUCCGUAUAGUCGACGCACAUGCGCCAAUCCACUUUAUUCUUUUUUAGUACAAGAACAGGGUUGGCUAACCACUCCGAAUGUAACACCUCUCUAAUAAACCCAGCCACGACCAAGCGGGCCAGCUCAGCGUGAAUGGCCUCUCUCUUGUCAGGCGUGAAGCGAUGUAGUUUUUGCCGAAUCGGCCUCGCCUGGGGAUAGACCUUCAGCUUGUGCUCGGCCAGUUCUCUCGGGACUCCCGGCAUAUCCGCAGGUUGCCAUGCGAAUACGUCUCGUUUAUCUUGCAGAAACUGGACGAGCGCGCCUUCCUAUUUGUCAUCCAGGCUGGAGCUGAUGAUGGCAGUCUUGCGUUCAUCAGCGAACCCAAGGUUGAUCCUUUUGGUUUCUUCAGUCGGCCGCGUAGAGGUCGCGGCUUGAGCUUCAUUUGCAGGUGCUGCAAGGUCUUCCUCAGGCUUAGAGUUUGCCUGCGUCGAAGAAGUCGCCGACGGUUUGGUGGUGAGGGCCGCCUGGAUGGCCACUCAGAAACAUUCUGCGGCGCCUUGGAAGUCGGCGCGCACAGUUAUGAUUCCUUGCGGCCCUGGCAUCUUCAAUAUCAUGUAUGUGUAAUGUGGAAUGGCCAUGAAUUUUGCCAAUCCCGGCCUCCCGAUGAUGGCAUUGUACCCGCAGUCGAAGUUCGCCACUUCGAAUCUUAGGAACUCGGUUUUGUAGUUCUCCGGAGUUCCGAAGGUGACUGACAUGUAGAUGUGGCCCAGCUGGUAUUCUCCUUCAGUCGGCACGAUGCCGAAGAAAGGAGUGUCUGACUCGUGGAGCUCUUUGAGGUGAACUCCCAAGCCUUGGAGUGUCCGGGGGAAGGUGAUGUUGAUGCUGCUCCCCCCGUCCACUAAUACCUUCUUCACCCUGCUCUCUCGGAUCACCAGAUCGACGAGGAGCGGGUAUUUGCCUGGGUGGUCGAAGUUGAGCCAUUGAUCUGCCCGAGUGAAGGUGAUUGGGUUCUCCGACCAUCGGUACGGAGCGAGAGGACCGGUGGUCGCCACCAAUAUCUGGCGAUCGUUGAGCUUUUGUUGUCUUCUGUUCUCCUGCGACCCGUGUCCGCCGAAGAUGACGUUGACCUCCUCCCUCCUCCUCCUGCUGGGGUUGUCGUGGUUCUCCUGGUCCUCCCCGCGGCGGAGGAGGAGGUAGAGGUUGGAAGGGCCGGUCGUGUCCGACGGAGUGCUUGAAGUCUCUGCAGUUCCGAAGGGUGUGGCGCAUGUCCUUGUGGUACGGGCACUGGGCGUCAAGGAUGUCGUCCAGCGUGCGUUCGCCUCCACGAGGCCCUCCCCGGGCGCGAGAGGCAGGUGGUCCGACGGCGUGCACUUCUUCACGAGGCCUCUUCUCCCAGCGUUUGUCGGGUUGCUGGUUCGUGUCGCGUCGUGGUGCUGCCGGUGCGGGCUUCGCUCCCCCGAUGAGGUCCUGAGCUCGCUCGUCGGCAGUGAUGUAGAGGUCGGCUUCCCGGAACAGUUGCUCAGAGGUAGUCUGAGCCUUCUGCAAUAUGGCCCGGACGAAAGCCGAGUCGUUGGAUCCUCUAUAGAAGUCCUCGAUCACGGCCGCCUCCGUGACCUCGGGGAUACGAUUUCUCAUGGUCUGGAACCUUUUGAGGUAUGACCGAAGAGUUUCGUCCCCCCGGCGCUUGAUGGAUUUGAGGUCCCAUGGUUGCGCUAGUUUAUCGGAGAGGGACUGAAAGUUGGCGGUGAAGCGUCGACUGAAGUCGCUCCAGUCGUCGAUGCAGUGUCGGGGUAGAUGUCGCAGCCAUUGUAGCGCGUCUUGCCCGAGGACAAUGGGUAAGUAUGCGGUCAUCAUGUCCUCGGACGCCCCGGCAGCUCGAGCAGCGGUGGUGUAGACGGCCAGCCAGUCUCCUGGAUCCUGCUUAGGUUCAUAUUUGUCGACAUUGGAUACCUUGAAGUUAGGGGGCCAUUGAAUGGCUCUAAGGCGUGGAGUAAGUGCAGACACUCCACACGUGUCUUCUUGUCGUCGGGGAUGAUGUCUGUCCGGGGAGGGGAGUAGUUGUUGUGGUUCCUCGACCGUCCCCGAGUGGUACCGCCAGUCGAGGUCGUUGCCGACUCAGUUCUGGUGGCCUGACUCCGAGCUUGGAUGUCGUGAUCCCUGUCGUACUCUUCCCGGCGACGGAUCUCGUUCUCAUGUCGUCGUUCACGCGAAGCGUUGAUGGAGCUUCGCGCGUCCCGGCGGCUGUUGAUGGUGUGUCGUAGGUCGUUCGGCGGGUGAGCGAGAGGUAGAAGAUGGUUGGCUGCUUGGGUGAAUAGUCGUCGAUAGCCCUCGGCAUCGGGAGUCCGAGGGAGUCCAUCAGCUAUUCGAGUUAGUACCCCGCCAAUCUCACUCGGCGUGUUCAUGGCUCAGGCGAAGUCGGGGUUCAGGUUGCGCCCGAAGAGUGGAUUCUCCCGACGUUGCCUUGCCUCCUGCUCGGCUUGUUCCUGAGCUCGUCGGUGAUCACGCCGUCGGGAGUUCCUUCGUUCUCUGAAGACGCGUUCCUCCAGAGUUUCUCCUAUCUCUGAGACCUCGUCUCGCGAGAUAGGCUGCUCCGGGUCCCGCUCUCCGGCCUCGUGGUGUCGCCGGAUAUUUCAGCGUCGGUUCCUCCGUCGGCGGGAUUCCCGCUGAGGAGGUUCUUCUCCGGGCGCGGUCGGCUCGUCGUCGGAGACGGGGAGCGACUCCACUCUCCCGAUGAAGAGGACGUCAGGGUAGAAUGGUGCGGCGUUCGUGGUGAUCUUCUUUCCGUUCUCCUUUGAGGGCGGAGGAACAGAAAGAACAACUUGCUUCCUCCCAGUGUUAUUUGUUUCUUCCUUCCUUGCGAUUUGUGUCCAUUCUUUCGUCGGGGAAGUAGAUAGUGGAGUUCUCUGGGUCAGCGGGCUCUCGGCCCCUGGCUUGCUGAAGGCGAUCUUUUUUCGGAGCGCUGGAGGUUGCGCUUUUCCCUGCCUUACUUCGACAUUUUCGGAGGUUGUUGGAGGAGACUUCUUCCUUGGCGGAUCUGCGAUGCGAUGUAGAGCUCCUUCUUCAUCUGCUACGGAUGAGAUAGUUCCAAAGCGGAACACAGAUCCGGGGCGGAGCUAGCUUAGAUCGGCGACACACCCCCUACUUGGCGCGCCAGCUGUCGGUGUUUUGGGUCCGACCGCACACCCGGGGUUGCCCCUCAAGGUGUUUUUAGGAGUAGGACGGUGUUACCGACUGUAGCUCAAUGGUUCGUGCAGGGUGCACGAGAAACAGUAGAUAAUGGUGUACAGGUUCGGGCCGCUUUGAGAUGCGUAACACCCUACGUCCUGGCGAGAAUGCUUUAUGUGGUGGAUUACAAGGGAGCUCUCUAACGCUAGAACGUAGAGAGCUAGGGUGGAUGGCUGAGUAGUGAGAUCGAUCGUUCUGAAGGGGUGCCCCCUAGGUCUUAUAUAUUCGACCGUGAGGCAAUACAUGUGGAUAUGAUAACAAUGCGCACCUAAGAGAUAGUGAACUGAUUGAGUCUAUCUUCCUAUAGUUCUGCCGACUCAUCCUCGCUUGGUUCCGUUGUACGGGGCUCCAGCGCGGGAAAGUCGGGUCUCUGGUGUGGUUACUUGCUCGACGUUGUUGGGCCGUCUGGGCUCGCACCGAUCCGGCCUCGUGUCGAUCUGCUUCACUGGUCGUUCUUCCCCAGGCCCACGAAGGGAUGACCUUACGAAUUAUUGGGCCCUCGGGCCUUUCGUGAGGUCUUUUAUCCUUCCAGUGGACCCGAGGGAUAUCUGUCCCCCACAUCCGCCAAGAGGGAGAUGGAAACGGCCACAAGCCACGGGAAGGCUCCAUCAAGGGAGUCCGGCGGUAAACGAAGGGAGGAAUCACCUCCUCGCGUCAAGUCGCACCGGAGUGGUGACAAGAAGAAGAAAAUGAAGAAAGUGGUCUACUACGAGACCGAUUCCUCGUCGCCAUCCACCUUCGGCUCCGAAGCUCCGUCCAUCACUUCUAAGCGCCAUGAGCGCAAGAAGUUUAGUAAGAUUCACCUACGCUAUCCCCGCAUUUCCAAACGCACUCCUUUACUUUCCGUCCCAUUAGGCAAACCACCAGUUUUUUACGGUGAAGAUUAUUGUAUGUGGAGUGAUAAAAUGAGGCAUCACCUAACCUCACUCCACGCUAGCAUUUGGGACAUAGUUGAAUUUGGAGCGCAGGUACCAUCCGGGGGGAUGAAGGAUAUGAUUCGGACGAAGUCGCCCAAAUCCAACAUUUUGACUCCCAAGCCACCACUAUACUUCUCGCCUCUCUAUGUCGAGAGGAGUAUAACAAGGUGCAAGGGCUAAAAAGUGCCAAUGAGAUUUGGGAUGUGCUAAAGACCGCACAUGAAGGGGAUGAGGUGACCAAGAUCACCAAGCGGGAGACGAUCGAGGGGGAGCUCGGUCGUUUCAUCCUCAACCAAGGAGAGGAGCCACAAGCCAUGUACAACCGGCUCAAGACCUUGGUGAACCAAGUGCGCAACCUCGGGAGCACCAAAUGGGAUGACCAUGAAAUGGUCAAGGUUAUUCUAAGAUCACUUGUUUUUCGUAAUCCCACACAAGUUCAAUUAAUUCGUGGUGAUCCUAGAUAUAAGCUAAUGUCUCUCGAGGAGGUUAUAGGAAAGUUUGUGAGCUUUGAGUUGAUGAUCAAAGGCUCCAAACAAAUCAUCGAGCAAGGUGGCACCUCCACACCCGAGGUGCAACCCAUCACAUUUAAAGCGACGGAAGAAAAGAAAGAAGAGUCUACAUCAAGUAGGCUCCCCAUCGACGCCUCCAAGCUCGACAACGAGGAGAUAGCGCUCAUCAUCAAGAGCUUCCACCAAAUCCUCAAACAAAGGAGGGGGAAGGAUUACAAAUCCCGCUCCAAGAAAGUUUGAUACAAAUGUGGUAAGCCCGGUCAUUUUAUUGCUAAAUGUCCAUUAUCAAGUGAUAGUGACAGGCGCGACGACAAGAAGGGAAAGAGGAAGGAAAAGAAGAGAUACUACAAGAAGAAGGGCGGCGAUGCCCACGUGUGUCGAGAAUGGGACUCGGACGAGAGCUCCACCGACUCCUCCUUUGACGAGGACGCCGCCAACAUCGCCGUCACCAAAGGCCUCCUCUUCCCCAACGUCGGCCACAAGUGCCUCAUGGCAAAGGACAGCAAGAAAAAGAAGGUACAAGCUAGAACCACCCCCAAGUAUACUACAUCUAGUGAUGAGGGCAGUUCUAGUGAUGAUGAAGAUAACUUGCUUAGUCUUUUUGCCAACCUUAACAUGCAACAAAAGGAAAAAUUAAAUGAACUAAUAGGUUCCAUUCAUGAGAAGGAUGAACUCUUGGAUAGCCAAGAGGAAUUCCUUAUUAAAGAAAAUAAAAAACAUGUUAAGGUAAAGAAUGUUUAUGCUCAGGAAGUAGAAAAGAAUGAAAAUUUGACUAAGGAGCUUAGCAUUUGCCAUGACACAAUUUCCAACCUUAGAAAUGAGAACGGUAAUUUAAAUGCUAAGGUUGAAAAAUCAAAUGUUUGUCAUGAUUCAAUUGUCAAUCUUAAAAAUGAUAAUGCUAGUUUGGUUGCUAAGAUUGAUAAAUUGAAUGAAUCAAUUUCUAGCCUUAAAAUUGAAAAUGCUAGUUUAAUUUCAAAGGCUAAGGAAUUGAAUGUUUGCAAUAUUUCUAUUUCCAAUCUUAGAAAUGAGAAUGCCAUGUUACAUGCUAAGAUUGAUGAAUUAAAAUCUUGCAAACCCUAUACAUCCACUAUUGAUCAUGUUUCUAUUUGCAUGAGAUGUAGAGAUAUUAAUGUUGAUGCUAUCCAUGAUCACCUAGCUUUAAUUAAAGAACAAAAUGAUCACAUAGCUCAACUAACUGCUAAAAUUAAUGAGCAUGAGAUAGAAAAUGAAAAAUUUAAAUUUGCUAGAAGCAUGCUCUAUAAUGGGAGACGCCCUGGCAUUAAGGAUGGCAUUGGCUUCCAACAGGGAGACAAUAUCAAGCUUAAUACCCCUAAGAAAUUGUCUAAUUUUGUUAAGGGUAAGGCUCCCAUGGCUCAAGAUAACGAGGGUUACAUUUUAUAUCCUACUGGUUAUCCUGAGCACAAGAUUAGGAGAAUUCAUGCUAGGAAGUCUCAUUCUGUUUCCCAUCAUGCUUUUAUGUAUAAGACUGAGGCAUCCAGCUCUAGGCAUUCUACACAUGUUAAAAUGCCUAAAAAUAAAUCUCCUAUUGUAUCAAAUGAGCCCAGUGUUUCAUUUAAGACUUUUGAUGCUUCUUAUGUUUUAACUAACAAAUCAGGCAAAGUAGUUGCCAAAUAUGUUGGGGGCAAACACAAGGGCUCCAAGACUUGUGUUUGGGUACCCAAGGUGCUUGUCUCUAAUGUGAAAGGACCCAAGACCGUUUGGGUACCUAAGAACAAGGCCUAAACUUGUUUUGUAGGUUUAUGCAUCUGGGGGCUCAAGUUGGAUCAUUGAUAGCGGAUGCACAAACCACAAGACACGGGAGAAAAGGAUGUUCUCCUCCUACGAGAAAAACGAUGAUCCCCAAAGAGCUAUCACAUUUGGGGAUGAAAAUCAAGGUUUGGUCAAAGGACUUGGUAAAAUUGCUAUAUCACCUGACCAUUCCAUUUCCAAUGUUUUUCUUGUAGAUUCUUUAGAUUACAAUUUGCUUUCAGUUUCUCAAUUAUGCAAAAUGGGUUACAACUAUCUUUUUACAGAUAGGUGUUACUGUCUUUAUAAGAAGUGAUGAUUCAGUAGCAUUUAAGGGAGUAUUAGAGGGUCAGCUAUACUUAGUUGAUUUUAAUAGAGCUGAACUCGAUACUUGCUUAAUUGCUAAGACUAAUAUGGGUUGGCUCUGGCAUCGCCGACUAGCCCAUGUUGGGAUGAAGAAUCUUCACAAACUUCUAAAGGGAGAACACAUUUUGGGACUAACAAAUGUUCAUUUUGAGAAAGACAGGGUUUGUAGCGCAUGUCAAGCAGGAAAGCAAGUUGGUGCCCAUCAUCCACACAAGAACAUCAUGACGACCGACAGGACGCUUGAGCUACUCCACAUGGAUCUAUUCGGCCCGAUAGCUUACAUAAGCAUCGACGGGAGUAAGUAUUGUCUUGUAAUUGUGGAUGAUUAUUCUCGCUUCACUUGGGUAUUCUUCUUGCAGGAAAAAUCUCAAACCCAAGAGACCUUAAAGGGAUUCUUAAGACGAGCUCAAAACGAGUUCGGAUUAAGGAUCAAGAAGAUAAGAAGCGACAACGGGACGGAGUUCAAGAACUCUCAAAUUGAAGGAUUUCUUGAGGAGGAGGACAUCAAGCAUGAGUUCUCUUCUCCCUACACACCUAAACAAAAUGGUGUAGUGGAGAGGAAGAAUCGAACUCUACUGGACAUGGCAAGGACCAUGCUUGAUGAAUACAAGACUUUGGACCGGUUUUGGGCUGAGGCGAUUAACACCGCUUGCUACUCCAUCAACCGGCUUUAUCUUCACCGAAUCCUCAAGAAGACAUCUUAUGAACUCCUCACCGGUAAAAAGCCCAAUGUUUCAUAUUUUAGAGUCUUUGGUAGCAAAUGUUUUGUUCUUAUUAAAAGAGGUAGAAAAUCCAAAUUUGCUCCUAAGGCUGUAGAAUGCUUUUUACUUGGUUAUGACUCAAACACAAGGGCAUAUAGAGUCUUCAACAAAUCCACUGGAUUAGUUGAGGUUUCUUGUGACAUUGUAUUUGAUGAAAGUAAUGGCUCUCAAGUAGAGCAAGUUGAUCUUGAUGAGCUAGAUGGUGAAGAGGCUCCAUGCGUCGCGCUAAGGAACAUGUCCAUUGGGGAUGUGUGUCCUAAGGAAUCCGAAGAGCUCACUCAAGCUCAAGAUCAACUGUCAUCUUCCAUGCAAGCAUCUCCACCAACCCAAGAUAAGGAUCAGGCUCAAGAUAAUGAAGAAGAAGAUCAAGAAGAUGAGCCACCUCAAGAGGAGGACAAUGGUCAAGGGGGAGAUGAUAAUGAUCAAGAAAAGGAAGAUGAUCAAGAAGAUCAGGGUCAAAGACCGCCACACCCAAGAGUCCACCAAGCGAUACAACGAGAUCACCCUGUGAACUCCAUCCUCGUCGAUAUUCAUAAGGGGGUAACCACUCGAUCUCGUAUCGCUCAUUUUUGUGAACAUUACUCUUUUGUGUCUUCUAUUGAGCCAUACAGGGUAGAAGGCGCAUUAAGGGAUUUGGAUUGGGUGUUGGCAAUGCAAGAGGAGCUCAACAACUUCACGAGGAAUGAGGUAUGGCAUUUAGUUCCACGUCCUAACCAAAAUGUUGUAGGAACCAUGUGGGUAUUCCGCAACAAGCAAGAUGAGCAUGGUGUGGUGACAAGGAACAAAGCCCGACUUGUGACCAACGGCUAUUCACAAGUUGAAGGUUUGGAUUUUGGUGAAACCUAUGCACCCGUAGCUAGGCUUGAAUCAAUUCGUGUAUUACUUGUCUAUGCUACUUACAAUGGCUUUAAGCUCUAUCAAAUGGACGUGAAAAGUGCCUUCCUCAAUGGACCAAUCAAGGAAGAGGUCUAUGUGAAAGGAAAAUGUGCCCUUGGGCCAUUUCUACAAUGUUUUGGUGAUUAAAUGUCCAACACGUUUGAUUAAGUUCUUUUGUACCAAAUAAAGAGAGAAGUACAAAUCAAGGCACAAGGUAUGUUUCUAGACUUAGUACAUUGUUGUUUGAACGCUAAUGUGCUUGUCUAAGUGCUAGAAAUAGUGAGAAAAGAAGAAGAAAAGAAACCGAAAAGACUUGGCUCUGUGCAGCCAAACUUCAGCUCAGUCUGGCACACCGGACAGUGUCCGGUGCGCCAGGCUGAUCUCUGGUGAAAGUGCUGCUCUCGGGAAUCGACGGCGACGUACGGCUAAAAAUCACCGGACUGUCCGGUGGUGCACCGGACUGUCCGGUAAGCCAACGGUCGCCUGCGCCAACGGCCAGCCACGCAAUCUUCGUGUGACACGUGGUCGCGCUAACGGUCAGUUGGGCACACCGGACUGUCCGGUGCGCCAACCGACCCCGAGGACCAACGGUCGGAUACGCCUAAUUUGGAAGGCGAUCACGCAUCGGACAACUACAGUGGCUGUCCGGUGGUGCACCGGACUGUCCGGUGCACCACCCGACAGAAGGCAAGUUUGGCCUUCCAAGUUGGCCUCCAACGGCUCCUAGCUGCCUUGGGGCUAUAAAAGGGACCCCUAGGCGCAUGGAGGAGCUACCCAAGUAUUCACUAAGCAUUCUAAGACUCCCACACUCCGUCUCCGCGCACUUGAUCGAUUGUGUUAGUGAUUUGAGCUCCGUUCGAGUUGUGAACUCUCUGUGCUACAUUUCGAGCUCAAGUCUUGGCUUGUGUGCGUGUGUGUGCUGCGGAUUUGUGUUGUGUGUGUGCUGCUUCUCCCAACCUUACUCCAUGCUUUCCUUGUGAUCUUUAUUGUAAGGGCGAGAGACUCCAAAUUGUGGAGAUUCCUCGCAAACGAGAAGAUACUCUAAACAAAAAGACCGUGGUAUUCAAGUUGAUCAUUGGAUCACUUGGAAGGGGUUGAGUGCAACCCUCGUCCAUUGGGACGCCACAACGUGGAAGUAGGCAAGUGUUACUUGGCCGAACCACGGGAUAAAAAUCAUGUGUCUCUUGUGUUGGAUUAUCUGUGAUUGUUGUGUUCACAAGAACUCGCUUCAAAGCUACUUCGUCGCUAACGCUAUAACAUCUAAGUUUUGUGGCUAUUUAGAGUUUGAUUUUACAGGAUCACCUAUUCACCCCCCCCCCUCUAGGUGCUCUCAAUUGGUAUCAGAGUCGUACUCUUCACGUAAGGGACUAAUCGCCCGAAGAGAUGGAUCCUAAGGGAAAGGGGAUGGUGGUCAAUGACAAGGAGAAGGAGUCCAUCUUCAACGAGCCAAGAGAUAACAAGCCCACUGACUCAGGCUCGAGUCACAAGAAGAAGGACGGGAAGAAGAAGAGGCGCAUCAAGAAGAUCAUCUACUACGACAGCGAUGCAUCUUCUUCUUUACCAAGAGACGACGACGAUGACGAUUCUUCGUCAAAGAAAAAGAUGCUUAAUCAAAACUAUUCUUUUGAUUAUUCCUGCAUGUCGUACAAUUCAAAUGCGCAUCUACUUUCAAUUCCCCUUGGAAAACCUCCACACUUUGAUGGAGAGGACUAUUCGUUUUGGAGUCAUAAAAUGCGUAGUCAUUUAUUCUCUCUCCAUCCUAGCAUAUGGGAAAUUGUAGAAAAUGGGAUGCACUUUGACAUCACUGAUAAUCCUGUGAUUAUUAAUGAGCAAAUCCAUAAAAAUGCCUAAGCUACUACUGUGUUGUUAGCAUCUCUUUGCAGCGACGAGUAUAACAAAGUGAGUGGCUUGGACAAUGCCAAACAAAUCUAGGAUACCCUCAAGAUAUCACAUGAGGGAAAUGAUGCCACUAUGAUCACAAAGAUGGAACUAGUGGAAGGCGAGCUGGGGAGGUUCGCGAUGAUCAGGGGAGAGGAGCCAACUCAGACCUACAACAGGCUCAAGACUCUGGUCAACAAGAUCCGAAGGUAUGGAAGCACAAGAUGGACGGAUCAAGAUGUCAUCCGACUCACGUUAAGGUCAUUUACUGUAAUUGACCCCCAUCUUGUAAAUCUUAUUCGUGAAAAUCCCAGGUACACCAAGAUGACGCCCGAGGAGAUCCUUGGAAAAUUUGUGAGCGGGUGCAUGAUGGUGAAGGAGGCACGAUACGUGGAUGACGCUUUGAAUGGUCCACUACCCAUCUACGAGCCACGGCCUAUUGCUCUCAAAGCAACAAGCAGCAAGGAGGCACUACCAAGCAAGGUAGCUCAAGUGGAGGCUGCCGGACUCAAUGAAGAUGAGAUGGCGCUUAUCAUCAGCGUUUCAAGACCGCACUCAAAGGAUGCAAGGAGUACCCCAACAGAAAUAAAACAAAGGGAAGACGCUCCUGCUUCAAAUGCGGUAAGACUGGUUACUUUAUUGCAAACUUUCCCGAUAAUGAUAGUGACCAGGGACAAGAAAAGAGCGGGAAGAAGGAGAAAAAGAAGAACUACAGGAAGGCAAAGGGCGAGGCGCACCUUGGAAAGGAAUGGGACUCGGACUGCUCCUCUUCCGACUCUGACGACGAAGGACUUUCUGCCUCGGCUUUCAACAAAUCCUCACUCUUCCCCAACGAUCGUCAUACAUGUCUUAUGGCCAAGGAGAAAAAGGUACGUAUUCGAGAUUCUCCUAAGUACUCUACUUCUAGUGAUGAGGAAUCCUCCGAUGAUGAAGUAGAUUACUCUUAUUUAUUUAAAGGAUUAGAUAGAGCCAAGCUAGAGAAAAUUAAUGAAUUAAUUGAUGCUCUAAAUGAAAAGGAUAGAUUGCUAGAGAAACAAGAAGAUAUUUUGUAUGAAGAACAUGACAAAUUUAUUAGUGUUCAAAAAUCUCUUGCUCUAGAAAUUAAAAGAAAUGAAAUGCUAUCCUCUGAGUUGUCUGCUUGUCAUGAAUCUGUUUCUAGUUUAAGGAGUUUAAAUGAUGAAUUAAAUGCUAAGCUAGAGGAAGCUAGUAAAAUAAGUUCAUGUGUAGAGCAUGUAAGUCUUUGUAUAGAUGUAAAGACUUUGAUGUUGAUGCAUAUGAUGAACAUCUGAUUGCUAUUACUACAUUGAAUGAUGAGGUGGCAAGUCUUAAUGCUCAACUUAAUACUUGCAAAAGUGAUUUUGAUAAAUUAAAGUUUGCUAGGGAAUCCUACACUAUUGGUAGACACCCCUCAAUUAAGGAUGGACUUGGGUUUCGAAAGGAAACCAAGAACUUGACAAAGCCAAAAAGCUCCCGUUCUCAACAAGGAGAAAGGGAAGGCCCCUAUGGCUAGUAGUCUUCAAAGGAAUCAUGCUUUUAUUUAUGAUAGGUAAAUUGCUAGUCGUUCCAAUUAUAAUAAGAGUUAUGUUCAUGCUGCUUAUAAUGAUUCACAUGCUAUGUUUGCCUCUAGCUCUACUUUUGUUCAUGGUAGAAGUAGGCCUAGGAGAAAUAAUGUUGUGCCUCAUGUGCCUAGGAAAAUGUGCAAUGAACCUUCUACCAUUUACCAUGCUUGCAAUACUUCAUUUGUGCUUUUACGUAAAAAUGAAAAAGUAGUUGCUAGGAAGUUGGGAUCCAAAUGCAAGGGAGACAAAACUUGCAUAUGGGUUCCAAAAACUAUUUUGACUAACCUUGUAGGACCCAAUAAGAGUUGGGUACCUAAAACCCAAGCUUAAAUUCCUUGCAGGUUUAUGCAUCCAAGGGCUCAAGCUAGAUUAUCGACAACGGAUGCACAAACCACAUGACGGGGGAGAAGAAGAUGUUCACCUCCUACGUCAAGAACAAGGAUUCCCAGGAUACGAUCAUCUUUGGAGAUGGGAACCAAGGCAAGGUCAAAGGCUUGGGCAAGAUAGCCAUCACCAACGAGCACUCCAUAUCGAAUGUAUUUCUAGUAGAGUCGCUUGGUUACAACCUUCUGUCUAUAAGUCAAUUGUGUCACAUGGGUUACAAUUGUCUUCUUACAAACGUUGAUGUAUCUGUCUUUAGAAGGAGUGAUGGUUCAUUAGCUUUUAAGGGUGUAUUAGACGGCAAACUCUACUUAGUUGAUUUUUCGAAAGAGGAGGCCGAUCUAGAUGCAUGCUUAAUAGCUAAGACUAGUAUGGGUUGGUUGUGGCAUCGCCGUCUAGCACAUGUUGGGAUGAAGAACCUUCAUAAACUUCUAAAGGGAGAACAUGUGUUAGGACUAACCAAUGUUUGUUUCGAGAAAGAUAGGCCUUGUGCAGCAUGUCAGGCAGGGAAACAGGUGGGAAGCACUCAUCAUAGCAAGAAUGUGAUGACAACAUCAAGACCACUGGAGCUUCUUCACAUGGACCUCUUCGGAGCCGUUGCCUACCUUAGCAUCGGGGCAAGUAAGUAUGGUCUUGUAAUUGUUGAUGAUUUUCCUGCUUCACUUGGUGUUCUUUUUGCAGUUUAAAUCAGAAACCCAAGGGACCCUAAAACGCUUUCUAAGGAGGGCUCAAAACGAAUUUGAGCUAAAGGUGAAAAAGAUAAGGAGCGACAAUAGGUCCGAGUUUAAGAAUCUGCAAGUUGAGGAGUAUCUUGAGGAGGAAGGCGUCAAGCACGAGUUCUCCACUCCCUACACACCACAGCAAAACGGUGUGGUAGAGAGGAAGAACAUGACGCUUAUCGACAUGGCGAGAAUGAUGCUUGGAGAGUUCAAGACACCCGAGCGGUUUUGGUCGAAAGCUGUGAACACAGCUUGCCACGCCAUAAACUGACUCUAUCUGCAUCGCCUUCUCAAGAAGACCUCCUACGAACUCCUUACCGGUAACAAACCCUACGUCUCCUACUUUCGUGUAUUUGGGAGCAAAUGUUACAUUCUGGUGAAGAAAGGUAGACAUUCUAAAUUUGCUCCCAAGGCAGUAGAAGGGUUUUUACUAGGGUACGACUCAAAUACAAAGGCGUAUAGAGUCUUCAACAAAUCAUCAGGUUUGGUUGAAGUCUCUAGCAACGUUGUAUUUGAUGAGACUAAUGGCUCUCCAAGAGAGCAAGUUGGUCUUGAUGACAUAGAUGAAGAUGAUGUUCCAACGGCCGCAAUGCGCACGAUGGCGAUUGGUGAUGUGCGGCCACAGGAACAACAGGAGCAAGAUCAGCCAUCUUCCUCCACAAUGGUGCAUCCUCCAACUCAAGACGGUGCACAGGUACCUCAAGAAGAGGGACAAGAUCAAGGGGGAGCAUAGGAAGAACAAGUGAUGCAGGAAGAAGCACCACGUGCCCCUCCAACUCAAGUCCGAGCAACGAUCCAACGACAUCACCCCGUUGACCAGAUUCUGGGUGACAUAAGCAAGGGAGUAACUACUCGCUCAAGAUUAGCAAACUUUUGUGAGCAUUACUCGUUUGUCUCUUCUAUUGAGCCUUUCAGGGUAGAAGAGGCCUUGCAGGAUCCGGAUUGGGUGUUGGCCAUGCAGGAAGAGCUCAACAACUUCAAGAGAAAUGAAGUUUGGAGCCUGGUGCCACAUCCAAAGAAAAAUGUUGUGGGAACCAAGUGGGUGUUUCGCAAUAAGCAAGACGAGCACGGGGUGGUGACAAGAAACAAGGCUCGACUUGUGGCAAAAGGUUAUGCCCAAGUCGCAGGUUUGGAUUUCGAGGAGACUUUUUCUCCUGUGGCUAGGCUAGAGUCUAUUCGAAUUUUAUUGGCCUAUGCCGCUCACCACUCUUUCAGGCUAUUUCAAAUGGAUGUGAAGAGCGCUUUCCUCAAUGGGCCAAUAAAGGAGGAGGUAUACAUGGAACAACCACCUGGCUUUGAGGAUGACAGGUACACCGACCAUGUGUUCAAGCUCUCUAAGGCGCUCUAUGGACUUAAGCAAGCCCAAGAGCAUGGUAUGAAUGCCUUAGAGAUUUCUUAAUUGCUAAUGCCUUCAAGGUUGGGAAAGUCGAUCCCACUCUUUUUACAAAGACUUGUGAUGGUGAUAUUUUUGUGUGCCAAAUUUAUGUCGAUGACAUAAUAUUUGGUUCUACUAAUCAAAAGUCUUGUGAGGAGUUUAGCAGGGUGAUGACACAAAAGUUCGAGAUGUCGAUGAUGGGCAAGUUGACCUACUUUCUUGGGUUCCAAGUGAAGCAACUCAAGGAUGGCACCUUCAUCUCCCAAACGAAGUACACACAAGAUCUUCUUAAGCGGUUUGGGAUGAAGGACGCCAAGCCCGCGAAGACACCGAUGGGAACCGACGGGCAUGUUGACCUCAACAAAGGAGGUAAGUCCAUUGAUCAAAAGGCAUACCGGUCCAUGAUAGGUUCAUUGCUUUAUUUAUGUGCUAGUAGAGCGGACAUUAUGCUAAGUGUAUGCAUGUGUGCUAGAUAUCAAUCCGGCCCCAAGUAAUGUCACCUUGUGGCCGUUAAGCGAAUUCUUAGAUAUUUAGUUUCUACGCCUUGCUUUGGGAUCUGGUAUCCAAAGGGAUCUACCUUUGACUUGAUUGGAUACUCAGACUCCAAUUAUGCCGGGUGCAAGGUUGAUAGGAAGAGCACAUCUGGGACGUGCCAAUUUCUAGGAAGGUCCCCGGUGUCCUGGAGUUCAAAGAAACAAACAUUUGUUGCCCUAUCCACCGCUGAGGCCGAGUAUGUUGCCGCAGGACAGUGUUGCGCGCAACUACUUUGGAUGAGGCAAACCCUCCGAGACUUUGGCUACAAUCUGAGCAAAGUCCCACUCCUAUAUGACAAUGAGAGUGCUAUCCGCAUGGCGGAUAAUCCUGUUGACCACAGCCGCACUAAGCACAUAGACAUCCGGCAUCACUUCCUGAGAUACCACCAGCAAAAGGGAGAUAUCGAGGUGUACCAUAUUAGCAAUGAGAACUAGCUAGCCGAUAUCUUUACCAAGCCGUUGGAUGAGAAAACUUUUUGCAAGUUGCGUAGUGAGCUAAAUGUCUUAGAUUCGCGUAACUUGGAUUGAUCUAUAGCAUACAUGUGCUCUAUGCCUUUGAUCAUGUUACUUUGAAGCAUUUACAUUACUUGUUGUAUAUUUGUGGUGCUCAAGUUGUACAAGACCUCCCCGGACCUCACAAGUCAAUAUGCAAAUGGUGCACAUAUUUAGGGGGAGAUAUGCUACAACUUGACCCUUUGAGACUAACCUUUGUGUUUGAGUAUACUUGAUGUAGUCUCAAAAGUGCAUUGAAAGGGAAAGGUGAACUUGGAUGAUGUAAAGACUUCCACUGCACUCCGGUAUUAGUGUACUCACUUCCAAGUUCAUACUUGCAAUUUCAUUGCCUUUUUCUCUUAAUUGACAUUUUUGGUGAGGCAAUGGGGUUAAGAGGGCCAAAAAUGAUUCUGUUUUGGUGCUUAAUGCCAAAGGGGGGGAAAUUAAGGCCAAAGCAACUGGAUCAGCCAACCACUUGAGAAUUUUGAAAAUAGUAGAGUUAGAAUUUGAUUUUGUCAAAAUACUCUAAUUGCAAAAUUUGGUCUCUUGUGGGGGAGAAUUCUUGAUUAUGGUAAAAGGGGGAGUUUUUGGUACUUGAUCAAUUUUUCUCUUGGAAUAUCUCUUGAGUUGCCCAAACAAGUGUGCUUGACUUAGAGAUAGGAAAAAUGAUUUGAUUUACAAAAACAAACCAAGUGGUGGCAAAGAGUGAUCCAAAUAUGCCAAAUCAAUAGCGAAAACAAUUUGGUCUUCAAUUGCAUUGAUUUUGCACUUCUUUUGUUGCUUUUUGAUGUGUUGGCAUAAAUCACCAAAAAGGGGGAGAUUGAAAGGAAAAUGUGCCCUUGGGCCAUUUCUAUAAUGUUUUGGUGAUUAAAUGUCCAACACGUUUGAUUAAGUUCUUUUGUACCAAAUAAAGAGAGAAGUACAAAUCAAGGCACAAGGUAUGUUUCUAGACUUAGUACAUUGUUGUUUGAACGCUAAUGUGCUUGUCUAAGUGCUAGAAACAGUGAGAAAAGAAACUGAAAAGACUUGGCUCUGUGCAGCUAAACUUUAGCUCAGUCUGGCACACCGGACUGUCCGGUGGUGCACCAGACAGUGUCCGGUGCCCCAGGCUGGUCUCCGAUGAAAGUGCUGCUCUCGGGAAUCGACGGCGGCGUACGACUAAAAAUCACCGGACUGUCCAGUGAGCCAACGGUCGCCUGCGCCAACGGUCAACCGCGCAAUCUUCGCGUGACACGUGGUCGCGCCAACGGUCGGUUGGGCACACCGGACUGUCCGGUGUGCACCGGACAGUGUCCGGUGCGCCAACCAACCCUGAGAACCAAUGGUCGAAUGCGCCUAAUUUGGAAGGCGAUCGCACACCGGACAACUACAGUGACUCUCCGGUGCACCACCCGACAGAAGGCAAGUUUGGCCUUCCAAGUUGGCCUCCAACGGCUCCUAGCUGCCUUGGGGCUAUAAAAGGGACCCCUAGGCGCAUGGAGGAGCUUCACAAGUAUUCACUAAGCAUUCUAAGACUCACACACUCCGUCUCUGUGCACUUGAUCGAUUGUGUUAGUGAUUUGAGCUCCGUUCGAGUUGUGAACUCUCUGUGCUACGUUUCGAGCUCAAGUCUUGGCUUGUGUGCGUGUGUGUGCUGUGGAUUUGUGUUGUGUGUGUGUUGCUUCUCCCAACCUUACUCCAUGCUUUCCUUGUGAUCUUUAUUGUAAGGGCGAGAGACUCCAAAUUGUGGAGAUUCCUCGCAAACGGGAAGAUACUCUAAACAAAAAGACCAUGGUAUUCAAGUUGAUCAUUAGAUCACUUGAAAGGGGUUGAGUGCAACCCUCGUCCAUUGGGACGCCACAACGUGGAAGUAGGCAAGUGUUACUUGGCCGAACCAUGGGAUAAAAAUCGCGUGUCUCUUGUGUUGGAUUAUCUGUGAUUGUUGUGUUCACAAGAACUCGCUUCAAAGCUACUUCAUCACUAACGCUAUAACAUCUAAGUUUUGUGGCUAUUUAGAGUUUGAUUUUACAGGAUCACCUAUUCACCCCCCCCUCUAGGUGCUCUCACUAUGUUGAGCAACCUCCCGACUUUGAAGAUAGUGAGUACCCUAACCAUGUGUAUAAACUCUUAAAGGCGCUUUAUGGGCUCAAGCAAGCCCCAAGAGCAUGGUAUGAAUGCCUAAGAGAUUUCCUUAUCACUAAUGGUUUCAAAGUCGGAAAAGCCGAUCAUACUCUCUUUACUAAAAACAUUGCAAAAGAUUUGUUUGUAUGUCAAAUUUAUGUUGAUGAUAUCAUAUCUGGGUCUACUAACAAACCUACUUGUGAAGAGUUUAGUAGGAUAAUGAUUCAAAAAUUCGAGAUGUCUAUGAUGGAGGAGUUGAAGUAUUUCCUAGGAUUUCAAGUGAAGCAACUCCAAGAGGGAAUCUUCAUCAGCCAAACCAAGUACAUUCAAGAUAUACUUACCAAGUUUGGAAUGAAGGAUGCCAAGCCCAUCAAGACACCCAUGGGAACCAAUGGGCAUCUUGACCUCAACACGGGAGGUAAAUCCCUAGAUCAAAAGGUAUAUCAGUCGAUGAUAGGAUCUCUACUCUAUUUAUGUGCAUCUUGACCGGAUAUUAUGCUUUCUGUAUGCAUGUGUGCAAGAUUCCAAGUCGAUCCUAAGGAAGUUCACCUUAGGGCCGUAAAAAGAAUCUUGAGAUAUUUAGUUCACACACCUAAGUUUGGUCUUUGGUACCCCAAGGGAUCCACCUUUGAUUUAAUAGGUUAUUCAGAUGUUGAUUGGGCAGGGUGUAAAAUUGAUAGAAAGAGCACAUCAGGGACUUGUCAGUUUUUGGGAAGAUCCCUGGUGUCUUGGGCUUCAAAGAAACAAAAUUCAGUAGCUCUUUCUACCGCCGAAGCAGAAUAUAUUGCCGCAGGAAAUUAUUGUGCGCAAUUACUUUGGAUGAGGCAAAUCCUUAGGGACUACGACUACAAAUUUAGCAAAGUCCCUCUCCUAUGUGACAAUGAGAGUGCAAUCCGCAUGGCGGAUAAUCCCGUUGAACACAGCCGCACUAAGCACAUAUUCAUUCGGUAUCACUUUUUGAGGGAUCACCAACAAGGGGGGAUAUCGAGAUUGCUUAUGUUAGCACCAAAGAACAAUUAGCCGAUAUAUUUACCAAGCCAUUAGAUGAGAAAACCUUUACCAAACUUAGGAAUGAGCUAAACAUCCUUGAUUCUCGGAACUUUGAUUGACACUUUGCACACAUAGUUCAUUUAUGUACCUUUGAUCACAUCUCUUUCACUUUGGUACAAAUGCACAAUUCCCAUUAUUUAUGUACCAAAGCUAUGACUAAUGUGUAUUCAAGUGUAUUUCUACUAAGUCAUAGAAUGAAAGGGAAAUGGAGUCUUCGGCGACGACUAGGCUUCCACUCCACUCUAUCGAUAUCAAUUACCCUUCGCUGUCACUCCGCACCACUCUCCACUUUGGUAUAAUCUUCACUCUUAUUACUAGUACCAAUGGGGAGAAAGUAAAAAGGGCUCAUAUUUUACUUACAAAGUAUCCGUUUUUGGUGAUUCAUGUCAAAGGGGGAGAACGUAUUAGCCCAAAGCAAAAGGACCGCACCGACCGCACCACCACCAAUUUCAAAAAGUUUUUAAAAGCAGUCUUUCAAUUAGUAUUAGAGAAGUUUUUCAAUUGGUAUCUUACUUUUGAUAUAAUUUCAAAUUGGUAUGACCUCUUUCAAAAUUGACAUCUAAAAACCCUCUUGAUCCCUAAGAGGAGAAUUUCAUUGAGGGGGAGUUUUGUUUUAGUCAAAGGAAAUGCAUUUGAAAUAGGGGGAGAAAAUUUCAAAUCUUGAAAAUGCUUCUUACAAACUUAUUCAUAUACCUUUGACUAUUUGCAAAAGGACUUUGAAAAGAUUUUCCAAAAGAAUUUGCAAAAACAAAACAAGUGGUGCAAGCGUGGUCCAAAAUGUUAAAAGAAAGAAAGCAAUCCAUGCAUAUCUAAUAAAAGUUAAAUUGGUUUAAUUCCAAGCAACCUUUGCACUUCUUUAUGCAAACUAGUUCAAUUCUGCACUUAAAUAUUUGCUUUGGUUUGUGUUGGCAUCAAUCACCAAAAAGGGGGAGAUUGAAAGGGAAAUAGGGUCAAACCUUUUCCUAAAUGAUUUUGGUGGUUGAAAUGUCCAACACAAAUUAUUGGACUAACUAGUUUGCUCUAGAUUAUAUGUUCUACAGGUGCCAAAGGUUCAACACAAAUCAAUAAAAAGAUCAAAGUUAGGGUUCAAAAGAAAGGAGCAAAAGAAACCGAAGAGAACUCUGGUCUGGUGCACCGGACUGUCCGAUGCACCAGGGAGGAUCGACCUCAAACUCUUCACCUUCGGGUUUCUCCAGGCGCACUCCGCUAUAAUUCACCGGACUGUCCAAUGUGCCACCGGACUGUCCGGUGCACCAAGCGGAGCAACGGCUAUCAGCGCAAUGGUCGACUACACGGUGUCCUGACAGAGCUACAGUUCAUGGCAGAAGUCAGAGCAGGCGCCAGAGGCGCACCGGACACUGAACAGUAGCUGUCUGGUGCGGCACCGGACUGUUCGGUGCACCAAGAUGUCAGAGCUCCAACGGUCGAACCCGUUAGAACCCUAACGGUUGGGUGAUGUGGCUGGCGCACCAGACUGUCUGGUGCGCCCAUCGACAGCAGCCCUCCCCAACGGCUGUUUUGGUGGUUGGGGCUAUAAAUACCCCCCAACCACCACCAUUCAAGGCAUCCAAGUUUCCAACAUUUUGCAUUCAAUACAAGAGCUCUAGACUUCACUCCAAGACACAAACAAGAGAUCAAAUCCUCUCCCAAGUCCAAAAUCACUCCAAACACUUAGUGACUAGUGAGAGAGAGAUUUUCGUGUUCAUUUGAGUUCUUGACGCUUGGAUCGCUUUUCUUCUUCCUCCAUUCUUGUUCUCAAGCAACUUGUAAUCAAAGAAAGAGACACCAAGUUGUGGUGGUCCUUGUAGGGGUCUGAGUGACCCGGUUUGAUUAAGGAGAAAGCUCACUCGGUCUAGGUGACUGUUUGAGAGAGGGAAAGGGCUGAAAGAGACCCGGUCUUUGUGACCACCUCAACGGGGACUAGGUUUGCACGAACCGAACCUCGGUAAAACAAAUCACUGUGUCCCUCGCCUUAUUUCUUGGUUGAUUAGUUUUUUGCCCUCUCUUUCGGACUCGGUUUUUAAUUCUAACACUAACCCCGACUUGUAGUUGUGCUUUAAGUUUAUAAAUUUCAGAUUUGCCUAUUCACCCCCCCCCCCUCUAGGCAACUUUCACUUGUUCAUGAGAGACAAAUGUAUCUUCAUUUGCAUGCCUCUCAUAUUUUUCAUCAUCUUGUGGUACAUUAGAUGAAGAAGGCAUGUCAACAAUUUGCACCUCUUCUUCAUCUUCUUUUGGUUUGAUGGCUCCAAUAGGCAUGUUCUUCAUGGCUUCCCUAAGUGGCUCAUCACCUACAUCAUCAAGAUUUUCAAGUGCUCCUUGGGAGCCAUUAGUCUCAUCAAACUCCACAUCAUAUGUUUCUUCUACCACGCGAGUGGCAUGAUUGAAUACUCGAUAUGCUUUGGAUUUUGAUGUAUAACCAAGUACAAAACCAAUAUCACAACGUCUUUGAAACUUCCCUAGAGGAUGGCGUUUCUUGCAGAUGUAGUAUUUGCAUCCAAACACCCGAAAGAAAGAGACAUCUAGCUUUUUCCCAUUUAGCAGUUCAUAGGGAGUCUUCUCAAGUAGCCGGUGAGGAAAUAGCAUGUUUGACGCAUAACAUGUAGUGUUGAUAGCUUCGGCCCAAAACCUCUCCAGAGUGUUAUACUCAUCAAUCGUUGUCCUUGCAAGUGUGAUCAAGGUCCUGUUCUUCCUUUCAAAAACUUCAUUUUGUUGAGGUGUAUAUGUUGCUGAAACUUCAUGCUUAAUCCUAAUCUCAUCACAAUAUCCAUGUAUGUUGGUGUUAUCAAAUUCUUUUCUAUUAUCACUUCUAAUCUUCUUGAUCUUGCAAUCAAAUUCAUUUUGAGCUUUCUUAGCAAACUUCUUGAAUAUAGAUGCAACUUCAGAUUUAUCAUGGAGAAAGAACACCCAAGUGUAUCUUGAAAAAUCAUCAACUAUAACCAGACAGUAGAGGUUGCCACCAGCACUAUCAUAAGUUGUUGGUCCAAAUAGAUCCAUGGAAAGUAGUUCGAGUGGCCUUGAUGUUGACAUGAAAGCUUUUGUAGGAUGUGUGUUAGCAACUUGCUUUCCAACUUGACAUGCACUACAAGGCAUGUCCUUCUCAAAUACAACAUCCUUUAGUCCUCUAACCAUGUCCUUCCUUAGUACUUUCUUGAGUGUGCUCAUUCCAACAUGUGGAAGCCUUCUAUGCCAUAGCCAUCCAAGUGAUGCUUUGGUAAAGAGGCAAGUUCUUAAGUUUGCAUCUUCAGAGGUGAAAUCCACUAAGCAGAGAUUGUUGUAUCUAAAUUCUUUGAACACCAUUGAUUCAUCAUCCAUUUUUGAUACAAUAACCUCUGUAGGAGUGAAUAAGCAUUGAAGGCCAAGAUCACAAAGUUGACCCACUGAUAAUAAGUUGAAGCUCAAAGGUGCAACCAAGAGAACAUUUGAAAUUGAUAGAUCAUUUGAAAUUGCCACCUUGCCAAGUCCUUAAACUUUUCCCUUUGAAUUAUCCCCAAAAGUGAUUUUGUCUUGUCCAUCAACAUUCUCAUCAAGUGAGGUGAACAUUCGUGGGUUGCCUGUCAUAUGUUGUGUGCAUCCACUGUCAAUAACCCAAUGGCUCCCACCGGUCUUGUAGUUCACCUACAUCCACAGACAAAUCAAGCUUGAAUUUUGAGGGCCCUAUUUUGCAUAGGGUCAGUGACUUUCUCAAUCAAGGACUUUGCAACCCAAAUUUGUCUAGGUCUACUCUUGCUUGGUGGACCUAGGAAUGUAACUUUGACUUUUCCAUUUGCUACUUUUUUUAGAACAUAAAGGGCAUUGAAAGCAAAUGGUCUUGAGUGCUUUGGCAAGGGAGUUGGUGGUUUGGCUUUGCAGUUGUGGGCAAAAUGACCUUCUUUUCCACACUCAAAGAAUUUGAUAGGCUUAUGAGUCUGCUUUGGCUUGUAUUGAUUUGUAGCUUUCUUUUGCACAAAAGAAUUAUAUCCAAUACCACUCUUAUUGUUUUUCAUGACAGUGUUCAUGAGCAAUUCAUUUUGGAGGUAUUGGCCAUUGUUAAACUUUUGCACACUUGUUGCAAGAUGUUCAUUUUCACUCUUAAGUUUCUUGACCUCGUUUUUAAGCCUUUCAUUAUCCACUGCCAACUCAUUGUUGAAGUCAUUGUUCUCAACGGUAACCUUUCCUCUAGUAGUUGCAUCAGUCAAAUAUCUCUUCAAUUUUUGGUUGUCCAAUGUCAAGACUUCAACUUUUUCAGCCAGUUCAUCAUGAAGACUAGUUUGAUCAUCUUGGCCCAAAUCAUCACAUGAGGUUGCUACAUCAAUCUUAACAAUAGGGUUAAUAGCCUCAUGUGUAUUGCAAGAUAAAAGCUUAUUUGCAACAAGAAGGUUAUCAUGAUCAAUUUUAAUCUUUGUAUAGUCUUCCUUAAUUUUCACAAGUCUUUCUUUCAACUCCCUAUUUGCUUCAUUUAAAUUGUCACACUUAUCCUUAGCAUCUUUUAGGGAGGAUUUAAGCUCACUUACAAUGGAUGACAUAGUUUUGUUUUCUUAUUUCAUCUCAUCACUAGCUUUUACAACUAUGUCAUAUUUGGUAGUUAGAAAUUCAUUUUCAUCUUUCAACUUAUCACAUUUAGCCUUUGACUUUCUAAUGACUUGAGUGUAUUCCUUAAGCAAGUCAGCUAGUUCAUCAUAGGAAGGUGAAGCAAAUUCAUCAUCACUAUCACUAUCACUAUCAUCAAUAAUAUCAUUAUCAUUUUGUACCUUUCGUUCACCUCUAGCCAUGAGGCAUAGGUGAGAAGUCGAUGAAGGUGAUGGUGGUGAUGAAGAGAAGUCCCCAGCAAUGGCGGUAACUUUUUCAUCAUUUUCUUCUUCACUUGAAGAAGACCCGCUAGAUGACUCAAUGUCAGUGAGCCAAUAACCAAGAAUGUAUGUCUUUCCAUUUUUAUUUUUGUGGAACCUUUUCUGCUUCCCAUCCUUUCUCCUAAAGAAUUUCUUUUCCUUUUUCUCUUCAUCACUGUCAUCAUCUUUCUUGCCCUUGAACUUGUUCUUCUUGGGCUUAUUGCACUGAUGAGCAAGAUGACCAAGCUCUCCACAGUUAUAGCAGUCCAUUUCAGAGAUGGGAUUUCUUUUACUAGAGAAGAAUUUCUUCUUUCUUGAGUCAAACUUGAUGCCUUCUCUGUUGAGCUUCUUUAACAUCUUGGUGGUCUUCCUCACCAUCAAGGCAAUGUUAGCAUCAAGAUCAUCAUCACUUGAGGAUUCCUCCUCAAUUUGUACUUUAGCUUUUCCUUUCUUUUCUUGAUUGGCUUUGAGAGCCAAAUCCUUUCUCUUGGAAUAUGACUCUUCCUUGUCAUUGAUGUGCAUGUACAUCUCAUGAGCAUUGAUAUUUCCCAAUAUUCGUGUAGGAGUAGCAACUGAAAGAUUCAUCUGGUGCAGCACUAUACAAUGUGUCUAUAUUUGUUAAUUGGGAGGACACUAAGAAUCUUCCUCACAACAUUCGGUUGUGAAAUUUGUGUAAGCCCCAAGCCAUUUACUUCCUCUACAAGAAUAUUGAGACGUGGGUACAUAGCAUUGGCAUUUUCAUUUGCAAGCAUCUCAAAAGAAUUUAACUUUCUCAUAGCAAUAUGAUAUCUUCCUCACGCUCACUUCUAGUCCCUUCAUGUAGAGCACAUAUAUCCAUCCACAAAUCAUGAGCAUUUCUAUGGUUUCUUACUCUAUCAAAGACAUCUUUGCAAAGGCCUCUAAAAAGAGUGUUUUUGGCCUUAGCAUUCCAUUUCUCAUAGUUAUACUCUUCUCCUACAAGAUUUGUGGGAUCUCUAGGUUCUGGGAACCCUUAUGUGGCGACUUUGUAGACACCAAUGUCUAUACCAUCUAGAUAAGCUUCCAUACGAAUUUUCCAAUAUGGAAAAUCGUCAUCAUCAAAAACGGGAGGAGGUCCAUCCCCACCGGACAUCGUUACUCUAGCGGUUAAGCUAAUCUAAGAGCAACAAGGCUCUGAUACCAAUUGAAAGGAUCAUGAUGCCCAAGAUGGGGGGUGAAUUGGGCUUUUCUAAAAUUCAACAAUAAUUAAACCCUAAGCAAAAGCCCAACUUCACCCCAACAACUAGCAAUAAGAUAAUACUACUAGAAAUACAACAAUGCUAAGGCAAUACUUCAACUACUUGCUAAACAAAUGCAUAAGGUAAAAUACUUGAAUUAAGUGUGAAAUGUAAAGCAAUGUUUAGAAGACUCCUCCAAUUUUUCCCGAGGUAUCGAAGAGUCGGCACUCUCCCCUAGUCCUCGUUGGAGCACCCGCGCAAGGGUAUCACUCCCCCUUGGUCCUCGCAAGAACCAAGUGCUCACUAUGGGAUGAUUCUUUGCCACUCCAGCAUGGUGGAUCCCUCAUGACCGCUUACAAACUUGAGUCGGGUCACCAACAAGAUCUCCAAGGUGAUCAUCGAGCUCCCAACACCACUAAGCCGUCUAGGUGAUGCCGAUCACCAAGAGUAACAAGUCGUAGACUUUCACUUGACCAAGAGAAGCCUAAUGCAUGCAGUGUGUGCUCUAGGUGACUCUCGCUAGCACUAAUGAGGUCCAAAUACGGGAUUAAAAUUUUUCUAAUCACCUCACUAAGCUUUGUGGUGCUUGCAAUGCUUUACCAAUGUGUAGGAGUAAAUGUGCGCAACAAGACAAUCAAUAUGGUGGGUGGAGGGGGUAUAAAUAGCCCUCACCCACCAACUAGCCGUUAGCAGAACCUGGCUACGCAUGGGCGCACCGGACAGUCCGGUGCGCCAACGGUCAUCUCCAACGGCUAGUUCUGACAGCUAGCCGUUGGGCAGAUGGCACACCGGACAGUGAACAGUUACUAUCAGGUGCACACCGGACUGUCCGGUGUGCCGGCUAAAAUUCAAUUUUCCAACUCCGCGCUCUCGGGUUUCUGGAGGGGGAAGGGUCUUCCUCGGGCCAACCUGCCCCCACUGUCAGAGGGCGCACCGGACGGUCCGGUGCCCUUAGGCCAGAAACCCUAAGUUCUAUUUUCUUCUGUUUUUCAGAUCGGUUUUCGUUCUAACUCAUGACUAUGUUCUAGAGUGACACCUAGCACUAUAUGUGAGUGUGAAUAUGCACCAACACUACACUAGAACUCUCUUGGUCAAACUACUCAUCGACAACCUCUCUUUAUAGUACGACUAAAACAAAAUAAAAGACCUAACUCUAUACCGAGUGUCCGCAACUCCUUGACACUCGGAAUACGAAGACCUUCAUCUUUUGUUUCGUCGUUUUAGCUGUCACUUCAAGUUCUUAUCUUAGGGAUUGUUUUCACCGUUGUAGUACAUCUUCCUGUAAUGCGACCUAACUUACCAUUUGUCUCAGCAAAACACACGUUAGUCACAUAUAAUAUUACAUUGUCAUUAAUCACUAAAACCAACUAGGGGCCUAGAUGCUUUCAUGGUGGUAUACGGUGACUCCCUAGUCGUCAUCAGCUAGGUCAACAAAAACUGGGAUUGCUCCAAUGAUUCAAUGGGCAGCUACUGCGCCACGGUUAGGAAAAUUGAAGAUAAAUUCGAAGGACUAGAAUUCCACCACAUAGAGAGGGAUCACAAUGUAGCAGCAGAUACAAUGUCAAAGCUGGGGUCGAGCCGGGUGCAAGUUUCACCCGACAUCUUUCUCCAGGAGAUACAACAGCCAAGCACCACACCAGGACCAGCGGAGGAAUGCAAGGCAGUGGAUUAGGCAGAGCCAGACCCAAAGGACCGGAGGAAACCAAUUAUCAAAUACAUCAAAAAUGAGGAGGAACCAGACGACAAGGCCGCUGUCGAGCGCAUUGCAAGGCAGUCGACUCAUUAUGCUAUCAUAGGAGGAUUGCUAUAUAGGAGAGGGGCAUCCCGAGUCCUUAGGAAAUGCAUUCAUUUAGAUAUGGGAAAGCGUCUAUAGGAAGAAAUCCAUGCAGAACAAUGUGGAAUACAUGCAACAUCAAGAACUUUAGUGGGGAAGGCUUUCAGAGCAGGCUUCUAUUGGCCAACAACAAAGAAAGAUGCAGCUGAUCUAGUCCAAAGAUGCGAAACAUGCUAGUUCUUAUCUAAGCAGCAACACCUACCAGCUCGGCAGUUGCAAACUAUUUCGAUAACCUGACCCUCUGUGUGUUGCAGGUUGGACAUGAUUGGACCUUUCAAGAAGGGUACACCCACGUACUGGUCACCAUCGACAAAUUUACAAAGUGGAUAUAGUACAAGCCGAUUACAAGUCUGACCUCAGCCAAGACAGCAUCUAGAAAAUCAUAUUCAGGUUCGAGAUAUCCAACAGUAUCAUCACAGACCUAUGAUUUAACUUCACCAGCGCAGAGUUCUUCGAUUUUUGUGAGCAGAGAUGCAUUCAAGUCAAAUAUACGUCGGUAGCACACCCAGAGCUAAUGGACAAGUCUUAUUGUAUAUAUGUGUAUAUUGCUUUUUUAUUAUGGCCUGCGAGUUAAACGAGUCAGUUUAAUGUUGCAAAUGAGACAAGCUGAGCUAAUUCUCUUGCUCGAUUCCGAGCCAAUCAUAGCUGGCUUCUCUCCCAUCCUAGUAUCACACAUCUUAUUUAAAUUUCACUUUUUAAAUAUUGUUAUCUAUAUUGUCUAGUGCAAAAUAGAAUUUUUUUUUACAUGGCUAUACACGCUUUUAAGCCAGUCCAGAGGCCUCACCGAGGCGAGGUCCGCUGCCGUUUCUUUUAAGAAAACCAAUCUAUUAGUAUAAACCGUGCAAGCAAGAUGGAUAUUCUUGUGUGUUGUUUUGUACAUAUUCUAGUGUAUUGUUUUGUACAUAACAUGUUCCCUUCUUCCAGUAGAACUCGUGAGGUAUCGGAGUGGAGCUGGAAAAGGUGAGAGCCUGUUGGGAGCAAACAUUUCAACGGGGGAGUCGAAUGAAAUGGUGCUGAAGAUGAGUUGGUAGAUGCAUGAAUACAUACACUUCCCUUCCAGAUUGGUAAGAGUUUAUCCUAAAUAAAUUGAACUUCUCUAACUUUAAUCAAACUUAUAGAAAAUUAAAUAUUGAAUUUUUAAAUAUACGCAUAACCGAGACAAUUUUAUUACAAAAGUUAUUAAACUAAUUUAAUGAUGUAAUUGAUUUUUUAAAAUUUUAUUGAAGUCAGCAAAAUUACACCUCAAGAAAUUGCUAAAUAAAAGUUCAAUAAUUUAAAAUGGAAUAAGUAGAAAGGACACAGUUCCGGUUGCCCACUAACGAUACUUACCGAAAUAUGGCACAUAUCAGGUGAACAGUGACCAAAACUACAAUAACAGAGUUGCUAUUGUCAUAUAGUAUUGUGUCAUCGACAACAAGGUAAAACAUAACAGAAGGCCCAAAUGUUGGGUAAACAAACACGGUUCAACAACCACACAGCAAUACAGCCCAACAUUGUCCAUGAAACUGACUAGGAGCAGCACCUCAGUUCUUGAUCUUCUUCUUGGCCCUCAGCUGCAAGGAGAAAAGCAAGAGACAGCUCGUUAACUUUGUUGGGCUUCAAUGCUUUACAAAUGGCAGGACAAACAAAGAUGCUAGCCUACAUACAUACAGGCGCGAUACUUUCCAAUGCAAUAACACUAACCUGGUUGCUGUGACCACACUUCUUCUUGCGGCAGUUGACAGCCCUAGGGUGCAGUCGUGCAUAGCAUCUGUAGAGAAAGGGUAGAACAUGAGGACAAUGACCUAAAAGAGCUUCCUGAUACCAUAACAUGGAGCGAGAGGGCCUCUAUAUGAGUGGGUUCUGUGGUAUGAGUGGCGCUCAGUAUGUCUAAAUUCAACUGAGCAAAUUUUAAUUUAGGAUUAAAAAAUUUUCGUCGUCUAUCCCACAACAAAGCACAAGUCUAAGACCUGGCCCCAAUCGUUCUCACAUAGCCUACAGUCUGUGUAUGGGUGUAGCAGGGAUUCUAUGGCUUUCUCAAAGGGAAAUUACAUCAUUUUCCCUCCCUUGAAAAAUGGAGUUACCAAACUAGCCCUAACAUGGAAAAUGGCAAGUAAAUUGGCAAAUCGGACAUGAUUAGGCCUGAAGACUCAGCUCAUAAGUUCACUUCAGGCGUCUAACUGAUUAUCACUCGUGUCAUCAUUUUCCUCAGAAAAAAGAACACUUCCACAUAAAGAACAAUAACCAAAACAGGCCCAAGUAAUAAAAUGUACUAAUACACCUAACAGGCCCCCAAAUAAUAAAAUGUACCCAUAAAACACAAUGCUGGGCCGGUGAGAAAAUGCUUGAAUAUACUAGAAACAAAUCGUGUUUCUUUGAGAGAAAAAAACAAGUGGAGUUUCUGCAUGUUUGCUUGAAGGAUCUCUGGCGGUCUCAUGUUAACAAGGCGUAAACGGUGGAAACCUAAAAAUGGAAAACUACAAUAUACCUCAGCUAGUGCAAUCGCAGAAUUAUAUAUCAAAGCUUCUACUAAUGCUGAAGUUAAAUUCUGUUUGCAAAAUUAUCCACUUCCUACUAGCAUUAGUUACCAAAAACAAUUGUGAAUGCCGUUGAUAAAAUUAGAACUUUCUUUUGGCAAGGUGGUGUUAAUAAAAAAAAAUAAGUAUUGUCUGAUCAGAUGGACCAAAAUCUGUAAGAGCUUGAAAAAGGGGAUCUUGGUAUCCAAGACAUCAAGGAUGGGCCGGUUUGCACUGUGAAACAUAGGCAAACUGACUCGCCCAUUUGGCCAGAUGACUCAGAUCUACUGGAGGUCAAAGAUAUAAACUUGCAAAGGAGGAAACUUUCCAUUAAAAUGGACAAAAGCUCUCUUCUGGAACGAUAUCUUUCUUUAUGACAAACCUCUUUAUCAGUUACAUCUUGAACUGCUUAAAGCGUGUAAACAAGAUAUAACUGUAUAAGGGUGUGUUUGUUUGGGAUUAUAAUAUGCCCAGAUUAUAUAACACAACAAAUUUUGAACCAACACUUAAUUCAAAUUUUGUUGGAUUAUAUAAUCUGGGCAGAUUAUAAUCCCAAACAAACACCCGCAAAGUGUAUAUAAUAUGAAAUCUAACCUCAGAUGAUUAAGAUUCACAAGAUGGCUGGUGCAUGAAUGGAGAUUGGGAUGAAAAAUCCUAGCAGAUGUUGCAAAUGUGCCAAUGAGGGUGACGAUGAGAUAGCAUGGAGGUUUGGCUGUUAGGGACACUUCAGUGUCAAAUCUGUUUACGAUGGUCUGAAUUCAAAUGAAACUAGUCCAUUUCAUAAGAAAAUAUUGAAAGGAAAAUUCCAGCUAGAAGAAAAAUCUUUCUCUAGCUAACACUGAAUAAUGCAACUUUGACAAUGCUAAUAUGAUUAGAAGUGGCUUGGUGAUCCUACCUGCUACUUUUGCAUUUGUAACGAAUCUGUUUCUCAUCUUUUGUUCCAGUAUAGUGUAGCUGGGCAAUUAAUGCAAAGUACAAUGGUGCUACAAAUGUACCUAGAUAUUUUGAACAAUGUUGGUUAUGGGUUCAAAAAUGGCUCCCAUCUGGAAAAAAGGUUCCAUGCUGUAGGGAUUGCUGCUAUUUGCUGGACAAUAUGAAAAACAAAUGACAAACUAAGCUUUGAAGACAAAUAUGUGACCCUGCUACUAUUUUUUACAGGGAACAUAAAAAGUGUACCUGCGACACCUUUGGUGCACAUGGUACAGAUAUUAAAUUGCGACAAUUCAUUCUGGAUCCAACACCCUCCCCAACAGUCCUCUCGCUACACUGUAUAUUUUUGCAAAAACACUCUACACCACUUCUACCCUGAUCUGUGAACAAAGGGAGGUUGUGAGAGGACGUUGGAUCUAAAAUGGAUGGUCUUGAUCUUGAUUUAAUAUAUGCACCAAAGUUCUAUGAGCACCUAAUAUGUUCCUUUUUUAUAUGCAUGCGCGUUCAUGGGAAAAGAUCCCAAGGCACUAAUGUGUAAUGAGUGAUGCAUGGGAAGGAUAAAAGGAAAGGGUGGAAUAUACCCAAAGAUUUAGGGUCUGUUUAGUUCGUGUCUAACUGUGCCACACUUUGACUAAGGUUAGUCGUUCGAAUUGAGGGCAUGUUUGGGUCCCUGCCUAACUUGCCACACUUUGCCUAACUUUUCUGCCUAAGGUUAGUUCUUCAAUUUAAACGACUAACAUUAGGCAAAGUGUGGCGUAGUUAGCCACGAACCAAACAGGCCCUGAAUAACUAACAUUAGGCAAAAAAAGUUAGUCAAAGUGUGGCAAGUUAGCUGCACUUAGUCUUGAAUAAGAAUAUAUGGAAAACAGUUAUCCAUGUGGCUGAACCUUGACAGAUGGUUUCUGUUGGGUUUCGGUAUCUGUUGGGUUUCAACUCUAGCCUACCCCGACUUGUUGUGACAAGAUGGCUCUGGUUGAAGGCGUCAAUAAAAUGCUAAAUAUUGUGGUGAGGCUCCUUAGCAAGAAGCGAACAACAGUUGCCGCAGGACAAGGAUGGAUAUAAUCAGAAGAACUGACAAAGUUCUGGGCUGAUGCUGAUUGAUGUUCUUUUAGGCCUUGUUUUGGUACACAUAUUCACCUCAAUCCACAUGGGUUGUAGUGGUUAGUUUAAAACCCACACCAAACCAAUCCAACCCACAUGGAUCGAAGUGGAUACAUGCACAUUUAAAAGCCCUCAGUUGUUUUGCGAUCUGGUGGUUGUCUUGCAAGUUCUAGCAGUUGUACUGUUUUUGGAAAGACUUAUGAUGGUUUAGGGUCUGUUUGGUUGGGCUGUGGCUGUGAAAAAAGUUGUUGUGGGCUGUGAGCUGUGAAAAAAGCUGCUGUAGGUUGUGAGCUGUUAAAAAGCUAAAAACCGUUUGGUGGAAACCACUAAAAGUCGUUAAAAAUUCUUCGAUAUAUGUUUUCACAGUUCCAUCCGAAAAGCCACUAAAAGCAGGUCCAGGGGUGCUUUCAGAUUUGCACUACGAGAAAGCCGGCUUUUAGAAAAAGCUGCUUUCUGGAUCCAGCCCUUUGGUUAGCUUUUGGCUUUUAGGGGGGCAAAAGCCAAAGCCAAAAGUCAAACCAAACACACUCUUAGACCUUCUGUUACGUUACUACUCUCUCUUGUGAUUCUUAGGAUUCAGGCGUCUUGUGGUGGUAAGGAUAGCUAGCUGGUCUCUGACGUUAAUUUCGUAAUUCAAAUGUGGAAUCCUCUCAGUUCGAAAAAAAUAUCUUUCCUACAUUAGUUCCUGCAGAAGUAAAUGCACGUGUGGUUAUCAAUUCCACAUUCGAUGCAAAGUUACCACAAAUAAUCCUCGUCGCUAUAAUUCGAGAUGACGUUUUCGAACAAUAAUAUUAGGGAAAUUUGGAUCCAUAUCAUUAAAAGAUCACCACUUUGGAUCCAUACCAUUACUAUCUCACUUACAUGUGGGUCCACAUGAGUCAAUGACAUGUGGGGUCCAUGGUAUAUAUCUAAAGUUUGGAUCUUUUAAUGGUAUAGAUCCAAUUGUUCCAUAAUAUUAGCAAACUUUCCAUUCGGGGUGACAGAAGUGUUAAAAAGGUGAAGGCGUAGGUGGUGACUUACUUGCGGCAGAUCAUCUUGUCCUGGUUGUACUUGCGAGCGAGCGCCUGCAGCGAGGGCUCAAUGAUGCCACCGCGGAGCCUAAGCACGAGGUGAAGCGUAGACUCCUUUUGGAUGUUAUAGUCCGCAAGGGUGCGGCCAUCCUCCAGCUGCUUCCCGGCAAAGAUCAGCCGCUGCUGGUCCGGCGGGAUCC
rnacentral:lncRNA from 1 species